rnacentral:lncRNA from 1 species
UCAUCGCCUUUGGUUGAUUUCAUUCAAAGAGGUAAUAAGAGACCAAGUUUUGUUCCAGUUACUGAUUUGGGAACAUCUGCACUGGUUGUUCUUGUCAUUGAUGAAUGUCUAGAUGAGCCACACCUUCAGCAUUUACAGAGCUCCCUGCAUGCAUUUGUUGAUUCUGUGCCACCAACAACAAGAAUUGGAAUCAUUUUGUAUGGUCGGACGGUAUCAGUCUAUGACUUUUCAGAGAAAUCAAUAGCAUCUGCUGAUGUGAUUCCAGGUGGCACUUCACCAACUCAGGAGACCUUGAAAGCAUUGAUUUAUGGAACUGGUUUAUAUUUGUCACUGAUCCAUGCUUCAAAAGAGGUGGCACACCUGAUAUUCUCUUCAUUGAGGCCAUACAAGUUGAAUGUUCCAGAAGCAUCAAGAGAUAGGUGCUUGGGUACUGCAGUUGAGGUUGCUCUGACUAUUAUUCAAGGGCCAUCUGCAGACAUGUCUCCAGGUAUAGUUAAAAGGCCAGGUGGUAAUAGCAGAAUCAUUGUGUGUGCUGGUGGACCGAAUACUUAUGGCCCUUGAUCCGUCCUUCAUUGUUAUACUCUUCCUAAUUAUCCUCAUAAGGAAAAGACAGCAAUGAAAUGGAUGGAGCAUCUUGGUUGAGAGGCUCAUCAACAUAACACAGUGGUGGACAUUCUCUGUGCUGGAACUUGCCCUGUACGGGUUCCUGUGCUGCAGCCUCUUACAAAAGCUUCAAGGGGUGUUUUGUUCUUCAUGAUGACUUUGGUGAAGCGUUUGGUGUACACUUGCAGAAGGCAUCUGCAAGGGCAGCUGGUUCGCAUGGUUUGUUGGAGAUACGCUGUUCUGAUGAUAUUCUUGUUACUCAGGUCGUGGGUCCUGGUGAAGAGGCACAUAUUGACACCCAUGAAACCUUUUAAAAUUAUAUUUCUCUUUAUAUUCAAAUGCUGAGUGUUGAAGAAACACAAUGCUUCUCGAUAUUGAUGGAGCAUAAACAUGACAUCAAGAGUGAUUUCGUAAUUUUCCAGUUUGCCAUUCAAUACUUAAAUGUUUAUCAAGCUGAUAUAGCUAGAGUGAUUACUAUCAGAUUGCCAACUGUGGAUAGUGUUUCAGCCUAUCUUCAAAGUGUUCAAGAUGAGGUGGCUGCAGUCCUAGUUGCCAAGAGGACUCUUUUGCGAGCAAAUAGUUAUAAUGAAGCAAUUGAUAUGCAAACAACAUUAGAUGAAGGAGUUAAAGACAUUGGUUUAAAGUUUGGGUCCCAAAUGCCAAAGUCAAAGCAAUAUCGGUUCCCAAAGGAAAUCUCUUUACUACCAGAGCUUCUAUUCCAUCUUAGGAGGCGCCCACUGUUGGGAAGUAUAGUUGGUCACGAGGAUGGGAAGUCUGUACUUUGGAAUUUGUUUUUGAAUGCAUCCUUUGAUCUUUCACUUCGCAUGGUGGCCCCUUGCUGUCUGAUGCACCGGGAAGGAGGCACUUUUGAAGAAUUGCCUGCUUAUGAUCUUGCCAUGCAGUCUGAUACUGCUGUUGUUCUAGACCAUGGUAGAGAUGUCUUCAUUUGGUUGUUAUGUCAAUCAAUCCAUCUUAUAGCUUUGGCAUGUUAUAUAUCUGUUAUAUUUGCUUUCUGGCUAUUUUUGCUUUUAUGUUAUUCACCUUUGAACCAUAAAGUCUGGCAUGCAUGUGUCUGCUAUAUGUGGUCCAUUUUUUGCUUUGUGAUUGAGUAGGAGAUCCUUGAAUGCAUGUAGUUUGAAGGCAAGUUGCAAACAAAGACCUUAGCGCAUUUGUUCCUAUGCUCUUUAUGAACACCAUCAAGCUCGGUUAUUAUUAAGAUUGUAUUUCUCUCUGUUAAUAUCAGGCCACGGUAGAAAAGAGAUGCUAGCUUGAUGUAUGGGGAACUGGAAGUAAAGGUUUGGAAUUGAGAAGCUAUUCGUGCCUUUCUAAAUGUGGUCACAGCUAGCUCAUCCAUCUAACAUUUUUAUAUCAUGGUCACUUUGUAAAUGCAUUUUGUAUAGCAUACCCUUAUAUAUAUGUACACACCAUGUGACAACCUUGCCUUGGACGCAUUCUUUUUCUUUUUCACUUUUAUUCCACCUGUAUGUGUAUGCCUGGUAUGUUUAUGUUAUGAGAGAAAUACUGGUGGAUUACGUUUUUUAGAAUCGACUUUAGAAUCUAUGUUUAUUUAUUUAUUUAGUUUUCAGUGAAUAAUAUUGAACAUCUUCCUGUCAACUGCUGGCUUCAGGGUGCUGAACUUGCAGCUGAUGAAGGACGAAAUGCAGCAGCUUUGACAGCUUGUAGAACAUUGGCAGAAGAGCUCACAGAGUUACAAUUUCCAGCACCUCGGAUCCUUGCUUUCAAGGUUCUUCUUCCCUUAUUUAGUCCGAAUAUUCUAUAAACUGUGCAUUGUUCCAUCAAACAGAAAAAGAACCUAAUGAUCUGGUUUUAUUGCAGGAGGGGAGCUCUGAGUCUCGAUAUUUUAUUUCUCGGCUGAUACCAGCACACAAGGAUCCUCCUUACAAACAGGUAAGAGAAAAAAAAUAAUGGGCAAACCUCUUUGCUUUUAGUCCUAACAGGUCUAUCUGUUUCUGUAUGUAUUUAUUGAAAAAUGAAGGAAUGCAUAUAGUUAGAAAACAGUGAAGUAACUAUUGCUUGAUGCUUAUGCAGGAGGCAAAUUUCCACAGCUCCAAACACUUGACAACAGAACAGUGGACAAAACUGAAAAGCAGUUUUGUUCAUUUUGAUGAUCCCAGCUUCUGUGAAUGGAUUCGGAAUUUGAAAGUAGUGCCACCAGAAAAAAGAUAAGAUAUAUUUUCCUUUUUUUUGCAGUUAAAAUUCCUCCAAAAAUCAUUUAUUGGAAUCUUUCUGCUCUUCUUUUUUCUUCUCCCUAUGAAAGGAAUGUAACUCAUUCAUUUUUUCUUUUCAUUAUUAUUUUUUUUCUUUUCCAGCUCUCCUUUACAAAAUUUCCCUUUUUUUUUUUAUAUAUAUAUAAAAGAAGUUGCAGGCGCUGGGAUUUGAACAUAGACCUGCUGGGUGUGAUUGAAGGUAGUUCCAUGAAUCAACUAAGCUAAGUUCCAAUUUUCUCACUCUUUUAAAAUUGAAAGAAACAGUUAUACUUCAUAGUACUCCAAAGUUCAACUGUAUUGUCUCAUUGUUAGUUGAAAAUUCUUUUGCUAGAGAAAUAGUUUUACUUUACCUUGUAUCAUUCUUAUAUAAAUUAUGCCAUUUUUUGUAAAUCUCUUCCGAUGGUAUCCUUGAAGUUACUGCAGCAUGGUUGGUUCCGGAGAAAGUCUAAUUCAAGGAAAUCAGACUCUUAAUAGUUUUUUUCUUUGGUUUUGUAUACAAUUGAGCUAGCUGAUAACAAAUAUUCUAUUUGGAGCAAUCAGGUUUUGUGAUUUCACAAUUUGGUUUGAUUGAGAACAACUGAUGAAAUGAUUGACUGGUAAGUAAACUUUUGUGUUGGUGGCCUAGUUUAUAAGCCAAUAAAGCAUUGGUGAGCAAUAAUUUUGCUUAAAAAAUGGUGAAAUAUAAAUGUUAAACGGAGACUUUGAUGAAUUGUAUAUUCGUAUAAAUGAUUUCACAAUAAAUCCAUGUUUUAUAAACUAUUAUAAUCCAAAUCACGAUUUUGCAACACAAUUCAACUAGAAAAGGAGAAUAAAAAAAAAAAUAACUUUUUUUGUAAAUUGUGUACUGUAUUUCCUUUAGUACAAUUAACAUUCUAACGUCAACUGUUAACCCACCAGUCCAAAAGAAAAAUAAAAAUAUCAAUAUAUUUGUAAUUGGUUGGUUCGGUCUUUUAAGAUGAUCUUUUAAAAAAUAUAAUAAAUUGAUUGAUUUAUUUUUAAAAAAAAAAUAACUGAAUUGACAAAAGGUGUGUCGAAAAAUCAAAAUUUUGAAUAAAUUUUUGUCAUUAAUUUUGAAUAAUUUGUAAUAAUUUUAUAAAUAAAAUUUACUCAUAAUUUUAUCAUCAAUAUUAUAUUUGUUAUUUUUAUAAAUAUAAUAUUAUUUUAUAUAUAUUUUAAUUAUAUUAAAUAUAAUUUAAAAUUAUCUUAAUAAAAAUCAAUUAAUUAAUUGAUUUAAUUAUUAAUUUAAAAUAAUAACGUCAAACUAAUUUGAUUAAUCAAAUCAAUCAGAAAUCGAUUUAUACUCACUUUUAUUUAUUGGUAUAGUAGAAUCAAAAUUAGAACAUUUGGUCUCUUUGGAUUGAGUCAGUAUAUUGAAUUAGAUGUGAUAAUUUAAAAUAUAAUAUGAUUAUAUAAUAUAAAUAUGAUUCAAAUAAAAAAUUAAAAUUAAUACAAUUUAAAAUUUUAAUAAUAAUUAUAUAUAAAUUUAAUAAAAUUUUAAAAAUAUUUUAUAUUUUUAUAUUUACACGUAAAUUAUUAUCCAUAAUUUUUAUAUAAAAUAUGAUAUAAAUUUAUAAAUUUUAAUGUAUAUAUAUAUAUAAACACGCACGAAUCGUCGUGUCUACAGUAAAGGACAAAGUUCAUGUCUACAUUAAACCAGAAAUUCACUAGUUAGUGAGUUGGUCCGGGCCUGAGUAGUAACGAGUACUGUUUUCCCACUAAACGGGUCAUCCAUUUCCCAAAAAAUAAACAAAAAAGCAAAUUUCAUUGCUUACCAAAAUCCAGUGUUUUAACAUUCUCCGCCCCGCCUAUCUUCUGUUAUUUCUUUACUUCCCCUCACUGUGUCAAAAGAAUCUAACGCAACCAAAGAAUCUACCACUAUUCAUUUCUCUGUAAGACUUCAUAUCUUCCCACAUGCUUUCGUUUUUAUUUACUUUCGCAGUUUUUCAUUUAUAUUUUCGUAAGUUUUAUAUGAUAUUUUUGUUCUAAUUCUAGACUCUGACAACAUUAAGCAUUUCUAGUUUUCUUGGGUGUUUUAUGGUUACCCAUCUGAACCUUGAUCUGAAUGCACGUGUCCUACACGUGUUUCUGUUUUUUAAUAAAGUAAAAGGGUCGUCGGACAGUCCAGAAAAAUCACUUUUAGUUUUGUCUUUGAUCUCAAAGUUGGUAAAGGCGGUAAAUGUAGACCUGGCAAUUCGUGUAUCAUUGUCAUAUAUGUUUCAUUUCGUGUCAAACAUAUGUAAAAUAUGAAAAUUAUCGUAUCCAUGUCUGACAUGCCAAACUCAUAUAUGGUUUUUAUCGAAAUUUUAGACCGAGUUAUAUCGUUUAAGUGUCAUAUCAUUAUAUCUUGUCAAAAUUACUAAGUUUAGGUAACUGUUAACGGUAAUUGCUUGUUCACCAAUCAACAUGGUUGUCCUCCAAGAAUUUUUUUAGAAUGUUCAGGACCCAUCAUAAGUAGGCUUGAACAGAUACUGAAGUCAUUAAUAUUUGUAAUUAGUAGGGUAGGGGGUUUAUUUUGCUUUAAUGGGGAUAUUAAUGUUUAAACUGAUAGGUAUGUACUGUUNNNNNNNNNNNNNNNNNNNNNNNNNNNNNNNNNNNNNNNNNNNNNNNNNNNNNNNNNNNNNNNNNNNNNNNNNNNNNNNNNNNNNNNNNNNNNNNNNNNNNNNNNNNNNNNNNNNNNNNNNNNNNNNNNNNNNNNNNNNNNNNNNNNNNNNNNNNNNNNNNNNNNNNNNNNNNNNNNNNNNNNNNNNNNNNNNNNNNNNNNNNNNNNNNNNNNNNNNNNNNNNNNNNNNNNNNNNNNNNNNNNNNNNNNNNNNNNNNNNNNNNNNNNNNNNNNNNNNNNNNNNNNNNNNNNNNNNNNNNNNNNNNNNNNNNNNNNNNNNNNNNNNNNNNNNNNNNNNNNNNNNNNNNNNNNNNNNNNNNNNNNNNNNNNNNNNNNNNNNNNNNNNNNNNNNNNNNNNNNNNNNNNNNNNNNNNNNNNNNNNNNNNNNNNNNNNNNNNNNNNNNNNNNNNNNNNNNNNNNNNNNNNNNNNNNNNNNNNNNNNNNNNNNNNNNNNNNNNNNNNNNNNNNNNNNNNNNNNNNNNNNNNNNNNNNNNNNNNNNNNNNNNNNNNNNNNNNNNNNNNNNNNNNNNNNNNNNNNNNNNNNNNNNNNNNNNNNNNNNNNNNNNNNNNNNNNNNNNNNNNNNNNNNNNNNNNNNNNNNNNNNNNNNNNNNNNNNNNNNNNNNNNNNNNNNNNNNNNNNNNNNNNNNNNNNNNNNNNNNNNNNNNNNNNNNNNNNNNNNNNNNNNNNNNNNNNNNNNNNNNNNNNNNNNNNNNNNNNNNNNNNNNNNNNNNNNNNNNNNNNNNNNNNNNNNNNNNNNNNNNNNNNNNNNNNNNNNNNNNNNNNNNNNNNNNNNNNNNNNNNNNNNNNNNNNNNNNNNNNNNNNNNNNNNNNNNNNNNNNNNNNNNNNNNNNNNNNNNNNNNNNNNNNNNNNNNNNNNNNNNNNNNNNNNNNNNNNNNNNNNNNNNNNNNNNNNNNNNNNNNNNNNNNNNNNNNNNNNNNNNNNNNNNNNNNNNNNNNNNNUCCAAGAUUACCUCUCCAGGCAUUUGUUGGUUAGAAUGGGUCUUGCUCAGUUUCAUAAAAGACUUUUAAUGUUUUGUAUAAAUGUAGGAUGUGGAGAAAGACGUGAAAGCACGAACGAAGGGUGAUAUGGGAGCAGCUAAGUCUCUUUGUACCCCGUUUGAACAGCCUGAACUCCCAGAAGGUAAAGCAGGCAUUUAUUUUAAACAAUAGGAUACUUUCCCUCCCUCAUAAUACUAGUAGUAUUUUGUUUUUUAAUAAACUGUUACUGCACCAGCAUGCACUAAUGGGCAACUGCCAAGAAUCUUAAUCUGUGACAAACUACAAAAGAUUAUUGGAAAUUUAGAGAAAUCAUACUACAUUAAGAGGAAUAAGAGAUAAUAAAUUAAUAUUAAUCAGUAGUUCAAUUAAUUUGAAGGAUUAAGUAAAAAUCCGGCACCCAGUGAGCUUGGUUCAGGUGAGAUGUGAUUGCAAAUGUGUCAUUGUGAUUGAACCUGAAGCUUAGCUCAGUUGGUUCUUGUAAUCACUCUUAAGAAGUGGUAGUUAAUAAAUCUAGGGUUCCAAUCUCAGCACCUGCAUCCCCCUCUCUUCUCCAGGCUGCAACCACUUUUGUAUCAAAAAAGAAAAAGCUUACUUAAUCCUUUUGUAACACAGUCUUUUCUCAAUUUAGAAUUUUAUAAAUUUCUCUUACACUUAGUAUUGAGGGAAUUCAUGUGUAAAUGCUGUUUGAUUAUUUUGUAACCUUACAUCCACAAAAAGAAAAGAGGAGAUUAUACGUCUUCUAUAGAAUUCUCUUCUCAUGAAAAAUGAAAUUAUGCAGGUACUAAAUGCUUUGCCUCUGGAAGCCUGCAAAGAAAUGGACCUAUUGGGGUAGAAGUUACUGGAAGAUUAUUCUCUUUUUAUGACCAUCUCCUUCACAUUGCCCCUGUCUGAUGUCAGCUGUGCUGGUGUGUGGACCAUUCUUAACAGGAUUAAUUUUCAAUUUGAAAUUGUUAUAUGAAACUGAUGAGAGUACUUGGUUUUAUUAUCAUAUAGUUUAAGAGUUCACUACGAUGCAUGGCAAAAAUAUUUACAUGAGUAAAUGUCACUCAUCUGUCAUUUCUUUUGGUGAUUAAAACAUGCAGAAUGGCAAAAUAUUUACAAAACAUGCAGAAUGGCAAAAUAGUUACAACUGUAGAAUGGAUGUCCUCAUUUCCAUCUGGUCAAUUUAUAAAAGUGAUCAAAUCUCACCGCACUUAUGUUUUGGUGGAAUCCAAAUGAUCCCUUAGGCUUAUGUGCGGUGUGGUGGAAUUGUAGAGAUAUUGGUGCAAUUAAGUCUCCUACCAAUCUUAUAAUUUUGCUGAUUUGGACCCAAAGAGAUAUUGGCACGUAGACAUGAAAUCCAAGUUACUCUCAACGACUAACAAGUUUGCUUUCAGUAAUGCCAUAAAUUCUUGGAGUCUAUACUAAAAUGAAAGCUAUAUAUUAAUAUUCAUCACAUACAUUUAUUAAUAGUUUGUAGUUCCUUGAUAAAUGAUGUGCGGAUCAAAAUAGCUUUACACUUUUCAAUUAGUUAAGGCUAAUUACAAUUAUAUUACAAAUCAUUGCAAAUAUCAAUUAGAACAUGGCUAAUAGGAAUUUCAUAUCUGUGGAAAAUAUGUUGCUAUGAUGCUCAAUUGUUAAUAUGAGGUGGCUAUACAAUGUGCAGAAUCAACUCAGAGGUAUUUUAAAGAUAUUUCAGCAUGGCAUAUUUAAUUCUUUUUGAAGUAGGAUUUAAGUUUAUAAGACUUAUUUCCUUCAUAACAAAUGGUCUAUUUGAUUCUUGAUGUGCCUAAAGCUAAGCCAACCUUGAACUUGAUGACCAAUCAUUAUAUAGAAGUAUAAUGCUGAAGCAAAAGAGAAAUAAGAAAAAUGAAAGCAUGAUUGCUACAUAGCCAUUUGACAUUUUAACUAUUGGAAAGCAUCUUAAUUGCAGUGGACUGAGGUAAAAUUUAAAGUAAUGUGAUUUUAGUUAUUGAAUCUUUUUGCUGGAUUUUGAGAUUUCAAUAAAUUUUAGACAGUAAGUUAAGAUACUUGCUGUAGAUUUGGUGACAAAGAAAACUGUACGCUAAGAAAGAAAAGAGUUCCAAUGGCGACUUUUAACCUAUUUUUUGCAAGUGCUUUGAUUGCAACUUAACUACUAUUUUGCAUCUUGGAAACAUUGAAUUUUCUCUUGAAGAGAGCAAUGAUUCUUAAGUCUCACCUCAAUCAAAAGGAAUUUUAUUUGAUUUGUUACUUAAGUCUACUGAAAUUCAUAUUCAUUAUUUGUUUGGCUUGAAUGUCUUAUUUUGUAAAAUGACAAAGAAAAGUAGUAAUUUUUUUGAGAAAGCUAAAUUUUAUAAUUUGUGGGAGUAAUUCAAAAGACAAGAAAGCAUUUCCUUGAAUGUGAUUAUAUAGAUUUAAUUACGUUUGCUCAUCCUUAUUAUCUAUUCUUCACAUAUUCUAAUCUUAAUUUAUUUAUCUAAUUAAGCAUAAAUUAGUCAAUUUUCUAACUUUAAUAGGCCCAUAUUGGUGAUCCUUUAAGGAUCGUGCAACCAUAAAUUUGAACUAUUGUUUAGUUAAACUUGUGUAACUAUGAUUUUUUUGUUUACUACAUGUCACAUUUCAAAUCUAUUUUGGGUCACCCAUAAGUUUUGCCAUAAAAUUGGUAAAUUUAGUUAAAUUGAUACAACUAAUAAUUAAAUAGAUUUUGGUAUGAAAACAAAAAUACAAUAAUGCUAAAAUUUAAGGUGACAAGUUUCCAAUAGAUAUAUCAACAAUAACAUUUUGUCUAAAAAGAAAAAAAAAUUGAAUUCAUGGGAUUUCAUCUAAAGUAAACUUUAAAAUGAUAUAACUAAAUUCAUAGACAUCAUUUUUUUUCCAAACUCUUGACAACUUAAUUUUUUAGUGACAACAUUUUAUAACUUUAGUAUUUUUAAGAUGUCAUUCCUCCAGCUAUUGAAUGUUAGCUUCAAAAUGUCAUCUUAUUUACUUAUUGAAUGUUACCUGAACUAUUAUAGAAAAUAUCAGAAAGAAACAUUUGUUUGAAGGAAGCUUUUUAAGUUCAACAUGUAGACCCUACAGGUUGUAUAAUGAAAUUCAAUUUAUGAGACUCAGGUAUAUAACACAAAAGAAAUAAGGAUUUAAUCUUAUUUAAAGAUAACAUGUAGAUUUACUUAACCUAUACAUGUAAAGUGAAAAUUUUUACACAAAUCAUAUUUGAUUAAACCUUCUAAUGACUUGAAUUUAUGGGUUGGAUGAAGUCCUUUGUCCUAUGUAGUAAAAUGGCAUAUCAAAGAAAAUGUAUGACUUAUGUUUAGAGCAAAAGAUGGUCAAGUUUACCUUGCAUUUGAGUCAUAUUCAUUAAAAUAAACAUAGGAGAAAAAUAUAAGAAAAAUUUAAGCUAUUGAAUCUAAUAUAAGCAUGUAAACUUAUUGGACUUAUUAUAAAAAAUGGUCAAAUUCUAACCUGAUUAAUGAAAACAACAUUCUGAUUAAAAGGUUGAGUGCUUGGACCUUUUCAUUUUUUGGAUUGAGUUUCAAAACAAAUAUUAAAUUUGCGCUUACCAUCAGUUUUAUCACUUUUCAUUUUUAAUCCUUUCACAUUCAUGACUUUUGAAUCAUCCAUAACAUUAGAUUUUUUAGCAUCAUCUUCGUCACCUUUUAUAUAAGAAUCAUCAAAGUUGCUCACUAUUAAACUUUUAAAACCCAUUCAACUAGUUUUACCUGUUGAAAUCUUUUCUAUCUUAAGCAUUACCUUUAAAGAUUCUAUUAAAAGCAAUGUACCAUUCCUUUGUUUUAACAGUCCAUGUUGACAACUUAAUUGCAUUCCUAUUUAAUUCUUUAUAGCUAACUUAGGAUCUUUUUUUUCUAGUGCUUCUGUUGAUGUCUCUUACACUUCCAAGCUUUACAGCUUUCUUCCAUCUCUUUACAAUAUAUUUCUCAGAUACAAACUUGAUAUUUUUUGAGUUUAGCACCUUUAAGAUAUGAUAACAGAGAAUUCUCCAAAAUUCAAAUUUCAUACAAGUACAAAAAAUUGAAUUAGUUGAAGAGUUGAAUUUAACAAAAUGAUUUUGAUAUUCUCCAAAAGCAUUGAUCUUGUACUCAAAGAAUGAUUCGUUUUAACUAUAAUCUUCAAUAACCAAAUUAAAAUUUUUUUAAAAUUCUUUUUGAAACUCUUUAAAAACAUUAAGAAUGUAAACAUCUCUAGUAUGCCUUAACGUGGUUGCAUUUACCUUCAUUAUUGGAAUGCGUUGACUUAUGUCAUAAUUAGAUUUUACCUCAUUGCAGCAUAAAUCAACCACUAACCUUUCAAAAUAAUUGAGGAAUCGGACCACAUUUAACCAUGAAGUUACGUAGUUGUUCAAUUGGUUAUUGAAACUCUCACUUAGUUAAGUACUCUUUCUCCCAAUACUAAAUGUUUUCUUUUGAAAUGCCAUUGCCAACCUUUCUCUGUUUUCAAAAGUUUUAGCUAACCAUGUAUUUUCUUAAAGAUUAUACUUGCCAAUCAUAUCUUCCAUGCAUGAACAAACUCUUCCUUGUAUAAAAUAUUAUUAAUGCAAUACAAAAACUCUUUAACUAAGGUGUUAUGCAUUUGAAAGUGCUACCCAAAAUGUAUUUUUGCAUUUUCCCACAUGUGCCAAACGUAUAAUCAAUGAGUAGUUUCAGGCAAUAUAUUUUUUACAGCUUUUACCAUUGCUUGAUCUUGAGCUAUAAUAAUAGAUGUUGGUUUCUAACUAGACAUUACUUGAACAAAUGUCUUAAAAAGUCAUUCAAAUGAUUCAUUACGCUCAUCGUAAAGAAGCAUGGCCCCAAACAUUACCAUUUUUUUUUAUGAUUUAUUCUAACAAAUGAUGCAAAUAGUAGAGAAAGAUUGUUAGCUUUAUAGGUAGUAUCGAAGCAAACAACAUCACCAAAAUGGCCAUAAUCAAGUACCAUUCUUACAUCUGCCUAAAACCCAAAGUUAUCAAACCAUCCACAUCAAGUUGUACAGCAUAAAAAAAAUGAUAGAUUGUCUAACUAUUAUUUUUGGAAAUAAUUCAGCAACCUUUCAGCAUCUCCUUCUUUCAUAUCUUUAAUUCGUUUUAAACACAAAUAAUUAUUAUAAUCAAGGAGGAGAUAACCAACAUUUUUUCCCUACUUAUUUAUUCAUGAACUCAAAGGUUGAUUUUUGUAGAAUAUCAUAAUCAUCUGCCAUAUUUGCUUCAAUAGCUUGAGCAACAAUCACCUUUCUUUGUGAGGGCAGCAUGUAAGCUUGUUCUAAAGAUUUAAGCUCAUGAUUAUGAUUUUCUUCAAAAUAGGUGACUUUAUAUUUUCCAUUGGACUAGCAAGAAAUAGUUAUACGUGCCAAGCAACUUGUACUUACUUUUUUUUUAGGUCUCUUAACUUUCAUGUAAGAUUUAUUUGGUAUUCAAAAACUACUUUUGUAGUAAAAAAAUCUCUGAGACACUACAUGCCCAUCUAUUUUACUUUUAUUCGAGAAAUCUUUUCGAAUACUACAACCAACCAUUCCAGCAUUAUUGUUAUAAAACCAAUAAGCUUGAUUUUUUUAUUCAAAUUACAUGUUCAACUUUGAUACCAUCUCCAAUAUUGCCUUAUUCGGAUCAUAAUUUUCUUCUAUUAUAUUUGCACUAAUAAAAACGAAUUGCUUAUUAACAUUAAUACUAAAAGGAUAAAUUAUAAUUAUACUUUUUUUUAAUGGUCGCCUAUUUUUUCCAUUCUCUCUUAAAAUACAUACAUGUUCUCAAUAAAGAGUCCUUGCUGUAUUACCUUUCACUUUAAUGGUACUUGCCCAUUAAUAUAUAUAUAUAUAUAAUCUUUCACCUCUUGACUUAGUGGUUAAGAGGCUUUUAGAAAGACGUGGGGGUGGGUUCUAACCCCGUUAUCCUCCUUUCUCUUUGAACAGGCAUUUGCCUUCCUUUGAACAAAAUAUAUAUAUAUAUAUUUAUCAUAUUUAUCAUUUUCAUGAUUUAUCUUAGCCUUUAUAAUAAAUCAUAUAUUUUUAGGUAUUGAAUAGAACUAUGAAAAUAGAUUUCAAAUAUCAAUUCCUACUCUUAAAGUUCAAAAAACUAUAAACUUUUCUUUUUUUGUUUUUAACCCACUUAGAUCCGUAGGUUUUUUUACACUUACUUAGAUCCCUAGUUAAACAAAUAAUUAAGAUAGGUUAAUUACAUGUUGCGAUUAUUUUUAUAAACAAAUUGAUCAUGCCAUCAAACUAAUGCAAACUUAUUUAUAAUUUCUUUUCUAAUUGUAACUUCAUUUGAUUUAGAUAACAAACUAGCAAUCUCCUUAAUAAUAUCAUAAUUGAAAUGUGAAUCCAAUACCAUAGGUUUAGAUUAUUAGUUGAAUUGAUAGCUACAAAAAAUUGACCAAGGAAAACAUAAGCCAAAUUAAUUAUGAUGGAUGGGGAACGCAAGCAUGGGCAAAAUGUCAAGCCAAGGAGAAUGUCAAGUUCAAAUCAUUAUUUCUGUCACCAAUCCUAUGUAAUCUAUCAUGAUUUUAUUUUUUAUGUGUGCUUUGAAAUAAAAGAACAUUUAUGAAAACAAAUAAAUUGUGAAUGAAUGUAUUAUUGUUAAAUUUUUUAUUAUAAAAUAUUUAUAAAUAAAAUAAUAUAUUAUUAAGUGGCGAAGCCAAAAGGCAGGCAGGGAUUACGACUCUCUCAAAAUAUUUUUACCUUUUUUACACUAAAGUGCCUGAACCCACUAAAAUAUUACUUUGACCCUUUUUUCUUUUUGAAAUUACUAUUUGACAUCUUUUUUUACCUAAUUCCCACUUUCGUCACAUUAUUAAUAAAUAAAAUAAAUGUGAAGCUGUUGAAGAAUGAAAAACCCUUAUAAUGACAAAAAAUUGUGAACAUUAUUGUUCUCGUAACUGUAAUAAAAUUACUUUAAAAAUGAUUAAUAAUUAUUAUUAUUAUUAUUAUUAUUAUAUUUUAUAAUAAAUUAUGUAAAAUUAAAAAAAUUAGUGAACACGAUGAAUUUAAUGAUUGCGAUAACAAUUAUUAUAUCUAUAAUUAUAAUAAAUAUAAUGUGAUUGAAAAUGAGAUUGUGAUCCUAAUUUAAAUAUUUGAUUGCAGGUUAAUAACAUUUAGUGCUUAUUUAAAAAAAAAAACAUUUAAUCAUGGAAUGAAUAACACCCUAAAAUUAUGUUUGAUGUAUAUGAAUAUUGAUACGAUAAGAUGAUAAUUAUUUUAUUUCACAUUUGAUUUGUAUUCAAAAUGAGAUAUAUAGAUUGUAAAAAGAAUUAAUAUAUUCUUGUACAAUAUUAUUCAAUCUUCUCAAAGUAACAAAAUAUUUUUUUAAUUAAUGUAAUUAAACUUACAUAUUUAAUUAUAUUUUUAAAAAUUACAUUAAUAAUUUAAAUUAUAUAAGUUUUAAUUAAUGAUAAUUUUGACAAAUAAAUAAGUUAUUCUAUCAUAAUCUUUGUAUAUAUCAAAUAUAAAAUAAAAUAAUAUUAUUUAAUCUAAUUUUAUUUAUAAUAUGAUUUUAUUUUAUCUUAUUAUAAUCUUAUAUAUUAAACAUAAUUUAACAUUUAGUCUUAAAUUAAUCAUUUAAACUAUCAUCUAUAAUUUUUAUUCAAAUUUUAAAUCUAAUAUUAAAUAUAUUGUCUUGCUGAUGUUUUUUUUGUCUAAAAAAUUUGAGGUAAAUAAAUUAUUUAAUCUUCAGAUUAUAAUAAGAUAUAUUUGUAUCUAAUAAUUUAAGAUAAAUGAUUACAGAUAACAUAUUCGAGAUUAAUUCAAUAAAUUAUCACGACUCAGAACAAAAAAUAAUCCUAACCGAUUUAAACAGUUAGAUGUUUAAAAUGGCCAAAGUGGAUGCGUCAAUGGUUACCAAGUUUAGUAGACCCGAGAGACAACGGGCUCUAUUUCAGGGGCUCGGCUCCUCCAUGUCAUAAGAAACAAAGCCAUAACCCAACACAGAGACGAAGAAAGAGAGAGUUUGAUAAAAAACAUUCAAAGAUUAUUAUGAUUCCAAGUCUUUGAUGAUUCAAAUAAAAGACUCCUUUCUUUCUCAUUUCCUCUUACAUCAGGUAUGAAAUUUCCUUUUUGGUCUUAUUAUAUACAUAAAAACACUAGAUUUAAUUCCAUUUUUUUUUAAAAUUUGGAUUUUAGAUUGGAUUCUGGAAGAAGGGACUUAAUUGAAGCUUGAAUUGAGGUGAAGAUAUAGAGCUAAGUGAUCAAGUUGCUUCUUUUCUUUUUUUUUUAAUCUUGGAAGGUGAAUUGUGGUGAAUUUUAUGGGGGUUCUUGAAUCUUGAUUGAAUUUCUGCAUUUUCUGUUGAAAUAUUGAAUUGGGUUUCCUUUAAAAUCCAGUUCUUUGUUUGUUUAUGGGGUUUUAAGGUUUUGUUUGGGCUUUUGCUGGUCUGAACAUUGCAUUGAAGUUUAAUGCAAAAGCUUAAAAUCUGCACCUUCACUUCUCUUCCAAGAGCUGGAAUUUGGUUGGUAUUACUUGUUGUAGCCCUGGUGUUUCGCUGUUCUUGAUGUUUAAUUAAGAAAAACUUUCAAUUUCAAUGGCUACCUCGCCACAAGCUUCUCCUGUCUACUCUAAGACUAUUACUCCUCAGAUGGAUUCUGCUUCACCUAAUCCUAAAAAAGUUCAAUUGCACCUAUAUUUCCUGUGCCAAAUUUACAACAAAAUCAGAUCCCUUCCCAUUCAAUAAAAAAUCCUACUAUGCUGUCACAGGCAAAUGGGUCAAAACUGGAGCCCAAUUCCACAUCUGAGUACUCCCCUGGCCCUCCUGUAUUUACAUCACCAGUCUGGCUUGCUUGCCGUGUCCACUCCGAAUCUCCGCUUGCAACUUCCUCGCCAUUUAUUAGAACAAUUAAAACGUCUAAACUCCAGGUUAGCUUUAUCCCACAUUUAAGAAAAAUAAACUACGCUAAGAUUCCUAGUAAUUCAGUUUUUUGAGUAUAUUGUUUAAGCUACUUAUGAUGGGGACUUUUCUAAAGGUCCUUCAAUGUUGAUUGGUGAACAAGCAAUGUUAAACUUACCUAAACGUAAUGACACAUGAUAAUUGUGGAGCUUAUUCAAAUCUGUAUUCUAGCAUACUAAUUGGCUCAGGCCAUUGCAGUGUAUAUCUGCUGGCAUCUAAAUGGAAGUGAAGGUGAAUACAUAGCAUCAAGCAAGGAAGAGCUCGUAAUUUUCCAGAGUUUGUUAUCGCCUUUGUUGAAUUUCAUUCAAGAGGUAAUAAGAGACCAAGUUUUGUUCCACUUACUGAUUUGGGAACAUCUGGCACUGGUUGUUCUUGUCAUUGAUGAAUGUCUAGAUGAGCCACACCUUCAGCAUUUUCAGAGCUCCCUGCAUGCAUUUGUUGAUUCUGUGCCACCAACAACAAGAAUGGAAUCAUUUGUAUGGUCGCACAGUAUCAGUCUAUGACUUUUUAAAAAAUCAAUAGCAUCUGCUGAUGUGAUUCCAGGUGGCACUUCACCAACUCAGGAGACCUUGAAAGCAUUGAUUUAUGGCACUGGUUUAUCCUUUGUCACUAAUCCAUGCUUCAAAAGAGGUGGCACACCUGAUAUUCUCUUCAUUGAGGCCAUACAAGUUGAAUGUUCCAGAAGCAUCAAGAGAUAGGUGCUUGGGUACUGCAGUUGAGGUUGCUCUGACUAUUAUUCAAGGGCCAUCUGCAGACAUGUCUCCAGGUAUAGUUAAAGGCCAGGAGGUAUUAGCAGAAUCAUUGUGUGUGCUGGUGGACCGAAUACUUAUGGCCCUUGAUCCGUCCUUCAUUCUUAUACUCUUCCUAAUUAUCCUCAUAAGGAAAAGACAGCAAUGAAAUGGAUGGAGCAUCUUGGUUGAGAGGCUCAUCAACAUAACACAGUGGUGGACAUUCUCUGUGCUGGAACUUGCCCUGUACGGGUUCCUGUGCUGCAGCCUCUUACAAAAGCUUCAAGGGGUGUUUUGUUCUUCAUGAUGACUUUGGUGAAGCCUUUGGUGUGAACUUGCAGAAGGCAUCUGCAAGGGUAGCUGGUUCGCAUGGUUUGUUGGAGAUACGCUGUUCUGAUGAUAUUCUUGUUACUCAGGUCGUGGGUCCUGGUGAAGAGGCACAUAUUGACACCCAUGAAACCUUUUAAAAUUAUAUUUCUCUUUAUAUUCAAAUGCUGAGUGUUGAAAAAACACAAUGCUUCUCGAUAUUGAUGGAGCAUAAACAUGACAUCAAGAGUGAUUUUGUAAUUUUCCAGUUUGCCAUUCAAUACUUAAAUGUUUAUCAAGUUGAUAUAGUUAGAGUGAUUACUAUCAGAUUGCCAACUGUGGAUAGUGUUUCAGCCUAUCUUCAAAGUGUUCAAGAUGAGGUGGCUACAGUCCUAGUUGCCAAGAGGACUCUUUUGCGAGCAAAUAGUUAUUAUGAAGCAAUUGAUAUGCAAACAACAUUAGAUGAAGGAGUUAAAGACAUUGGUUUAAAGUUUGGGUCCCAAAUGCCAAAUUCAAAGCAAUAUCGGUUCCCAAAGGAAAUCUCUUUACUACCAAAGCUUCUAUUCCAUCUUAGGAGGCGCCCACUGUUGGGAAGUAUAGUUGGUCACGAGGAUGGGAAGUCUGUACUUUGGAAUUUGUUUUUGAAUGCAUCCUUUGAUCUUUCACUUCGCAUGGUGGCCCCUUGCUGUCUGAUGCACCGGGAAGGAGGCACUUUUGAAGAAUUGCCUGCUUAUGAUCUUGCCAUGCAGUCUGAUACUGCUGUUGUUCUAGACCAUGGUAGAGAUGUCUUCAUUUGGUUGUUAUGUAAAUCAAUCCAUCUUAUAGCUUUGGCAUGUUAUAUAUCUGUUAUAUUUGCUUUCUGGCUGUUUUUGCUUUUAUGUUAUUCACCUUUGAGCCAUAAAGUCUGGCAUGCAUGUGUCUGCUAUAUGUGGUCCAUUUUUUGCUUUGUGAUUGAGUAGGAGAUCCAUGAAUGCAUGUAGUUUGAAGGCAAGUUGCAAACAAAGACCUUAGCACAUUUGUUCCUAUGCUCUUUAUGAACACCAUCAAGCUCGGUUAUUAUUAAGAUUGUAUUUCUCUCUGUUAAUAUCAGGCCACGGUAGAAAAGAGAUGCUAGCUUGAUGUAUGGGGAACUGGAAGUAAAGGUUUGGAAUUGAGAAGCUAUUCGUGCCUUUCUAAAUGUGGUCACAGCUACCUCAUCCAUCUAACAUUUUUAUAUCAUGGUCACUUUGUAAAUGCAUUUUGUAUAGCAUACCCUUAUAUAUAUAUACACACCAUGUGACAACCUUGCCCUGGACGCAUUCUUUUUGUUUUUCACUUUUAUUCCACCUGUAAGUGUAUGCCUGGUAUGUUUAUGUUAUGAGAGAAAUAUCAGUGGAUUACGUUUUUUAGAAUCGACUUUAGAAUCUAUGUUUAUUUAUUUAUUUAGUUUUCAGGGAAUAAUAUUGAACAUCUUCCUGUCAACUGCUGGCUUCAGGGUGCUGAACUUGCAGCUGAUGAAGGACGAAAUGCAGCAGCUUUGGCAGCUUGUAGAACAUUGGCAGAAGAGCUCACAGAGUUACAAUUUCCAGCACCUCGGAUCCUUGCUUUCAAGUUUCUUCUUCCCUUAUUUAGUCCGAAUAUUCUAUAAACUGUGCAUUGUUCCAUCAAACAGAAAAAGAACCUAAUGAUCUGGUUUUAUUGCAGGAGGGGAGCUCUGAGUCUCGAUAUUUUGUUUCUCGGCUGAUACCAGCACACAAGGAUCCUCCUUACAAACAGGUAAGAGAAAAAAAAUAAUGGGCAAACCUCUUUGCUUUUAGUCCUAACAGGUCUAUCUGUUUCUGUAUGUAUUUAUUGAAAAAUGAAGGAAUGCAUAUAGUUAGAAAACAGUGAAGUAACUAUUGCUUGAUGCUUAUGCAGGAGGCAAAUUUCCACAGCUCCAAACACUUGACAACAGAACAGUGGACAAAACUGAAAAGCAGUUUUGUUCAUUUUGAUGAUCCCAGCUUCUGUGAAUGGAUUCGGAAUUUGAAAGUAGUGCCACCAGAAAAAAGAUAAGAUAUAUUUUCCUUUUUUUUGCAGUUAAAAUUCCUCCAAAAAUCAUUUAUUGGAAUCUUUCUGCUCUUCUUUUUCUUCUUCUCCCUAUGAAAGGAAUGUAACUCAUUCAUUUUUUCUUUUCAUUAUUAUUUUUUUUCUUUUCCAGCUCUCCUUUACAAAAUUUCCCUUUUUUUUUUAUAUAUAUAAAAGAAGUUGCAGGCGCUGGGAUUUGAACAUAGACCUGCUGGGUGUGAUUGAAGGUAGUUCCAUGAAUCAACUAAGCUAAGUUCCAAUUUUCUCACUCUUUUAAAAUUGAAAGAAACAGUUAUACUUCAUAGUACUCCAAAGUUCAACUGUAUUGUCUCAUUGUUAGUUGAAAAUUCUUUUGCUAGAGAAAUAGUUUUACUUUACCUUGUAUCAUUCUUAUAUAAAUUAUGCCAUUUUUUGUAAAUCUCUUCCGAUGGUAUCCUUGAAGUUACUGCAACAUGGUUGGUUCGGAGAAAGUCUAAUUCAAGGAAAUCAGACUCUUAAUAGUUUUUUUCUUUGGUUUUGUAUACAAUUGAGCUAGCUGAUAACAAAUAUUCUAUUUGGAGCAAUCAGGUUUUGUGAUUUCACAAUUUGGUUUGAUUGAGAACAACUGAUGAAAUGAUUGACUGGUAAGUAAACUUUUGUGUUGGUGGCCUAGUUUAUAAGCCAAUAAAGCAUUGGUGAGCAAUAAUUUUGCUUAAAAAAUGGUGAAAUAUAAAUGUUAAAAAGGAGACUUUGGCGAUUUGUAUAUUCGUAUGGUAUAAAAUAUUAAAAUUUAUGUUUUAUUAUUUUUUUUACAUAAUAAUUACGUAUCAUAAUUUAUGUCGAAAUGAAAAUAUAAAAUAUAUUUUUUAAUUAUGUUAAAUUCAUAUGUAAUUAUUGAUAAAAUUUUAAGUCGUUUUAUAUUUAGGUUUUAUUUUCGUAUCAUAUUUAUAUCAUGUCAUUAUAUCGAAGUUUAGAUUGUUAAAUCUAAUCAAAUCCGUAUAAAAGAUUUCACAAUAAAUUUAUGUUGGUUUAAGUGACAAGAAAUAUUUUUUUAUUUGCUGUUCGAGUUCAAAUCGUUUUGAAAAAAAUUAUUUUUCACGAAUUUAUAAAUAAGAAUGAAAUCGCAGUUUGGAUUUGUGAUUCUUAACUAAAACUGGAUUUUGAGUGGAAAACAAAGAUUUUCUCAUGUUUUAUAAACUAUUAUAAUUCAAAUCACGAUUUUGCGACACAACUCAACUAGAAAAGGAGAAUAAAAAAACAGAAAUAACUUUUUUUGUAAUUGUGUAUUGUAUUUCCUUUAGUACAAUUAAAUAUUCUAGCAUCAACUGCUAUCCCAUCAGUCCAAAAGAAAAAUAAGAAUACGAAUAUAUUUGUAAUUGGUUGGUUCGGUUUUUAAAGAUCGAUCUUUUAAAAAAUAUAAUAAAAAUCGAUUGAUUUAUUUUUAAAAAUAAAAAAUAAUUGAAUUGACAAAAGGUGAUCGAAAAAUCAAAAUUUGAAUAACUUUUUGUCAUUAAUUUUGAAUAAUUUGUAAUAAUUUUUACCAAAUAAAAUUUACUUUAUAAUUUUAUCAUCAAUAUUAUAUUUGUUAUUUUUAUAAAUAUAAAUUAUUUUAUCUAUAUUUAUAUUAUAUAUAAUAUAAUUUAAAAACUAUCUUUAAAAAUCAAUUAAUUUGAUUGAUUUAAUUAUUAAUUUAAAAAUAAUAACCGGUCAAAUUAAUUCAUUAAAUAAUUUUAUUUAAUAAUAAUUUUCAGAAUUAAAUGGAUCAAAACAAUCGAUCGAAUUUAAUUGAUUUUGAUUAAUCAAAUCAAUCAGAAUCGAUUUAUACUCACUUUUAUUUAUUGGUAUAGUAGAAUCAAAAUUAGAAGCAUUUGGUCUCUUUGGGUUGAGUCAGUAUAUUGAAUUAGAUGUGAUAAUUUAAAAUAUAAUAUGAUUAUAUAAUAUAAAUAUGAUUCAAAUAAAAAAUUAAAAUUAAUAUAAUUUAAAAUUUUAAUAAUAAUUAUAUAUAAAUUUAAUAAAAUUUUAAAAAUAUAUUUUAUAUUUUUAUAUUUACACGUAAAUUAUUAUCCAUAAUUUUUAUAUAAAAUAUGAUAUAAAUUUAUAAAUUUUAAUGUAUAUAUAUAUAUAUAAACACCACGAAUCGUCGUGUCUACAGUAAAGGACAAAGUUCAUGUCUACAUUAAACCAGAAAUUCACUAGUUAGUGAGUUGGUCCGGGCCUGAGUAGUAACGAGUACUGUUUUCCCACUAAACGGGUCAUCCAUUUCCCAAAAAAUAAACAAAAAAGCAAAUUUCAUUGCUUACCAAAAUCCAGUGUUUUAACAUUCUCCGCCCCGCCUAUCUUCUGUUAUUUCUUUACUUCCCCUCACUGUGUCAAAAGAAUCUAACGCAACCAAAGAAUCUAACGCAACCAAAGAAUCUACCACUAUUCAUUUCUCUGUAAGACUUCAUAUCUUCCCACAUGCUUUCGUUUUUAUUUACUUUCGCAGUUUUUCAUUUACAUUUUCGUAAGUUUUAUAUGAUAUUUUUGUUCUAAUUCUAGACUCUGACAACAUUAAGCAUUUCUAGUUUUCUUGGGUGUUUUAUGGUUACCCAUCUGAACCUUGAUCUGAAUGCACGUGUCCUACAGGUGUUUCUGUUUUUUAAUAAAGUAAAAGGGUCGUCGGACAGUCCAGGAAAAAUCACUUUUAGUUUUGUCUUUGAUCUCAAAGUUGGUAAAGGCGGUAAAUGUAGACCUGGCAAUUCGUGUAUCAUUGUCAUAUAUGUUUCAUUUCGUGUCAAACAUAUGUAAAAUAUGAAAAUUAUCGUAUCCAUGUCUGACAUGCCAAACUCAUAUAUGGUUUUUAUCGAAAUUUUAGACCGAGUUAUAUCGUUUAAGUGUCAUAUCAUUAUAUCUUGUCAAAAUUACUAAGUUUAGGUAACUGUUAACGGUAAUUGCUUGUUCACCAAUCAACAUGGUUGUUCUCCAAGAAUUUUUUAGAAUGUUCAGGACCCAUCAUAAGUAGGCUUGAACAGAUACUGAAGUCAUUAGGUUGAUAAACUAUAUUAAUAUUGUAAUUAGUAGGGUAGGGGGUUUAUUUUGCUUUAAUGGGGAUAUUAAUGUUUAAACUGAUAGGUAUGUACUGUUUCUAAUUGUUCUAAUUAAAUGCUUUAUUUUGUUUGUACUCGAAGUUGAUGAUAUGGCUGGAGUGGAGCAGAGGCAGAACAAGUCUGGAGGUGGUAAGUAUUUUUUUUGCUCAGGUUGGUUAGAUUUCAUUAGUAAUGUGCCAUAAAGGUGUGGCGGUUUCUAAUUGUGUGGAUGUUUUGUUGUUGUUGUUGAUUUUUAGGAGGGAAAAAGAAGGAAGUGAAGAAGGAGACUGGUUUGGGUCUCUCCUUUACCAAGGAUGAGAAUUUCGGGGAGUGGUACUCUGAGGUGCAAUGACUUAGUGCCUGUUAUACUAUGUUAUUGAGAUCUUAGUAUCUUAUUGUUAUAUCAUCAUUUUGGCUUUUGUAGGUUGUUGUCAAUGGUGAAAUGAUUGAGUACUAUGACAUUUCUGGCUGUUAUAUUCUGAGGCCAUGGGCAAUUUCAAUUUGGGAGAUCAUGCAAGUGAGUCAUAUGAUGUUUAUACUCAUAUUGCUCUUUAAAUGUAAAUAAGAAGUGUUUAUUAAUUACAAGGAAAAAAAAUUUAUGGAUUUCAUUCCUCGAUCUUUGUUUUCUUUCUGUUUCCUUUCAUGGUUAACUUAUCCAUGGUGUUAAACUGUAGACAUUCUUUGAUGCUGAAAUCAAGAAAAUGAAAGUCAAGAACUGCUAUUUCCCUCUCUUUGUAUCUCCAGGCGUUUUGCAAAAGGAGAAGGAUCAUAUUGAGGGUUUUGCUCCAGAGGUGAGAAACAAUUUUUUUUUUUUUUGGCAUAAUUGACCUUGUGGAAUGCUUCGCAGCUUGAAAGUGUUGGUUUCUUUUUUAUCAAACUUUUUGAAGCCAUUUGAAACUCAUUUUGUUCCUAAACUUUUUUGCCCUGUUUUCAAUGAUUUACUUCAUUUUGUGGAAAUCCAUAGUUUAGUUUCUAUCUAGGGCUCAAAUUGGAGAAAGUUUUUAUCUAGGGCUAAAUUUGGCAAGUUCUUCCUCAUUUGAGCAAGAUACUUUCAUGAAUAUGCUGAAAAAAUGGCAAUAUUUCGAUGUUUUUAUACUUUUUAGCACUGGACUUAUGCAACACUUAAGUUUUAUGCAUUUUUUACUAGAAAUGUUAUGUGAUCUAAUGAAAAAAUGACAUGUGAAUGGCUUUGGGAUCCUGGUUUAAUCAGGUUGCUUGGGUGACCAAAUCUGGGGAGUCUGAGUUAGAGGUGCCAAUUGCAAUCCGCCCAACUAGUGAGACAGUUAUGUAUCCCUAUUAUUCUAAGUGGAUUAGAGGACACCGUGACUUGCCUUUGAAACUUAACCAGUGGUGCAAUGUCGUUCGAUGGGAAUUUAGCAAUCCCACACCAUUUAUCAGGUAAUUGUCUUAAAAUUGGUCAACUUUAGCUUUUCCGGUGUUAUCCUGCAUCCUUUUCCCCCCUCUCCUUUUCCGGAUGGGAUAUGGUAUGCCAUACAUGUAAUGAGAUGUUAAUUUUCGUAAAAUUUUCUAAUCUCGGUUCAAUUUUCUUAUCCUUAGUUAUUAAUGUUUACAGAUGAGAACAUUAUUUUCUCAAUUCUUUUGAUGCCAAGUUAGAAAAUUAAUUUAAAAUGAUUUGAUGAUAGAUUGGUCACCACUAACUUGCUUCUUAAUUGUAGGAGUCGUGAAUUUCUAUGGCAGGAAGGGCAUACUGCCUUUGCAACAAAGGAAGAGGCAGACACAGAGGUAGCAUAGACUUAAAAUUUUUACCUUUGAUCAACAUUUCAACCUUAGAGAGCUGAAGUUUGCCCAUUGUUCUAUUGGUGUACAAUGGAAUAGGGAAGGUUAAAGUAAAUAGAAAUUUUGCAUGGCUGAUCCUUUUCUUUUUCAUAUUUAUCUACAAUUAAAUUUUGGUUUAAAAUGGCAUUUUUGCCUCAGAAUUGCCGAAUGAAGUAUUUAAGUAAGCAUUUCAGAAAUUUCCCAUGUGAUCUUAUUUUGAAUAAUUUCAAUAUUUUGUUGGUUUCUGUGCUGUGUCAAAAGUCAAAGUCAUAUUUCAUUGCUGUUACAGAUUUCACUUGUCUUGCCUUUUGAAGUAUCAUUGAAGGAUGUGCUAGAUCCUUAGAACCUUUUAUGUGUGUCUAAAUAUGGUUUUGUUGGUGAAUAUAUUAUGGAAGGGGGACUGAGGUGGCAAAAAUGACAUGCUGAGUUAUAUGUAUUUAUUGUUGAAAUACUUUGUGCUUGGUAGAUUUUAGACUUUAGUUCCUACUUCUAAUCACUCUUGCAAUAGUUGUACUGCUUCUCAUUUUCACAUCCUUUGCGAUAUCUCAUGCUGUUAACUAAACAGGCAAAAAAGGGACUUAGUAGCCAAUAACAAUGGUAGGGAUGUCAGCCGGGUCUCUUUACGUAUGUCUAAAUUUUGUUAUAUUUCAGGUUCUUCAAAUAUUGGAACUGUACCGAUGUAUAUAUGAAGAAUUCUUGGCUAUUCCUGUUACAAAAGGCAGGAAGAGUGAACUAGAGACGUUUGCUGGUGGACUUUACACAACUAGUGUCGAGGUAUGGUAUAAACUAUUAUGCAUAUAUACAUGUAAUAACAAUCUCUACUUAUUGGCAUGAACAACGAACUUAAAUUGUCUGCUUGAUCAAUGUGCUUUAAUAUAAAUUGAGGAACUUUUAAUCUGUUCAUAAUAUGAUAGGCAUUUAUUCCAAACACUGGGCGUGGUAUUCAAGGUGCAACCUCCCAUUGUCUGGGCCAAAACUUUGCAAAAAUGUUUGAGAUAAACUUUGAAAAUGAAAAGGGAGAGAAGGGUAUGGUCUGGCAGAAUUCCUGGGCGUAUAGUACUCGAACGGUAAAACUUUUUGUCUCUUUACUUAGAACAUUCUUAGCAUUUAUCAUUUCAAGUCCUUUGUCAUGCUAUCCCUACCAUUUAUGUUUUGUGGUUUUGGGUGAUUACAUGGGGUUGGAAUCCUUAACUACCAUAUAAUUCCCUUUCUAUUCUUUUCUCCUUAUUCCUGCUACUCUGCUUAUGUUUUCUACUGUUUUUCAAAUUUUCUCAGAUUGGGGUAAUGGUUAUGGUUCAUGGGGAUGACAAAGGUUUAGUGCUGCCUCCAAAAGUAGCAGCUUUGCAACUUAUUGUGAUUCCUGUGCCUUACAAAGAUGCAGAUACUCAAGGUAUUUUUGAUGCUUGUGUUGCCACUGUGGCAACCCUCUCAGAUGCUGGCAUUCGUGCUGAAGCUGAUCUUAGAGAUAACUACUCACCUGGUUGGAAGUAUUCAAACUGGGAAAUGAAAGGUGUUCCCCUAAGGAUUGAAAUAGGACCUAGAGACUUAGCAAAUAAUCAGGUGAACCCCCUUCUCUUUUUUUUUUUUUGGAUGCUGCUUUCCUUCUAUUCUUUUAUUUAUUAAUUUGCUAUUGUACUUAUACAGUUAAAACCAGAAAAGUGCUUUAUUUGACAGGUACGUGCAGUUCGCCGUGACAAUGGAGCAAAAACUGAUAUCUCAAGAGUCUUUUUGGUUGAACAAGUAAAAGGAAUGUUGGAUAAGAUUCAACAGAACCUGUUUGACGUUGCAAAACAAAAACGAGAUGCCUGUGUUGAAGUUUUAAAAACUUGGGAAGAGUUUGUAACAGCUCUUGGGCAAAAGAAACUGAUCUUAGCUCCUUGGUGUGAUGAGGAGGUAUGACUUGAAUUUGCAGAAUCCUUAUUCUUUACAGGGACCAUGACUAUUUAGUAUUUAAUCAGUGUUCCUUUAGUGCUUAUCUGCUACACUUAGUCUUUGCAUUGAAUCAUUAGGCUGAAGUGUUUUGUUGGUUAUAAAAAUGAGUUGGAUCAUAUUUAGAACGUCAUUAAUUUCCAAGAUUACCUCUCCAGGCAUUUGUUGGUUAGAAUGGUCUUGCUCGUUCAUAAAGACUUCAGUUUCAUAAAAGACUUUUAAUGUUUUGUAUAAAUGUAGGAUGUGGAGAAAGACGUGAAAGCACGAACGAAGGGUGAUAUGGGAGCAGCUAAGUCUCUUUGUACCCCGUUUGAACAGCCUGAACUCCCAGAAGGUAAAGCAGGCAUUUAUUUUAAACAGUAGGAUACUUUCCCUCCCUCAUAAUACUAGUAGUAUUUUGUUUUUUAAUAAACUGUUACUGCACCAGCAUGCACUAAUCAGCAACUGCCAAGAAUCUUAAUCUGUGACAAACUACAAAAAAUUAUUGGAAAUUUAGAGAAAUCAUACUACAUUAAGAGGAAUAAGAGAUAAUAAAUUAAUAUUAAUCAGUAGUUCAAUUAAUUUGAAGGAUUAAGUAAAAAUCCGGCACCCAGUGAGCUUGGUUCAGGUAAGAUGUGAUUGCAAAUGUGUCAUUGUGAUUGAACCUGAAGCUUAGCUCAGUUGGUUCAUGUAAUCACUCUUAAGAAGUGGUAUCUAAUAAAUCUAGGGUUCCAAUCUCAGCACCUGCAUCCCCCUCUCUUCUCCAGGCUGCAACCACUUUUGUAUCAAAAAAGAAAAGCUUACUUAAUCCUUUUGUAACACACAGUCUUUUCUCAUUUAGAAUUUUUUAAAUUUCUCCUUACAUUAGUAUUGAGGGAAUUCAUGUGUAAAUGCUGUUUGAUUAUUUGUAACCUUACAUCCACAAAAAGAAAAGAGGAGAUUAUACGUCUUCUAUAGAAUUCUCUUCUCAUCAAAAAUGAAAUUAUGCAGGUACUAAAUGCUUUGCCUCUGGGAAGCCUGCAAAGAAAUGGACCUAUUGGGGUAGAAGUUACUAAGAUUAUUCUCUUUUUAUGACCAUCUCCUUCACAUUGUCCUCUGUCUGAUGUCAGCUGUGCUGGUGUGUGGACCAUUCUUAACAGGAUAAUUUUCAAUUUGAAAUUGUUAUAUGAAACUGAUGAGAGUACUUGGUUUUAUUAUCAUAUAGUUAAGAGUUCACUUCGAUGCAUGGUGGGAGAACUCCCACCGCGCCGCGCAUGUCAUUUUAUUCAUUGGACCCUUGGAGGUUAAGUCAUAAAAAUGCAAUUACGGCGCGGUGAAAGUCUCUCUCACUAUGUUACCAAAGGGACAUUAAAACUUGUGGGAAUUUUUUUUUUUUAAUUUUCGCCAAGGGUGUAUUGUAGAACUUUUGCUUUGCUACAAUUGAUUUACUGCUCUAUUUGUGAUAUUACAAUAUUAGAAUAUGGUGAUGGUACUUGAAGGUUAUAAGUUUCUUGUUUGGAUUCAUUUGGUGAUGGCUUUGACUUUUAUUUCUCUGUCAUUGUUUCUUGAUACUGUUCAUUAGUGGAUUGUUCUUCAAUUGAAGCAGUUGAAGGAGAAUUUCACGAAUUACAAUGACACGUAAAUGAUAUCAAAAAAUAUUAAAAUAAUAUGAUUUAAAAUUUUAGUAAAAAUAAUAUGUUAAGUUUAAUAAGAAUAAAAAAUAUAUAUUUCGUAUUUUUUUUUUGUUAAUAUUAGUUGUAAUACAAAAUUUUUAUAUAAAAUAUGAUAUGAAUUUAUGAAUUAUUAAUGUUUUUAUAACAUAAAUACAUGAAUUAAUUUUUUUUACAUGAGUAAAUGUCACUCAUCUGUCAUUUCUUUUUGGUGAUUAAAACAUGCAGAAUGGCAAAAUAGUUAAACUGUAGUAUGGAUGUCCUCAUUUCCAACUGGUCAAAAUUUACCAUUAAGGCUCGUGCCUGGCCUCAAACAUUUAAACGUAAAACUUACUCUCAUUGGUUAUAGCCAAAAAUAACCAAAAAUUUUCUAACUUCACAAUGUAAUAAAUUUUGAAUCCAAAAAUUAAUUCAGUUGAUUCAUACAAUCAUCUUUAAAAGAUAGCAUAUAACAUAUUUGAAGUUCAAAUCAUUUGUAACUCAUUCUUCUAUUCCUAGAUUACAACCUUCUUUAUAUAUAUAUAUACAUAUAUAAAGAACAAAUUCCUGGCUAAAUUCAUCGGUUCGUUUCUAUUCUGACCACAAAUAUCUCAUUGGACUUCAAGCAAUGCUCCUUGAUUCACUUCAUCACCAUCAAGAAGUUCCUGGAUUAUUUGAUUGAUAGCAUUUCCUCGAGCCUAUGUUUUGUAAGACAAAUAUUUCAGCACACAAUCAAAACCACAACAGGAUAAGACAAUCUGCAAAGCGGAAACCCCUAACCUUUACUCCAAUUGCAAUUGCUGUUUUUAGCUUUACAAGCUCACCCAAUCUUAGGGACCCCUUUUUAUCAUCUCUAACAAUCAUCAAUGGUACCUUCCUUGACAAAGCCAACGUUGGCAGGUGCUUUAUUAGCCACUUUGGACUGCAAUCAGCAGCUAACAAAAUAGCCUACAAGCUCAAAAAACAUAUAACAAACCUUAAGCAGUGCUUGUGAAAACAUGACAGCGAAGGAUCCACAUGGAUGGAUGGCGAGAUUCAAAACAGCGGUGGUAAUGAGAUUACAUGAAGUUUAAUAUGCAAGCAGUAAGAUUAAAAUCAAUGAUGAAAAUAUGUAAUUGAAUAUAAUCGCAAAGUGAUGGGAAGAUUGAGUAUAACAAUCGGUUGCCUCACUAAAGCCAAUUGAUUGUCACAAUUGCAAAAUGUCUUCAUUUUCAUUUUUACGCUAAGGCAGUCGACUGCUCUAGGAUCUAGAUGUUCACUGAAUCCUUUCCCCCAGCCAACUGCACCGCCGGGUGCUUUUGGAUAGCAUCGUGCGGUACAGUUGGCCCAAAAAAAGGUUGCGAUGGAAUCAAAACUAGCCCUUAGUAUAACAAACAUAUUGCAAUAAACAACUAAGUAUAGAUUGUUAUAAAGGCAUGACAGAUCACUCAAAAUUUAAAUCUAGAAACAGGGAAGCCAACCUGAAGCCUAACACAAGGAGAUUGAGCAGAGCUUCCAUUCUCAACACCGGGUGCCAUCCGUUCAAGUACACGAGUCACAUCAUUAACACCAAUGGCAAAUUGUUGCUAAUAACGAUGCACCAAAUACAAUAUAACAAUCAGAUAAUAAUAAAACCACAAGGAUCAUCAAAGAAAAUCAAUAAAGCAUUGAACAAGAGAUCAAACCUUAAGCCAUACUUUUUCAGGCAAGGAGUUUCCAGCCAAUGCUCUUGCUGACUCUACCCCUCUGUUCAUUGCAAUAACUUCAACUAUUACCUCUGAAAAAGAACAAGAAUUUGAAUACCAAAAAAGGGUAUUCUUUAAUUAUUGAUAAUGUGUUCGAAUCGUUUACCUUUGGAUUGAUUUAAGCACGUGAACAAGACGCUCCCCUUCAUAACAACUGCCAAGAUAAAAAAUAAAGAAAUUAAAUCAAAGGCCCAAAAUUUGCAUAAAAUCCAAUGAAACAAAGGCAGACUUACUCUUGCUGCUGAGGAACGGAACCGUCAAGAAUGUUGUUUUUGGCUGCCUUAUUUCUAGCCGUCAUGUUUCAUUUUAGAGUUCGCUACUUGUUUGAUGAAAAGCUUGAAAAAAAAUUGGUGUAAAUUGCCUAAUAUAACUUUGAUUUAAGCCCAUAGGAUUUGGGUAUUGGGCCAUUGAGCCUUUGCGGCCAAUUCAUUUAAUUAUCAAGAUAAUUAGCCCACAGCUAGAUCCAGGCUUUGAGCUCUUAUAUUUUAAUUUUCAUUCCUUUUAUUAUCAUUAAAGGAAAAAAAAAGAAAUAAAAACUAAACCCAAUGUAAUAAAAAUCUUAUAUAAAUAUAUAAAAAUAAAAACUUUUGGUAAAAAAGAAAAAAGUCUAAUGUAGAAUUUCUAUUCUUUUGAUAUGUGGACAAUUUUAAACAAUUAUCACGUGUCUUGCAUCUAAUAAAUAUACAUUCUUAAUUUAACAAAUAAUUUUAAAAAAUUAAUUGCAAUUAUUACUUCUAAAUAACUAAUAUUUACACCAUAUAUAUAUAUAUAUAUGGUAAUAUGUAAAUUUUAUGUGAAAGGAAUUUGAUAAUGAAGGCAAGUAUUUAUUUCCUUUUUUGCUAUGCAAAAUUAGUCAAAUUUUAAAAUCAUAGGGAUUUUUCCUUUGCCAUAAAUAAUUUAUGUUGGCUAUAAACACCAUCCUAUAAAGGUGAUUGUAGACAUGGAUUUUAAACUUAAUCGGCUAACUUUUUAUUUAUUUUAUUUUUUAUGCAAUAACCAAUGGGUGUUAAAACAUUUUUCUUUCAUUUUUUUAAUACAAUUUAAUUUUGUGCUACCUUAAUUUAUCCGUUUGUAGUAUAUUUUAUAGUAUAUUUCCUUGGUUUUAUAUAUUUUAUAUUCUUUUUAUUGUUAUUUUUUACAUUAUUUUGAUUUAUCAAAUUGUUAGAUUAUUUAUAUUCCUUUGGAUACUAUACAAUUUUUUUUGAAUGUUUAUUAGCAUAUCUUACUUUUUCAUAAACUUAUUUUAGUACUUAGGAAGCUUGUUUUGUUAUUAACAUCUCUAUAUUAGUGGUAUUGUCAAUGAUUUUAUUUUUUAAACUUUAUUAUCUCCUUUUCUAAUUUUUUUUUAUGAAUAAAUGUUUAUAAAUAAUAUCUAUUAUAUCCCAUAUAUAAGAAAAGUUGUAUUUUGGAAAAGAAUAAUAUUUUUAAAAAGUGUGCAUUUUUUUUAAAGUGGGUAGUUUUUUUUUUUUCAAAUAAAAAAUAUAUACAUAUGCAUAUUUAGUUGUAUAUUUUUAUAUUUUAUUUUAUUUUGUAAUUUUUGUAAUUAAGCCAUAGCAUUAUUAUAGAUGAAAUACUAUUUCGAUGCGAAAUACUUUUAUAUAAUGUCCUUUAAUUUCAUAAGACCACAUUUUAAUUCAUAAAAAAAUUUGUACAAAUGUAUAUCUAAUUUUUUUUUUGUUUGCCAUUUUUAAGUAUGCAUUAUUUAUAUAUAAAUAUCUUCAUAACCAAAAAGAAAGCGAGAAAGAGAAGAUUUUAUAUUUAUCUUUUUUAUUAAUUAUUGUAUUUAUUAUUAUAUUUAAAAACAUUAUGAGAUAAAAUUUUUAUUAUCUAAAUUGGCAUUAUUCAUUAGUAUUUGAAAGAGAUUUUAAAAACCAGAACCAACUAUUCGUGACAUAAACUAUUUUUAACAUUAUUUUUGUAACAUACAAAUUUGCAUUUACAACGAAAAAUUUGCUAUUAUGAAAAAAAAAAAGAAUUUGCUGUUGAUGAUGAGAAUUAAAGUUUUAUUAUCUUUUAUAUGAAUUUUAACUUGGAGUAAUUUAAUAUAAAUAACAAAAAUAAUUUUGUAUUUAAUUAGUUAAAAAUAAUAAAAAUUGACUAUUAACAAAAUUAGAACUAAUUAUAUUGAAAAUAUUCAAAUUAGUAGUAAUUACGCAUUUAAUAUUUUGUCAAACACUCCCAUAAUAAAAGCAAGUAAUGGAAAUGAAAUCAAUGAAAAUUUUAAUACUUAUAUAUAGUUUUCAAAUUAUUAUACUAUAUCUUUUUGACAAUUGAUUUUGUAGACAAAUAUUUAUAUUGGUUGCAAAAUCCUUUUGUGUAUUUGAAUUUUGGUAAUUGAAUUUUCAUUUAUAUAUUCAUUUGGGUUAAUAAUUACAUGAAAGUGAGUUAUUUUUAUAAAUCUAACAUAUAAGUUUAUUUUUUUAAAAGAAUAUUAACUUGUAAAUUGGAAUAAAUAUAAACAAUGCAAAAUUAAUAAAGUAAUCUUGAGUUAAUUCAGAAUUUUCUAUAAGAUAUAUUCACUUUAUUUUCUUUAACAAUAUUGCUCAUUGAAUAUUUUAAAAGUUUUAUUUUCUUAAAUGUCACAUAGAUAUAUGUAUAUGUAAAUUUUGUAUUUUUUAAUUAAAAAAACUAUUUGUGUGUAUAAUAAUAUAUAUAUAUAUAUAUAUAAACAUUAACCCGUACAUCUCAUGGAUUAUAAACUAAUUAUAAAUAAAGAGUAAAGCAAUAGGCAAUUUAUAUGUACGGAUUUUUUUUUUUUUAAUUUUAGGAGCCAUGAAUUGGAACCCAGGACAAUUUUCGGUAUUGGUCCUAUAUCCUUGACAUGUUUUUAGCCCAAGUGAAAUUACUGGAAUAAAUUUCAAAAAUUAAAAUCAAAAGUAUCAAUAUAAUUAAACUUGAAGUUUAGCAAAAUUAGUUCAUACAAUUAUUUUAAAGUUUAGACAUCUAAUAAAUUUGAGGUUAAAUCGCUACUCAUGUGACAACUCUUUUUUUCAAUUAUUAAACUACAACCUCUUUUAUGAAAAAAUAUCAAUAUGAUUAAUAGGUAGUUAAGUUAAAAUAAUGAAAAUCAAGCAAAAAGUUAUUAUUGCUGGUCUUCAGUUGAAGAGCUUUAAUGGAAGUUUGUCAUAAUUUAUGUCGACAUAAAAACAUGAAAUACAUAUUUUUACAAUUUGUGGAUAGACUUGUUUUUAUUCAUUUAUUGAGAUUAACAAAUAAUCAUGAAUAAUAUUACAAGGUUCGUUAAUUAAAUGAACAUAUUGCGAACAUAAUAAAGCUCAUUCAUAUUUUGUUCGUUUACAUUUAAGUAUAUAAAUAGUUCAUGAACAUGCUUGAUUUUUGUUUAUUUAUUAAAUUUAACAAACAAUCACAAACAAUAUUUGGCUUCAUUAAUUAAACGAAUAAAUCACGUAUAUAACAAAAUUUAUUCAUAUUCGAUUGGUUUACACCCUUACCUUCUUUCGAACUAUCAAUUAAAGUAUAUAACAAACUACUAGUAAAAACACAAAAAACAAAUAGGACACAAUUUUAUAAAUUCCCUAUUUUCAAUGAUGAUGAUGAAUGAGAGGUUGAAUUUACAUGUGGCAUUUUUUUUUACCUUUUCAACAUAUUUUAUGAACUAAAUUAAAAAAAAAGAUUAUGAUCUCAUGAAAUGAAAUAGGAAAUUGGAUGGAUUAAAGAAUUUAAGAUUCCUCAUCUCUAUCUUAUACAAGACUUUUAAUUUUUAAAAAAGUCUCUCAAGAAAGAGCACACGCCAGAAACCUUAUCACACAUGAUAUACCAUUACCAACUACACCCGUUUUCAAUUUCAUCGAGUAUGUACUUAUUUUUAGCUUCAUUAAAGCUAUUAACUUUUUUGGGUAAUCCUUCAUUUCUUCUUAUUAGUGUAUUGUAUAGAAUAGAAGGAAUGAGAAAAAAAAUUAAUGGAUCAAGUGAAGACAUCAGAAGGACUUAUUGGUUAAUUUUAGGUGAGCAACAAUGAUCACCUUUAAUAGUUUUUCUUUGGGUGGUUUUAGUGGUUUUCCCAUUAACCCAUCUAAUCACCCAUACUUACACACACUCUUCCUCAUCUUCCCAGUAUAUUCCUUUUGUCUUUUUUUUUUGUUUUGAUCAAAUAAAAAGGAAAAGGUUUUAGUUGAAAAAGUAUGAGUUUUGUCGCAUCUGCAAGUUGUCUUCUUAAGUGUUUAAGAUGAAAGAGAAAACACACAUCUCAUGUAGAAUGAAUUCUUAGGUCAUUGCUUUUCCUUUUUAUUUUUUGUUUUGUUGUUUUGAGUUUUCAUUUUUUUUAUUUAAAUGUGACUUACUUUGUUCCUAUUAUUUUUGCUACAAAACUAAGUUCUUAGAUUUUGAACAAGAUCUUAAUCAAAUACUUAAAUUGUGUUAUGAAAGAACAAUUUGAUUGAUCUAAAUUUUUUUUGUACAUGUUGUUGGGAUCUAAAUGAGCAAAAUGGUUCGUCUUUUUAGCUUUUAUGAUUAUGGUAUACUAGUAGUGGUUAUAAACAAAUAUAUUUUGCUUUUUCCCAUUUGGAUUAGCUGUGUCUUCUCUCGGCCUAAUUAUAGUGUUUGUAAAAUGUAGUUUAGUAACAAAUAAUUGAGUGAUUUGUCAAAAAAAUGAAAAUGGAUAAUUAUGUCUUUGAAAAGUUUUUCUCUGGCUAGUUAUAGUUUUAAAUGCCAACAAAUUAAAUUUUGGUAUUUUUGAAGAGAUUAAGUUAUUCAAAAGCUCAAUGAAAACAGAAUCAUAGAAAACUUUACAUUUAAUGUGUGAUUGCUACUUUUUAUCCUGUAAGUGCAUAGGUCACAUCAAGUAAUAAAAUAAGUAUAAUAUCAUUCUCAUGAGGAUUAUAUGUAGGGUGUAAAACCAAGUACCAAAGGAGAAUCUUUCUAACUUUAUAUUUAAAUAGAUAAAGAAUUGAUUAAUUGUAAUUGAAAGUAAAGUAUAAUUAAUAAUUAAAUUGAUACUAACUUAAUAAUUAAAUAGAUUUUGGUAGAAAACAAAAACAAUAACACUGAAAUUCAAGGUGACAAGUUUCAAAUAGAUAUAUCAACAAUAACAUUUUGUCUAAAAAGAAAAAAAAAUUGAAUUCAUGGGAUUUCAUCUAAAGUAAACUUUAAAAUGAUAUAACUAAAUUCAUAGACAUAAUUUUUUUUCCCAAACUCUUGACAACUUAAUUUUUAGUGACAACAUUUUAUAACUUUAAUAGCUUUAAGAUGUCAUUCCCACCAACUAUUGAAUGUUAGCUUCAAAAUGUCAUUUUUGUUGCUUAUUGAAUGUUACCUAAACUAUUACAAAAAAUAUCAUAAAGAAACAUUUGGUUUUGAUGGAAGCUUUUUAAGUUCAAGAUGUAGACCCUAUUGGUUGUGUAAUGAAAUUCAAUUUAUGAGACUUAGGUAUAUAACACAAAAGAAAUAAGGAUUUAACCUUAUUUAAAGAUAACAUGUAGAUUUACUUAACCUAUGCAUGUAAAUCGAAAUUUUUUAAGGAAAUCAUAUUUGAUUAAACCUUCUAAUGACUUGAAUUUAUGGGUUGGAUGAAGUUGCUUUGUCCUAUGUAGUAAAAUGGCAUAUCAAAGAAAAUGUAUGACUUAUGUUUAAAGCAAAAGAUGGUAAAGUCUACUUUGCAUUUGAGUUCUAUUCAUUAAAAUAAACAUAGGAGAAAAAUAAAAGAAAAAUUUAAGCUAUUGAAUCCACUAUAAGCAUGUAAACUUAUUGGACUUAUUAUAAAAAAUGGUCAAAUUCUAACUUGAUUAAUGAAAACAACAUUAUGAUUAAACGGUUGAGUGCUUGGACCUUUUCGUUUUUUGGACUGAGUUUCAAAACAGCUAUUAAAUUUGCGCUUAUCACCAGUUUUAUCACUUUUCAUUUUUAAUCCUUUCACAUUCAUGAUUUUUGAAUCAUCCAUAACAUUAGAUUUUUUAGCGUCAUCUUCGUCACCUUUUAUAUAAGAAUCAUCAAAGUUGCUCACUGUUAAACUUUUAAAACCCAUUCAACUAGUUUUACCUGUUGAAAUCUUUUUUAUCUUAAGCAUUACCUUUAAAGAUUCUAUUAAAAGCAAUGUACCAUUCCUUUGUUUUAGCAGUCCAUGUUGACAACUUAAUUGCAUUCCUACUUAAUUCUUUAUAGCUAACUUAGGAUUUUUUCUUCUAGUGCUUCUAUUGAUGUCUCUUACACUUUCAAGCUUUACAACUUUCGUCCAUCUCUUUACAAUAUAUUUCUCAAAUACAAACUUGAUAUUUUUCGAGUUUAGCACCUUUAAGAUAUGAUAACAGAGAAUUCUCCAAAAUUCAAAUUUCAUGCAAGUAUAAAAAAUUGAAUUAUCUGAAAAGUUGAAUUUAACAAAAUGAUUUUGAUAUUCUUCAAAAGCAUCGAUCUUAUACUCAAAGAAUGAUUCAUUUUAACUAUAAUCUUCAAUAACCAGAUUGAAAAUUUUUUCAAAUUCUUCUUGAAACUCUUUAAAAACAUUAAGAAUGUAAACAUCUUUAGCAUGCCUUAAUGUGGUUGCAUUCACCUUCAUUAUUGGAAUGCGUUGACUUAUGUCAUAAUUAGAUUUUACCUCAUUGUAGCAUAAAUCAGCCACUAAUCUUUCAAAAUAAUUGAGGAAUCACACCAUAUUUAACCAUGAAGUUACGUAGUUCUUCAACUGGUUAUUGAAACUCUCACUUAGUUAAGUACUCUUUCUCCCAAUACUAAAUGUUUUCUUUUGAAAUGCCAUUGCCAACCUUUCUCUGUUCUCAAAAGUUUUAGCUAUCCAUGUAUUUUCUUAAAGAUUAUACUUGCCAAUCAUAUCUUCCCAUGCAUGAACAAACUCUUCCUUGUAUAAAAUAUUAUUAAUGCAAUACAAAAGCUCUUUAACUAAGGUGUUAUGCAUUUGAAAAUGCUACCUCAAAUGUCUUUUUACAUUUUCCCACAUGUGCCAAACGUAUAAUCAAUGAGUAGUUUCAGACAAUAUAUUUUUUACAGCUUUUACCAUUGCUUGAUCUUGAGCUAUAAUAAUAGAUGUUGGUUUCUAACUAGACAUUAUUUGAACAAAUGUCUUAAAAAGUCAUUCAAAUGAUUCAUUACGCUCAUCGUNNNNNNNNNNNNNNNNNNNNNNNNNNNNNNNNNNNNNNNNNNNNNNNNNNNNNNNNNNNNNNNNNNNNNNNNNNNNNNNNNNNNNNNNNNNNNNNNNNNNNNNNNNNNNNNNNNNNNNNNNNNNNNNNNNNNNNNNNNNNNNNNNNNNNNNNNNNNNNNNNNNNNNNNNNNNNNNNNNNNNNNNNNNNNNNNNNNNNNNNNNNNNNNNNNNNNNNNNNNNNNNNNNNNNNNNNNNNNNNNNNNNNNNNNNNNNNNNNNNNNNNNNNNNNNNNNNNNNNNNNNNNNNNNNNNNNNNNNNNNNNNNNNNNNNNNNNNNNNNNNNNNNNNNNNNNNNNNNNNNNNNNNNNNNNNNNNNNNNNNNNNNNNNNNNNNNNNNNNNNNNNNNNNNNNNNNNNNNNNNNNNNNNNNNNNNNNNNNNNNNNNNNNNNNNNNNNNNNNNNNNNNNNNNNNNNNNNNNNNNNNNNNNNNNNNNNNNNNNNNNNNNNNNNNNNNNNNNNNNNNNNNNNNNNNNNNNNNNNNNNNNNNNNNNNNNNNNNNNNNNNNNNNNNNNNNNNNNNNNNNNNNNNNNNNNNNNNNNNNNNNNNNNNNNNNNNNNNNNNNNNNNNNNNNNNNNNNNNNNNNNNNNNNNNNNNNNNNNNNNNNNNNNNNNNNNNNNNNNNNNNNNNNNNNNNNNNNNNNNNNNNNNNNNNNNNNNNNNNNNNNNNNNNNNNNNNNNNNNNNNNNNNNNNNNNNNNNNNNNNNNNNNNNNNNNNNNNNNNNNNNNNNNNNNNNNNNNNNNNNNNNNNNNNNNNNNNNNNNNNNNNNNNNNNNNNNNNNNNNNNNNNNNNNNNNNNNNNNNNNNNNNNNNNNNNNNNNNNNNNNNNNNNNNNNNNNNNNNNNNNNNNNNNNNNNNNNNNNNNNNNNNNNNNNNNNNNNNNNNNNNNNNNNNNNNNNNNNNNNNNNNNNNNNNNNNNNNNNNNNNNNNNNNNNNNNNNNNNNNNNNNNNNNNNNNNNNNNNNNNAAGGAAAAAAAAAGAAAUAAAAACUAAACCCAAUGUAAUAAAAAUUUUAUAUAAAUAUAUAAAAAUCAAAACUUUUGGUAAAAAAGAAAAAAGUCUAAUGUAGAAUUUCUAUUCUUUUGAUAUGUGGACAAUUUUAAAUAAUUAUCACGUGUCCUGCAUCUAAUAAAUAUACAUUCUUAAUUUAACAAAUAAUUUUAAAAAAUUAAUUGCAAUUAUUACUUUUAAAUAACUAAUAUUUACACCAUAUAUAUAUAUAUAUACAUACAUAUAUAUAUGGUAAUAUGUAAAUUUUAUGUGAAAGGAAUUUGAUAAUGAAGGCAAAUAUUUAUUUCCUUUUUUGCUAUGCAAAAUUAGUCAAAUUUUAAAAUCAUAGGGAUUUUUCCUUUGCCAUAAAUAAUUUAUGUUGGCUAUAAACACCAUCCUAUAAAGGUGAUUGUAGACAUGGAUUUUAAACUUAAUCGGCUAACUUUUUAUUUAUUUUAUUUUUUAUGCAAUAACCAAUGGGUUUUAAAACAUUUUUCUAUCAUUUUUUUAAUACAAUUUAAUUUUGUGCUACCUUAAUUUAUCCGUUUGUAGUAUAUUUUAUAGUAUAUUUCCUUGGUUUUAUAUAUUUUAUAUAUUUUAUAUUCUUUUUAUUGUUAUUUUUUACAUUAUUUUGAUUUAUCAAAUUGUUAGAUUAUUUAUAUCCUUUGGAUACUAUACAAUUUUUUUUGUAUGUUUAUUAGCAUAUCUUACUUUUUUCAUAAACUUAUUUUGUACUUAGGAAAGCUUGUUUUGUUAUUAACAUCAUCUCUAUAUUAGUGGUAUUUGUCAAUGAUUUUAUUUUUUAAACUUUAUUAUCAUCCUUUUCUAAUUUUUUUUAUGAAUAAAUGUUUAUAAUAUAUCUAUUAUCUCCCAUAUAUAAGAAAAGUUGUAUUUUGGAAAAGAAUAAUAUUUUUAAAAAGUGUGCAUUUUUUUUAAAGUGGGUAGUUUUUUUUUUUUCAAAUAAAAAAUAUAUACAUAUGCAUAUUUAGUUGUAUAUUUUUAUAUUUUAUUUUAUUUUGUAAUUUUUGUAAUUAAGCCAUAGCAUUAUUAUAGAUGAAAUACUAUUUCGAUGCGAAAUACUUUUAUAUAAUGUCCUUUAAUUCCAUAAGACCACGUUUUAAUUCAUAAAAGAAUUUGUACAAAUGUAUAUCUAAUUUUUUUUUUUUUGGCCAUUUUUAAGUAUGCACUAUUUAUAUAUAAAUAUCUUCAUAACCAAAAAGAAAGCAAGAGAGAAGAUUUUAUAUUUAUCUUUUUUAUUAAUUAUUGUAUUUAUUAUUAAAUUUAAAAACAUUAUGAGAUAAAAUUUUUAUUAUCUAAAUUGGCAUUAUUCAUUAGUGUUUGAAAGAGGUUUUAAAAACCAGAACCAACUAUUCAUGACAUAAACUAUUUUUAACAUUAUUUUUGUAACAUACAAAUUUACAUUUACAAUGAAAAAUUUGCUAUUAUGAAAAAAAAAGAAUUUGCUGUUAAUGAUGAGAAUUAAAGUUUUAUUAUCUUUUAUAUGAAUUUUAACUUGGAGUAAUUUAAGAUAAAUAACAAAAAAUAAUUUUUUAUUUAAUUAGUUAAAAAUAAUAAAAAUUGACUAUUAACAAAAUUAGAACUAAUUAUAUUGAAAAUAUUCAAAUUAGUAGUAAUUACGCAUUUAAUAUUUUGUCAAACACUCCAAUAAUAAAAGCAAGUAAUGGAAAUGAAAUCAAUGAAAAUUUUAAUACUUAUAUAUAGUUUUCAAAUUAUUAUACUAUAUCUUUUUGACAAUUGAUUUUGUAGACAAAUAUUUAUAUUGGAAUCCUUUUGUGUAUUUGAAUUUUGGUAAUUGAAUUUUCAUUUAUAUAUUCAUUUGGGUUAAUAAUUACAUGAAAGUGAGUUAUUUUUAUAAAUCUAACAUAUAAGUUUAUUUUUUUAAAAGAAUAUUAACUUGUAAAUUGGAAUAAAUAUAAACAAUGCAAAAUUAAUUAAGUAAUCUUGAGUUAAUUCAGAAUUUUCUAUAAGAUAUAUUCACUUUAUUUUCUUUAACAAUAUUGCUCAUUGAAUAUUUUAAAACUUUUAUUUUCUUAAAUGUCACAUAGAUAUAUGUAUAUGUAAAAUUUGUAUUUUUUUUAUUAAAAAAACUAUUUGUGUGUAUAAUAAUAUAUAUAUAUAUAUAUAAACAUUACCCCGUACAUCUCAUGGGUUAUAAACAAAUUAUAAAUAAAGAGUAAAGCAAUAGGCAAUUUAUAUGUACGGAUUUUUAUUUUUUCUUAAAUUUUAGGAGCCAUGAAUUGGGAACCCAGGACAAUUUUCGAUAUUGGUCCUAUAUCCUUGACAUGUUUUUAGCCCAAGUGAAAUUACUGGAAUAAGUUUCAAAAAUUAAAAUCAAAAGUAUCAAUAUAAUUGAACCUGAAGUUUAGUAAAAUUAGUUCAUACAAUUAUUUUAAAGUUUAGACAUCUAAUAAAUUUGAGGUUAAAUCGCUACUCAUGUGACAACCUUUUUUCCUAUUAUUAAACUACAACCUCUUUUAUGAAAAAAUAUCAAUAUGAUUAAUAGGUAGUUAAGUUAAAAUAAUGAAAAUCAAGCAAAGAGUUAUUAUUGCUGGUUUUCAGUUAAAGAGCUUUAAUGAAAGUUUGUCAUAAUUUAUGUUGACAUAAAAACAUGAAAUACAUAUUUUUACAAUUUGUGGAUAGGCUUGUUUUUAUUCAUUUAUUGAGAUUAACAAAUAAUCAUGAACAAUAUUACAAGGUUCGUUAAUUAAAUGAACAUAUUGCGAACAUAAUAAAGCUCAUUCAUAUUUUGUUUGUUUACAUUUAAGUAUAUAAAUAGUUCAUGAACAUGCUUGAUUUUUUGUUUGUUUAUUAAAUUUAACAAACAAUCACAAACAAUAUUUUAGCUUCGUUAAUUAAACGAAUAAAUCAUGUAUAUAACAAAAUUCAUUCAUAUUCGAUUGGUUUACAUCUUUACCUUCUUUCGAACUAUCAAUUAAAGUAUAUAACAAACUACUAGUAAAAACACAAAAAAAAAAAAACAGUCAAUUUUAUAAAUUCCCUAUUUUCAAUGAUGAUGUUUUCAAUGAUGAUGAUGAAUGAGAGGUUGAAUUUACAUGUGACAUUUUUUUUAACGUUUUCAACAUAUUUUAUGAACUAAAUUGAAAAAAAAUAUUAUGAUCUCAUGAAAUGAAAUAGGAAACUGGAUGGAUUAAAGAAUUUAGGAUUCCUCAUCUCUAUCUUAUACAAGACUUUUAAUUUUUUAAAAAAGUCUCUCAAGAAAGAGCACACCCAGAAACCUUACCACACAUGAUAUACCAUUACCAACUAUACCCGUUUUCAAUUUCAUCGAGUAUGUACUUGUUUUUAGCUUCAUUAAAGCUAUUAACUUUUUUGGGUAAUCCUUCAUUUCUUCUUAUUAGUGUAUUGUAUAGAAUAGAAGGAAUGAAAACAAAAAAAUUAAUGGAUCAAGUGAAGAUAUCAGAGGGACUUAUUGGUUAAUUUUAGGUGAGCAACAAUGAUCACCUUUAAUAGUUUUUCUUUGAGUGGUUUUAGUGGUUUUUCCAUUAACCCAUCUAAUUACCCAUAUUUACACACACUUUUCCUCAUCUUCCCAAUAUAUUCCUUUGCCUUUUUUUUGUUUUGAUCAAAUAAAAAGAAGAAGGUUUUAGUUGGAAAAGUAUGAGUUUUAUCGCAUCUACAGGCUGUCUUCUUAAGUGUUUAAGAUGAAAGAGAAAACACACAUCUCAUGUAGAAUGAAUUCUUAGGUCAUUGCUUUUCCUUUUCAUUUUUUUUUUUUGUUGUUUUGAGUUUUCAUUUUCUUUAUUUAAAUGUGACUUACUUUGUUUCUAUUAUUUUUGCUACAAAACUAAGUGCUUAGAUUUUGAACAAGAUCUUAAUCAAAUACUUAAAUUGUGUUAUGAAAGAACAAUUUGAUUGAUCUAAAUUUUUUUAUACAUGUUGUUGGGAUCUAAAUGAGCAAAAUGGUUCGUCUUUUUAGCUUUUAUGAUUAUGGUAUACUAGUAGUGGUUAUAAACAAAUAUAUUUUUCUUUUUCCCAUUUGGAUUAGCUGUGUCUUCUCUCGACCUAAUUAUAGUUUUUGUAAAAUGUAGUUUAGUAACAAAUAAUUGAGUGAUUUGUCAAAAAAAAUAAAAAUGGAUAAUUAUGUCUUUGAAAAGUUUUUCUUUGGCUUGUUAUAGUUUUAAAUGCCAACAAAUUAAAUUUUGGUAUUGUUAAAGAGAUUAAGUUAGUCAAAAGCUCAAUGAAAACAAAAUCAUAGAAAACUUUACAUUUAAUGUGUGAUUGUUACUUUUUAUCCUGUAAGUGCAUAGGUCGCAUCAAGUAAUAAAGUAAGUAUAAUAUCAUUCUCACGAGGAUUAUAUGUAGGGUGUAAAACCAAGUACCAAAGAAGAAUCUUUCUAACUUUAUAUUUAAAUAGAUAAAAAAAUUGAUUAAUUGUAAUUGAAAGUAAAGUAUAGAAAAUGUGAUAAUUGAAUAGCUAACUAACUGUCAUUUAGUAGCUCCAAAGGUAGAAUGAUUAUGUAAGAAAAUAAAAAUUAAAAAACAAAAAGCUUGUAAAAGAAUUUAAUAUUAUCUAUUGUAAAGAAGGCAUAAAACAGAGAUUUGAAAGUUUUUGAAAAAAAGAAAGAGUCUGGGUGUAAAUAAAAAAAGAGAUCUUAAAAUGAAAAUAGAAAGAGAACUUGUAUUAAGAAAUAGCUGUAGAAAACAAAACUAUGGUUACUCUGUCACCCUAACCAAGAAUUACGAAAGAAUUAGAAAAGAUUUAAGUUAGUCUAUCACUAUAGCCAAAUGUAAAUGACAAGAAAAAAACUUAGAAACCUAAAAAAAUCCUAAACUAAAGAGAAAAUAAUGGAAGAAGGGAUUCGUGAAUGCUUUACAAGUGAAGUUCAUGACCUAUUUAUAGUAUAAGGUUCAACCAAUGGGGUGAACCUAGACAUUCUUAACUUUGAAAGGUGAUCUUGAAAGCAAUUAAGGUCUAAUUGAUUGAGAAAUCUUUAUGAAUAUGAUUGAUCUUAAUUAGUCAAAUUUUGUCUUGCCUUCAAUACUUAUGUUGCCCUUUCUUCAAGUCAACAUAAUUUAUAAUUAAAGAAAGAGAUUUGAUCGAAUAUUAAAGACCAUACCUAAGUGAUUUAGCAAAUCAACAUUUAAAGACUAUAUCUCCUUGAUUUUGCACUAGUCAUGGGAUUCUUUAGAAUUUACAAAGACCAAUCUUGCAUUCCAUUUUAGCUUUGGCCAAAUAUCAUUUGGAUACUAUGGGUUUCUUGAUUUAUGCUAGGCUGGACAUGAUUACCACAUUUGCAUGGAUCACUUAUCUUUGCAUGCAUGGCCUCAUCUUGUCACCUUUGCAUGUUUUGCAUGGAUUUUAGCAUUUACAUUCAAAGUAAUUAAUUUUUUCAUGCAAACCUGAAAAUCACUAAUUUACACCGUUAUUAAACAAAAUUCAUGAAAAUUUUUAAAAUUUAAAGUCUCAAAUGAUAUGUAAAUAGCAAUAAAUUAUAAGGUCAUGACACCCCACACUUAGUUUUUUGCUUGUUCUUAAACAAAUUCUCAAGUUAUUAUUGCCAACAAUCACAAAGAUGCGUUCAUAAUUAACAUAUCACAAGUUAUCAAUCAUGCACUAUAGUAUAAUGUCAAGAUAGUUAUGAACAUAGUUAAACAUAAAAUUUAAUCAUAAGUAAGAUUUCAUUUUCAUGCAUUUUUCAUAUAUGUGUAAUCAAUCUGUCUUUAAUCUAUGUAUGCAAUUUAAGUAAAAAGUAUAUAAAAUAUGUCAUCACAUAUUGAAUCAAAGAUAAAGCAUACUUCAUAGGUUUACUUUUCUCAUUCCCUUUCCACUAAUGUAGGCUUAUAUACUUGAUUUAAGAUCAAUAAAUUUUUAUUGGCUUGUAAUGUAAAGUUAGGAUCAAGGUAAGAAAAAAAAAAUUUUAGGCUUAGAACCCUUUGCUUACUCAAAUUUGGAUUUGAGAACUUUUACAAGGCUUUUCAAGGUAAAGACAUCUUUGUUUUUUUUUUUUUUUUUUUUUCCAUAGCCAUUUUCGAAUUUUUCACUUUUUUUUUACUAAGCCAUUUUUGGCUUUUUUUUUUUUCAUAGCCAUUUUUAGCUUUUGUACUUUUUUUUCUUUUUUUUUUCUUUAUGCCUCCCUUACUCUAUGUAACUUGUUCUCUUAUUUUAUUCUUAACAUGCAUAAGCAAUAUGGUGGGAUUAGAAAAAGAUAGAUAAUUCAUAGAAAGGCCUUGAGCUUAUCAAUCUAGUUAAAUAACAAAGAAAAAAAAUAUAAAGGCUAAAAAAUAGGGUACUAAGGAUGCUUAUUUAUAGGUGGGCUUGAAAAAGACUUAAAUGGUUCAAUGAUGGCCUAAAUCAUUUAUUAAGUCAAACAUAGUCUAAGAUUUUGUCUCAAGGUUUAAGUAGGCAAAUUUUAAAGUUAUACUAAUGUCUUAAAUUUUUAUGCAAUUUUAUAUUCACAUGACUUUUCACAAAAAUUAAUGCAUGUCAAAUAUCAAGAUUAAAUUCACAUGUAUAAAAAUAAGCAAUCUAAAAAAUAACAUACUUAAGAUUUCAUUUCAUGUUUUUCCUACAUUCAUAUUUGUCCCAAGAUUAUACAUAUGUCACUCAUGAUUAACUUGUUAGAACUUAACUAAAAUUGCAUUAUUAUGAUUGAAGGCAUGUUAACUUGAUUUGAAAAUAAAAACUUUUAGGGUAACUUUUGAAAAGAUUUUGAAAUAGUAUUUUGCACAAAAAUUUUCCCUCCCCCACACUUGAAUUGCAUGACAUCUUAAUUAAAACAAUUAAAAAGUUAGGGUAAAGCAAAACUACUCUAUCUUUUCUUCUUUUAAGAUCGAAACUUGUAGACUUGCUUAGGAAUCAUUUAUUCAUCCUUACUCUAUAUUUAUCCUAAAACAAAUAAAACGAACAAACAAACCAAAUCAAUACAUACCUAUUCUAACAAAAAAAAAAAAGAAAACAAAUAAACAUAACUUAACAAUUAAUAUAAAAAUUAGGUUAUUUCCCAAGCAACGUUAGUUUUAGUCAAACUGGAUCAUACCUAAAUAUCUAAAAGGUUAUGUGACUACCCUACACUACAUACCAGCAUCCACCCACUUAAUAGUCUUACUUCUUAGUCUUUAUCAACAUUAGGCUCUAAAAGGUAAUAAUGCUCAAUUGUUAUGACUAGAUCUCCUACCUCUAACAAUGCCUUCAUUACAAAUAUACUACAGUAAGUGGGUACUGGCUUCAGUACUAGUGAAAGAGAUAUAACAAUGAAAAAUAUAUGGUUAGUCUCUUAGGUUAAAGGUUCCUCCAUGGGUGGCAUAAUUAGAGUGGGUGAUGUGUUCUUUUUUUUUUUUUAAGCUUGACAAUUGGUUUUUUGAAAGUUUAAGCACAUUUUAAAUAAAACAACCCUUAACAACAUGUUUUUCCACCUUAUUUAAUUUCAAAUCAUAAUCUUCAUAAGGUUGAAGAAUUGGCAAGGGUGGAUUGUAAGGCUCAGAGUCAACUUCACUAUGAUUAAUGUUAGAUUCAUCAAUAAUGUUCAGUAGAGUCGAUUUUACUUCCAUGACAUAAAAAUGAUCUCUCACUUCCAAUACCUCUUUGUCCACACCACCUUAACAAAUGCUGGUAAAUGAAUCACAAUGAGCAUUUUAUCAUUUUGCUUUUAUUUGGUCAUUCCCUCUUCAAAGCACUCAUCUUCAGGUCUUUUUACAAAACCCAACAAGUUAACUACCAUUGGUUCAUCCAUUAGGUCUUUAUCAUUGUCAUUAGCAACAUACACCACUUUUCAUUUCCUUUGAUCAUCCUUUAAUGUACAUUCCAUUUCACCUAACCAACUUGGAUCUACAUGGUCAUUAAGGUUUUCAAAUUGGCAAUCUAAGCUUUAAGGACGAUGGCUUGAUUUUGAAUUAAUCCUAUGAAAGUUUCAUCAAGGGCAGGUUCUGUUUGAGGAAGAGAUGAUGGGUCAUAUGAUGGCAAGUGUUAUGGUGGUGAAAAGUACUGAAAAGAUAAAAGGUACAUAUUAUAGUUAAAGGUAUAUAUAGAUGACUAUUUUUUAUUUCUCUCUUAUGCAUAACUAGGAUAAUCCUCCCUAUCUAGACUGUAAGUGUUUAGGUAAAAGUUGGAUUGAUUAUCUUGACAACUAUUAUUAUAGUAUUACACUCUAUAACUAUAACAAUUAUUAAAUAUGCUUUGAAUUGACUGAACAUGUCUAAGUUUAUGUUUUUUUUCAAGAGCAUCUACUUUUUAGUUAAAGAGGCUAAUUGUUAUGCUAUGACUACAGAGGGUUUUCAUUAUACAUUUCAAUAGUGCUCCAUGAUCUAAGGUCUUAAAAUGACAGUUAAAUGCAAGAAUACUCAUAAGAUGGCUUAGCAUAGUCCUCAAAGGUUCUGAUCUCACUAUAAUAAAAAUUAGACAUAUAGGAAGAAAAAUAAAGAACACACUAGAUCAAAAAUAAAAGUUUAAAUUACAAAAUAAAAAGAAAUGUUAUUGAUAUUGGUCUUCUAGCAUCGAUAUAAUCCUAAGCAACAUGCCAAAAACUUGAUUGUUACUUUUUAGGUUGCAAGUGCAUAAGUUGCAUUAAGUAAUAAAGUGAGUAAGUAGAGUAUCAUUCCCACAAAAAUUAUGUGUUGGGUACAGAGCCAAGAACCAAAGGAUAUUUUUUCUAGCUUUAUAUUUAAACAAAUUGAAAAGUUGAUUGGUUGUAAUUGAAAGAAAAGUAUUGAAAAUGUGAUAACUGAAUGUCAAGCUAACUAACUAUCACUUAGUAGCUUCAAAAGGCAAAACAAUUAUGCAAAAAAAUAAAAAAAAAUAAAAAACUUAUAAAAGAGUUAAAUAUUUCUAAUUGUAAAGAAAGUAUAAAAUAGAGAUUUGAAAGCUUAUAAAGAAAAUAAAUAGUCUAUGUGAAGAUAGAGAAAGAGAUUUUAGAAUAAAAAUAGAAAAAGAACUUGUAUUAAGAAAAAGCUGUAGAAAACAAAACUAUGGUUAGUUUGUCACCCUAACCAAGAAUUACAAAGGAAUUAGAAAAGAUUUAGGCUAAUUUAUCACCCUAGUUUAAUGUAAGUGACAAGAAAAAGACUUAGAAAAUUAAGAGAUUUUAAACUAAAGAGAGAAGAAUGAAGAAGGGAUUCGGAGUGAAGGUCAUGGCUUUUUUAUAGUACAAGGUUCGACUAAGGAGGGAUGAACCUAACAUUCUUAACUUUAGAAGGUGAUCUUAAAAUCAAUUAAGGUCCCAUUGAUUAAGGAAUCUUUAAAAAUGUGGUUGAUCUUGAUUAGUCGAAUUUUGCUCUUACCUUUAAUAUUUUUGUUGCCCUUUCUUUAAGCCAACAUAAUUUACAAUUCAAGAAGAAGAUUCAGCCAAAUAUUAAAGACCAUAUCUAGGAGAUUCAGCAAAUCAAAAUUUAUAGACUAUAUCUAUUUGAUGUUGCACUAAUCAUGUGAUUCUUUAAAAUUUACAAAAAUCACUCUUGUAUUCCAUUUUAGUUUUGGCCAAAUAUCAUUUAGAUCCUAUGGGUUUCUUGGUUCAUGUUGGACUGGACAUGAAUACCAUCUUUGCAUGGAUCACUUUUUCUUACAUGCAUGGCCCCAUCUUGUCACAUUUGCAUGGUUUGCAUGGAUUUUAGCAUUUAUUUUCAAAAUAAUUAAUUUUUUCAUGCAAACUUGAAAAUCAUCAAUUUACACCAUUAUUAAGUAAAAUUCAUGAAAAUUUUUAAAAUUUUAACUUUAACAUGAUUUGUAAAUACCUAUAAAUUAUAAGGUCAUCAAUGUGUAAUUGCUUUAGUUGCUUUUUAUUAUCAUUAUGCCAUGUGGUUUGUCUGACCUAUGUAAUUGCUUGACUUGCCUUUUAUUAUGAGUGUGCCAUGUGGUCUAUCCAACUUGUUUUGUGGAAAUUUUCAUCCUUUUUAUGAAAAGAAAAGGCAAUUUUCAUGCUUUUAGAAGGAUAUAUAUGUUAGAAUUAUUUUUAAAAUAGGUGAAAGAAUAACUUAAACAAGCAAUGAAGUAACAUAAGUCAAGUUUCAUGAUGUAAAACACUUAAGAAAGAAAACUUGUCUUAAUAGUGGUUGAUUACUACAAUUAAUGGAACCAACUGUUAUAGGCUAGGCAUAAGGAGCAGUCAAUUGCCAUGCACUUUAAAUAUGUACCAAAAUUUUUAUGAAUUUUGGAUUUAAUAUAACAGAAAACUAAUUGAUUCCUAACCCUUUUGCAAUCAACUGCUAUGGUUGGAAAUCAAACUAGUCUAUUGCUUAACUUAGAGGCAAUCGACUUCUUGAAAUUUGAAAGUCUUCUAUUUCAAGAAAACACAAAAGUAGUUGACUGCUAUAAACUAGAAUCGAUUGUUCUCAUGUGUGAAACCUUAUAUAUUUGCAUCAAAGUUGACUGCCUUAAAAGAAGCCAACGUAUUUUGGAACUCAAGGAGAUUGUUUCUGUAUUUUUGUUUUGAUGAUGGCAUAACAUGAGAGAACAUAGUAGGAAAGCUACAAAAUUGACACCUUGGGCUUGAAAACCUUUUUAAUGAACCUGAAAACCAGUCUUUGAAAGUGAAAGGAUAAUAAAAUUAAAGGAAAAAUUUUUUUGAACAUCCCAUAAAUUUUUUAAUAAAAUUAAUCUAAUGGUUAUAAACUUUAUAACCCUUUGCAUUCAAAUUCCCAAUGGCCAAAUUUAUUUGUAUCUUCUUUUCUUUUCUCUUUUUUGGCCAAAUUUUUUUUUUUUUUUUAGUAAUUAAAAGUAAAUACUUGAAUGACUUUUAAUGAUAUGAAUUUAUUAGCCUUCAAACAAAAGCCUAGCAACGACAACAAAUAUACUUAUGUACAAGUCUAAAUGCAAGAUGUAAAUAAGAAAUGGACAAAUUAUAUUUUAUUGAUUACAAGGUUUUUUUUUCUAUCUUUUAUCAUUUCAUUUUUUCUUUAAUGUUAUUUUGGUUAAUUUUUUAAAAGAAAUAAAAAAAAAAAACUCAAAAUUUUUUAUCACAAUUAAUAAUGAAGUUUAUAGAGUUCACAAGUUGAAUUAAUAAAGUAAUACAUACAAUAAAAAUUUUAAUAAUUAGAAAUAAUUAAAAAAUUAAAGCAUGUGACAAGCUGAUUGUGAGAACUAUGCAAUGAACUACAAAAUAACAUAUAGUUGUGAAUAUGUCCUUUAUAUAUUGGCAUAUAUGAAAAAGUAGAUGUAAAGCCAAUAUUAAUUAAAAUGAAUAAAGAUUGUGAAAACUGUGCAAUGAGCUUGAAAUGCAACUACAAAGUAUGGGAAAAUGUUGAAGAUUGAGAAAAUGGCUGAAGUAAUUAAAGAAAGUAAAGAGAAAAUUGUUAAAUGGAAAAGCCCUGAAUAAAGAUGGAUAAAGAUAAAUUGUGAUUGGGCUAUCAAAGAAGGAAACCAUUUGUGGGAAUGUACUUUAUGGAAACCUUUUACCUAGCUUCAUUUCAAACAAAUUUUCUUCUAUUUCCCAUUGGAAACAUCCUAAAGACUCAACCUUUAAUUACUUUAUAUUACAUCCUUUGAUGAAUUAGCUUCAAUCUUAAUCUAGGUUUUUGAAUUUUUGAUUGAAACAAAAAGAAAUCCCAAAAAAUGAAAAAAAAUUUUGGGUUUUUUUUUUCUAUGAGGUGCUGACUCGAAUAAAUAAAGUGAAUCAACUAAGGCUACAUUGGUUAAAGUAAUGAAUAGUAAAACAUGGUAGACUUGGAUCUGUAUCAUAACUACCCCACGAGCAGUUAAGCAAGGUAAAGAAAAUGGGGCCAAUAAAAAGUUGUUUUGGCAAUAUGGCAGCAAAAGAAAGUUUUUGAUUUGAAAAGAUUGGGCACACUCAUCAAGAUCAAAACACUUGCAAAUAUGAUAUUUUUAUUACAUAAACAUCAUGUUUGUACUUUUAAAUUUUUUUUAUUUUUACUUAAAUACAAUGUUUUUCAAAUCAAAUAUUGCGUUUCUGUUUAGAAAAAUGUUGUUUUGUUUAAUUUCUAUUUUUUCUAAGACAAUCACGAUGUUUUUAUUACAUUAAUGUACUCUUUUAUUGUAUAUUUUUUAUUUUUUAAUAAAAAAUCUAUAUUUGAAUUCACAUUUUGUUGGUCAAACACUCAUUAGAUUUAAUAAAAAUGACAUAUUUGACAUGUAAUGAAGGAUAUUAUUGUAAAAAAACUUUAUUAAGUAAUCUAACUUUCUCUCGAACCAAACAUAGGAUUCUUACAUUUUAUACCACAUAGAUCACCUUUGUAAGAAAUUCACGACUUUUUUUGAAAUCAUUUUAUUCUCCCGAAUGUAAGAUUCGGAUGACCAAAUGCCCACUUAAAGGUUUUGUUUCUUCCACCAGCUGUAUUCCCUACUUUAUCCUUUUUUAUUCUUUUCCUCAGUUUUACCCCGAAGAUUGGCCAUAAAACUUAGAACUCUCCCUGUCAAAAAGAAAAUGGACCCUGUCAUUUUUUAGGCUACCAUUUCAAGUUAGGCUUAAGCAUUUUACCAUGUUAUCCACUUUAGGGGUGUAGGGUUUAUUGCUUUUAUCUACAAGUUUUCUCUAUUUGGUUUUCUCUGGUUUUAUGUUGUUGCAUAAUGGGUACCCCUCUCACUCCGUGAAUGGUUCAGGCUUCAACAAUUCCUCACUAUACAAACAAAAUUGUUAAGUUAUCGUGAAAAUUAAAGUAAGAGGUUUUGAUAAACACUUUAAUCCCUUUCAUAUCUAGAAAAAAAGAUUAUAAGAAACGAUUACUCUAUAUUAGUAUAUGUACUUUCGUUUCAAAUUAUGCAAUGUAAUCACAUUAAAUGAAAAUCAACCAUUUAUUACGCAUCAUAUGUGACAAUUAAACAAUGAAUAUUUAUUUCAAUAGACUCAUACAUCAAUAUGUAAUAAAUAGUUGAUCUUUUUCAAUAAUAUGAUUAUGUGAUAUGAAUUGAGUGGAAGAGAUAAAUGUUGCCAUUGAGUAAUCGAUUCAUACAAUAUUUUCUCUUACUCUAGAUGGUUUUAAUUGUUUCAAAAAAUUGCAAAAUGUCAAGACUUUGACUAUCCUUGUUAUGGGCAAAGGCAGUGUAGGAAAGUCUUCCACUAUCAAUUCUCUUCUUGGGAAGCAAUUUGUUCGAGUCAUUGCUUUUCAGGUGAAUAUUGCUUUUGUCUGUUCUUUAACAUUCUUAGGUUAAUUCUUUUAUGCUAUUUUCAAUUUCAUAAGCUUGAAUUGUCAUUGCAUUUGUUUGUUUGCAAUCAUAAGGGUUGAGAUCUGUGAUGCUGUCAUGCUCUUGGGUAGGGUUUACAUAUAAUGUAAUUGAUACACCAGGACUUGUAGAGGCUGGAUAUGUCAAUCUCUAAGCUUUCGAGUUGAUUAAAGGUUCAGCACUUGAAUUAAGCAAUGUAAGUUAGAAUUUUAUUUGUUGUAUGAUAAAUUUAAUUUAAUUAUAUACUUCUCACUAAAUGAUAGUAAGAUUUUCUUUUUUGAAUUAGUUUUACUACAUGAUGCAAUUCAUUUUAGUUAAAAACAAAAUCUUGUAAUCAUCAUGCGUAUUUCUUUUGAAUAAGACUAUAGAUAUUUCACUUUAUGUUGACCGCCUAGAUGCAUAUAGAGUGAAUGACUUGGAUAAGCAGAUCAUUAGGGCUAUCACUGUUUUGGCAAAAAAAUAUAGCAUGACUUUAGAUAAAACUCAAAUCCGACUCAAUUAUUAUCGAAUUGAGUUCAAGCUCGAAUAGCUUAAUUUAUUGAGUGAGUCGAGUUCUAGUAUCUUAAUGCCUAACUCGAAUAGUUCACGAGCCUAAUCGAGUUUUUAAAUUUUAAUAUAUUUUAUUACUUUAAUUAAAAACUAUUAUUUUAUCUUUAUAUAUAUCAAUUCGAGUUUGAGCUCGAGUUCGAAUAUAUAAUCUAGCUUAAAAUUGAGCAUGAGAAUAUAGUUCAUUUUUUAUUAAACAAGCCUAAUCAAACGAGCUUAAAUAACUUGAUUUUUAUUUCGAGUCAAGUUCAAGUUUAAAAAUUAAAAUUUGAUCAAGUUCAAGCUAAGUUUUGAGCAACAAAAUUUAAAUCGAGUUUGAGCUCGAGCCUCUUAUUAUAUUGAUUCCGCUAUGUUUGAUUACAUCCCUAAUUUAGAUAUUUUGGUACUUCAAAUUUUUAAAAUUUGAUCUAAAUUCAAGCUUUAUUAAAAUUGAAGAAUCCAAAUUUUAUUGAAAUCGAAUUGAUUCCAAUUGAAUUUUACAAUUUAUUUAUUUAUUUUUAUAUUAUAUAAAUAAAUUUAAUUAUAAAAUAAUAUUUUUACUUAAUAAAAAUUUAAAAUUUAGAUAAAAAUUAAUUAAAAAAUAUAAUUCGAUUUGAUACAAACAUUUUUUAUUUUUUCAUGUCAUGAUUUGAAAAUUAAUUCAAACCGAAUUGAAAUAUUUCAUAUUUUAUUUGAAUCAAAUAGACAAUAUCCCGUUCGAAUUGAAUUAAAAAAAAAAAAAAACAAUCUGAUUCAAAUUGAAAUAUUGUGUAAACACCAAAUUUUGUCAAGAUCAAUUCAAACAUGAUUGAUUUUUAUGCUUAAGUUACAUGUUCAUAUUUGAGCCAAUUUAAACAUUAAAUCAAAUUAAAUUUAUUUGAGUUUAUUUGGUAUUAAUCAUUUUAAUUUUGAUUUUAUUAUUAUUAUUUUUUUAUCAUUUAGGAUUUAUUUAAUUAAUAAAAAAAAGUAUAAAAUAAAAGUUAAUUAAUUACAAAAAAUUAAUUAUCAAAUAAAAAUAAAUUACAAAAAAGAAAUAAAUUACAAAAGGGUAGAAAAACAGAACUAAAAAAACAAAUUGACGUGGUCGACAGUCACUGUAUCAAGGCAAGAAACUGCCUAAUUUUGGCCUUAACAAGCCAGGGUCCUGUGUCACGGGUCGAGACUUAAUCUCUUAACCCGCGCGGCUCCUAGACCCGAGCAUUCACCCUUCCGGCGUCCCAAAUCAGCCUGACUGCCACAGUUCACACCCUUGUAAGGUAUUAUUCGCUCUGACCCCCUUGACCUUACGGUUUUGUCCUACAAAAAGCGCCUCAUAAGGCAGAGGUGGUGUGAACCCUUUUAUACUCCAGUAACACUCUUAUUAUGUUCGAUGUGAGAUUCAUGACUCUUCCUUAGGUCCGUGACAUUCUCCCGCACCCAACUUCGUGACGCCCUUGUCACGGAGGCUGACCACCCUACCUGCCUCCCUUGAGGUGCUUGGCGUGAAUCGAACGAUUUAUGGCUGACUCUGAUACCACUUGUCACGGGUCGAGACUUAAGCUCCGAAUCGACGCGACUUCGGGACCCGGGCAUUCACCCUUUCGGCGUCCCGAAUCAGCCUUCCUGCCACGGUUCACACCCUUGUGAGGUAUUGUCCGCUCUGGCCCCUGACCUCACGAUUUUGUCCUAUAAAAGACGUCUCACAAGACAGAGAUGGUGUGAACUCUUAUAUACCCCAGUGACCUUCCUAUUAUGUUCGAUGUGAGAUUCAAAACUCCUCCUUAAGUCCGUGAUAUUCUCUCUCACCCAACCUCGUGACAUCCUCGUCACGGAGGUUGGCCACCCUACCUACCUCCCUCGAGACACUCGACGUGAAUCGAACGAUUUAGGGCUGAUUCUGAUACCACUUGUCAUGGGUCGAGACUUAAUCUCUUAACCUGCGUGGCUCUGGGACCCGGAUAUUCAUCCUUCCGACGUCUCGAAUCAGCCUGACCGCCACAGUUCACAUCCUUGUGAGGUAUUGUCCGCUCUGACCCCCUUGGCCUCACGAUUUUGUCCUACAAAAAAUAUUUCACAUGACAGAGGUGGUGUAAACCCUUUUAUACCCUAAUGACCCUCCUAUUAUAUUUGAUGUGAGAUUCAAUACUCUUCCUUAAGUCCAUGACACUUGCACUUCACCAGCCAACACCUUGUACACUGCCAGCAGCCACCAAACUUUGUAAAUUUUCUUCAUAAUAAGAAUUCAUAAAUUAAAAAGACUAAAAAAAAAAAAGGAAAGAAAAACAAAUGGGUUUAAACAUCCAUUUUUUUUCUGCAAGCACCAAGUCCCCCUCACCAGCCUAGCUUUAGUCCCUGUAUCUUUUUUCAUCAGCCCUUCCUCAACACCAAAACCCUUCCCCAGUGCCUAUCCAGAACCAAAGUCACGCCCUUCCCUGGUCACUCCCUUAACCGACACCAUCACUAAACCCCUUUAAACACCCUGACAAACCCUAGCUAAACACCAACCAAGCCUGUACACACCAACAGACCCCGACCAACCCUUUUGCACACAACCUACCCUAGCCUUUCCUUCGAGCACCAUUCACACCACACCAACACCCGAUUGACCCCUAUAGUUUUGCCUGCUUCACAGCCCCGGCACCUAAAACCCACCUCCAUCACCCAGCCUCAAGCACCAUUAAUCACUAACCCUCGCCAUCGGAACCCAGUACUGGCCCUCCAAAAUCUCCUCACAGAAACCUAGGUCCUUAAUAGCCAUCCAUCCACACCCAUGGAACCACCAUAGCCCCUGAACAAAAACCCAAGCCACCUUAAACAAACCCAGAACUAGUGCACCAACACUAGCCAUCCGCACCACCCUCAGCCUCCUACUCAACCAACCCCUAAGCACCAAACCAAAUAACCCCACAUUUGCCCUCCUACAACUGGCCAUAACCAAAAAUAAAAAAUAUAUAACAAUCUUCCUCGAAGGGAGGAACCUUAGUGCCCAAAGCCAUUUUAUAAAAAAAAUAGUUAGAUUCAACUGAUAAAAAAAAUGAGAUUUUCAGGCAAGGUCUCUAGAGGAAAGGAAGGUUUCAGGGUGGAGGUGUACAUAUUAAAAGGAAAGGGCAUUUGAAGCAGUGGAAAGGAAGCUUUUGAAGUAUGAAAUCACCGACUUUGAACCUAGAUUUAGGAGUAGACUCAUUUUUUGGAAAAAUCAUCUAGAAAACAAGAAGAGGGGCUUAAGGAGAUCACGUAGGUUAAUUUUGGGAGACGACUGGACGGCGAUUGAAGAUUAGUUUAUAUUUUUGAAGAGUUGAGAGAGUUUUUUUUUUUUUAAAUGAAGGUUUGAAAUGAAUUAAGAAAAAAAUUUAGUAUAUAAUUAAAAAAAAAAAAAGAAAAAGUUGAACGAGAAAACGCGACUCGGUAAUUCAGCCCCUGACCUAUUCAACUUGGACUUGCAGCCCACAAAUCAUUCUACUAGCCCAGCUACCUUGGAUCCGUUUUGGUUGCUGCACUCCAUUUGCUUGGGCUAAGUGAGUAGAUGACCUUGGGCUUCAACAUAAAGUUUUAUUUGGGUAAUUUUUAUUUAUACUUUUGGGCCUCUCAAUGAAUGGUUUUCACAUUGUUCAUGUUAAUAAAAUAUUCAUGAAAUAUGCAUGUUUUAAAAUAAUUAAUAAUGCUCAUGAAAAUAAAUAUUAUUAUUAAAUACUUGAAUAAAAAAUUAAAUAUAAAUUUUUGAUGAUGGGAUUUCAAAAAGUUUGAAUAGUGAUUUUCGAGAAUUUUGUAAGUGAGAAAAAAACUUCUAAAAAUUAUCAAAUUAUUAGAAUAUUUAGAAAUUCUUUUCAAAACAAAAUUUUUUAUUUUUUCUUAAUUUGAUUUUUUUAGAGAUAAAAAUAUAAAAUAUUUAUAAAAGUAUGCAUUUUUUAAGGAAAUAAAUUCAUUUAUAUAAUUGUAUUAUUGGUAAUUUUUUAAAUAUUAAUAAUUAUUAAAAAAAUAAAAUCUUCGAGAAUGAUAUUUUAAAUAAGUUCGAGUAGUGAUUUUUUAAGAAUUUUUAGACAAAAAAAUCUAUCUAAAAUGCUAUCAAUAUAUUGAAGUAUUGAGAAUAAUUUUCGAUAAAUUUUUUUUAUCUAUUUUUAAUAAAUUGAAUAAGAAAUGAAUUUUUUUAAUAUUAUCAUGAUUAAAUUAUAGUUAUCAUAUCUUAUUACAUGUAUAAAUCUUGAUGAUAAAUAUGAAACACUAAGGUUGAGAUAUUUAAGAAGUUCGAGUAAUGAUUAUCAAAGAUUUCCUGGAUGAGAAAAAUUCUUUCAAUAUUACCACCAUAUUAAAAUAUUUUAAAAUUUCUUUCAAUAACAGGGUUUUAAUAUUUUUCUCAAAUAAGAAUAAUUAAACAAAAUUAUUAAAAUUAUUACAAUAAAAAAACAAAGAAAAAAAGAAAAUUAAUUUAAAAUACCAAAAUUGAGAUCUUUUAGUUAAAAUUAAAAGAUAACAUAUAAUUAAUUGAAAUUAUUUUAAAUGGAUACUAUAAAUGUACUAAUUUUUUUUGCGUAUAAUUGACUAUCGAAUCUAAUUUUUUUUCAUAAAUAUAAAAAAUUAUAUUUUUAAUAAAUUUUGAUUAAUUUUAAAAUUUUAUUAAAAUGAUAAAUUUUAAUGGAUCAUCAAUCACAUCUAAUAAAAAUUUUAAUUAUAACUUUUGUUUGUUUUUACAUUUAUCCUAACAGUCCAAAAAAUCGAUACAAUAUUUGAAUGAAAAAAAUUGAUCUACAUCAAUUUUUUUUCAUUUUUCCUAUAGCCUUAUAUGUGAGGAUGGAGGUUACGUUGCAUAAAAACCAUGAUGUGCUUCAAGCAUAAGCCGUGCCUUAAUAGAACUUAUCCUCCGCCAACCUAUGAUCCCAAAAGGCCACUAUUUCCACCCACCUAUGCAACCCAUCUCUUUCUGUUUUGUUCUUUAGGCUCAUAAAAGUGUUAGGAGCAGCUAUGGAUUACCAUGACGGCCCCACCACCUCAGGCUUGGUAGCAAUACAAUACAGUUGUUUCACCUUUUCGCUGCGUGGAUUGCGGGGAUCUGCGUGGGUAAAAGUGUUUAUAAUUUGAUUAAAAUUAAAUUAAUCAAUUGAAUUAAAUUAAUUUGAUUAAUUAAUUUAUUAUUAAAUUAAUUUUGAUUGAUUAUUUAUUAUGAUUUUUAAAAAAAUUUAAUUUUUAAUUAAUUUGAUUUGAUAAUUAAUGUAUCAAAAUAUAACAAAACCUUAUAUAAAACUAAACAUAUAUAAGAUAAUUUAAACUUAAUAUUUUGAUUUUGAUAUUUUAUUGGAUGAUUUUAUUUAAUUUAUUUAAAUAUAAAAAAUUAAAAAUAUAGUUUAACUUGAAUAUAUUUUUAUUAUUUAAUUAAUAAAAAAUUAAUUAAAUCAAUUAAAUUAAUUUUGAUAAAUUAAUUUUUGAAAAUUAAUAAAUUUAAUUUAAUUUAAUUUUAUAAAAAUAAAAGUAAAUUAUUUUGAUUUGAAAUUAAUCGAGAUGACAAGAAUGUUUGCGCACGUAUGGUACAAGCACGUAUGUUAAAUUUGUACCGGAGAACCUGUGUUGGGAGCAGAGGUUCGAAGAUUUUAUAAGCUACGGAUUCCAUUUGUGUCGAUUCUAACAUGUAAUGAUUAAGUUCACAUCCUAGGCUGUUGAUUCUAACAUGUAAUGAUUAAGUUCACAUCCUAGGCUGUUGAUUCUAACAUACAAUGAUUAAGUUCGCCAUAAUAGGCUGCAUACACGCACUUUAAGCACUGUAAACCAACCAGGUUUCAUUAAUCAUUGCCACUGCAAAUGUGGUCAAAUUUAACUGCUACUAUCAUUGGUUUUUGAACAUUUUUUUGGAUGAAGAUUUGGAAAUUUUGAGCCACCAAUGUCACGGAAGAUACAAAUAAGCUUAAAAAUUAAAUUGUACGAAAUUGAGAUGUAACAAAAUUUUUGAGAUUUUCAAAUAUUUUUUAUGUAAAAAGAUGUAAUUUGAUGAUAGAAAAAAAUUAUAAAUUAUAAAUUAUAAAUUUUAAAAUUAUUAAAUAUAAUUUUUAAAAAUAAUUACAUAAAAUUAUUUCGGGUAUGAUAAUAUUUUUUAUUUAAAAUUAAAAUGAUCAAACGAUUAAGAUUUAAGGGUAGUUAAAAUUAAUAAUUCUACAUCAUACCAAAUUAGUCCUUUGACACGGAGUAUGACUAAAAUCACAACUUCAUAUAAAAAUUUUUUAAAAAUAAUUAUAUAAAUUAAUUAAAUCAAAAUUUGGAUUUGGAUAAUAAAUUUUUUGUAUAUAGCAUAAGCAUAGCCCAUUGAAAAUGGAGGAAUGUUUUGAUUUGAAAUCAAAACUUUUAAUUCUUUCUAAGAGUUUUUUAAUCACUAUGUCAAAAUUUCAAAAAAAUAAUAUUUUUUUAUAUAAAGGAAUCAAUAAUAAUCAUAGAGGGUAGUAGUUUUUUUUUUUUUUAACAAAAUAAGCUAUAAUUUAGAAAUAAAAGAAAAAAGUAAACAAAUUAAAAUUAAAAUUUAUUAACAAAAUAAUCAUAGAGGGUGAUAUUCUUUUUAACAAAAGAAGUUAUAAUUUAAAAUUUUAAAUUUAUUAACGAAUGAAAUCAACAAUUUUAAACAUGGACCAUGAUGAUACGAUACAAAGAUACGAACAAAGAGCUUGAUACGGUAUAAAAAUUUUACAAAAAAAAAAAAAUUUAUUUUUUAUAUUUUGACGUGUGAAAUUAAUUGUGAUGUAAUAAUUUCGUAUUUUAUACGUGUCUGAUAUAAGAUAGAUAGACAAAGAUAUAUGAAUUGUCAUAAGGAAAGAGUAGUUUUUGUGAAAGCUAUAAUUUGUUGCUAUUGUUGCAGUAAGCAAGAAGCAAAUGUCAUACUUGAGUAUCUGUCAAUGGUAUCCAAAUUAAUAAAGGUGCUGAUGACAGAACAUGAAACUAACAUGUAACUAAACUCUGCAGAUAUUUUUGUUUGGGUUAUGUCUUCCACUGUAUGUCGUGCACUUCAUUGAUAACCCCUUGAAUAUCUGUGAUUUUGUUGCUGCUGGAGUUUGUUUUGUGUGGCAUUGUCAUAGCGUACUUUGAAGAUACACAACUGCAUAACUUUGUCACUUAGAAAUAGCAAGCUAAAAGAGCUUGGAAAGCCUUUGGUCCCUAAUCUUGACCAGGGCUUGUGGCAGUAUUCGCCAUCCGAAACUAUUUUGGGGAGAACCUGUGGUGGUGGGGGCUGGUUGUAUUUGCAUGGAACCUGGGACAUGGAUGGACCUUUGUCGGGCCUUUGAUCAUAGCAUGUGUUUAGCUUAUCUACCGUGCUUGUGGAGCGGCGGAUGUUGAAACAAGAGUAAAGAGCUGAAGCAUACAGGUUAUAUCAAAAAGACAACCUCAGCAUGUGUGCCUUGGUUCAGAUCUUCUGCUAUAGCAGUGAAAGAUAAGAUUCCUGAUCUGAUGUUUGUGUUGGUCUAAUGCUUUGUUAUCCUGUCUUGAUGUGGCCAGCACUUUUGAUGUAUUCUGCUGUCUUUUGAGAGAAAAUGGUUGUUGUCUAUGGUAGCCAAAGAAAAUCAGUCUAUGAAAUCAUGUAAAUUCUUUCUUCAUUUGCUAUAAAACACUUUUUCUUGUCUGAUUUUCUCGUACGUUUAUAACACGUAGAUCUGUAGGUCAUAUCAAACUUAGAGCCGGGGGCAGAUCCACACUCAAAAAGUAAAGUGUUCAUGGACACUCCAAAUAUCAAAAUUUUUCCAUCAAAAUUUUUUCGUCGACAGAAUUGAUAAAUCCGUUGUAGUUUUUUAUAUGGUAUAUAAAUAGACACCCCCGAAAAACAAUCUUGGAUCCGCCACUGCUUAGAGCAAGCUUAUAGUUGCAUGAAUGGCCGAAGCAAAUAUUUGGCUAUAUAGAGAUUUAAACUGGUGUUUAGAUGGUUGUUUAGGAUGCUCAUGAUCUCUGCAUCUCUCUGUUUGGAUGCCAGUCAUCUUGUUUGCUUAUGUGAUUUUUCAAACAGCAAAAAACAUCGCAUCCUAGGCAGAAAGAGUGAUUGAUUGAUUGAUUAUGGGUAUUAUAUUUGCUCUUGUUACAAAGCUUGUAAGUAGUUGGAGUUGGGCAUCCUGUUCUAUUCCAUCAAUAGGUUCGUCUCACAGGGCUGAUUCAAAUAAUUUUAUGGAGGAAUAUUCUUACAAGUAAACAAUUAGCUAGAACAACAAAAAUCUUGAUUUUCAUGGUUCAUGUGCAAUAAAAAAAGUGUUGUUACAGGUUUUCAUUCUCUCUUUUGGUGUAGAAGCAUCUGCAAUAUCAUGUUUACACGACACAUGUAUAAAAUAUGAAAAUUAUCAUAUUAGUAACAUGUCAAAUGCAAAAUACAUUUUUUUGGUUUUUAUCGAACUCAUAAAAUUUUUAUUAAAAUUUUAAAUUGUAUUUUUUCUAUCACUUUUGUAUUUUGUUUAUAAUUAUUUGAUCUUAAUAUAAUAGAAAUCCCACAAGCAUAUCGCACAUAAUGAGGAAAGUUUUGCAGAUCAAGUUGCAACUGUAUUGGAAACAAAACAAACUUGUUUUAACAAUGAAUACCGUAUGUUUAAAAUUCCGCAUAUAAUUAAAAUUAACACUUAAAAAUUAUGAGUUUAAAAAAAUUUAUGCACGUAAUAUUUUUUUUAAUCAAAUAAAUAAUAAAAUAAAAAGAUUUAAGGGUAAAUUAAAAAAAAAAAAAAAAACUGGGCAAGCUCAGGAAGAGUUGGGAGAAGUUAAUUUCUCUUGAAAAUUAGCUUUUGUGGAUUCAUGGCUGACUACGUUCUCACUUGGCGGCAGGUUCUUAACUCCUAAGUACGGACACAUCUGAAUCAAUGUGCACCCGUGUGGUAUUCGUGCUUGAUAUUUUGACACUUUUGAUACGUUAAAAUACGUAUCAAACUUGGCCAAAUACAACAAUGCGGGUAAUGGUACUCUAUAUUCAUUUAUUGUCGUAUCUAUCAUUAAUUUUCCUUUAAACCUGUCUAAUUGCUAUUAUACAUUUUUACCUGUUAAUUAUAAUAUAUUAAAAAAUAUUUUUAUUAUUAUCUCAUGUUAUAUUUAUAUCUUAAUUUUUAGAUAUUAUUGUAUUAUUAUUUUCAUAUCGUAUUAUGAGUUAUUACUUGUUUAUAGAUCUGACAAUUUAAAAUAUAACAUAAUAACAUGAUAUAAAAAUGAUAUAAAAAUAAGACACGAAUGUGAUACAGUUUAAAAUUAUAAUAAUAAUAUAAUAGUNNNNNNNNNNNNNNNNNNNNNNNNNNNNNNNNNNNNNNNNNNNNNNNNNNNNNNNNNNNNNNNNNNNNNNNNNNNNNNNNNNNNNNNNNNNNNNNNNNNNNNNNNNNNNNNNNNNNNNNNNNNNNNNNNNNNNNNNNNNNNNNNNNNNNNNNNNNNNNNNNNNNNNNNNNNNNNNNNNNNNNNNNNNNNNNNNNNNNNNNNNNNNNNNNNNNNNNNNNNNNNNNNNNNNNNNNNNNNNNNNNNNNNNNNNNNNNNNNNNNNNNNNNNNNNNNNNNNNNNNNNNNNNNNNNNNNNNNNNNNNNNNNNNNNNNNNNNNNNNNNNNNNNNNNNNNNNNNNNNNNNNNNNNNNNNNNNNNNNNNNNNNNNNNNNNNNNNNNNNNNNNNNNNNNNNNNNNNNNNNNNNNNNNNNNNNNNNNNNNNNNNNNNNNNNNNNNNNNNNNNNNNNNNNNNNNNNNNNNNNNNNNNNNNNNNNNNNNNNNNNNNNNNNNNNNNNNNNNNNNNNNNNNNNNNNNNNNNNNNNNNNNNNNNNNNNNNNNNNNNNNNNNNNNNNNNNNNNNNNNNNNNNNNNNNNNNNNNNNNNNNNNNNNNNNNNNNNNNNNNNNNNNNNNNNNNNNNNNNNNNNNNNNNNNNNNNNNNNNNNNNNNNNNNNNNNNNNNNNNNNNNNNNNNNNNNNNNNNNNNNNNNNNNNNNNNNNNNNNNNNNNNNNNNNNNNNNNNNNNNNNNNNNNNNNNNNNNNNNNNNNNNNNNNNNNNNNNNNNNNNNNNNNNNNNNNNNNNNNNNNNNNNNNNNNNNNNNNNNNNNNNNNNNNNNNNNNNNNNNNNNNNNNNNNNNNNNNNNNNNNNNNNNNNNNNNNNNNNNNNNNNNNNNNNNNNNNNNNNNNNNNNNNNNNNNNNNNNNNNNNNNNNNNNNNNNNNNNNNNNNNNNNNNNNNNNNNNNNNNNNNNNNNNNNNNNNNNNNNNNNNNNNNNNNNNNNNNNNNNNNNNNNNNNNNNNNNNNNNNNAAGAUCGAUCUUUUAAAAAAUAUAAUAAAAAUCGAUUGAUUUAUUUUUAAAAAUAAAAAAUAAUUGAAUUGACAAAAGGUGAUCGAAAAAUCAAAUUUUGAAUAACUUUUUGUCAUUAAUUUUGAAUAAUUUGUAAUAAUUUUUACCAAAUAAAAUUUACUUUAUAAUUUUAUCAUCAAUAUUAUAUUUGUUAUUUUUAUAAAUAUAAAUUAUUUUAUCUAUAUUUGAUUGAUUUAAUUAUUAAUUUAAAAAUAAUAACGGGUCAAAUUAAUUCAUUAAAUAAUUUUAUCUAAUAAUAAUUGUCAAAAUUAAAUGAAUUAAAACAAUUCAAUCGAAUUUAAUUGAUUUUGAUUAAUCAAAUCAAUUAGAAACGAUUUAUACUCACUUUUAUUUAUUGGUAUAGUAGAAUCAAAAUUAGAAGCAUUUGGUCUCUUUGGGUUGAGUGGUAUAUUGAAUUAGAUGUGAUAAUUUAAAAUAUAAUAUAAUUAUAUAAUAUAAAUAUGAUUUAAAUAAAAAUUUAAAUUUAAUACAAUUUAAUAUUUUAAUAAUAAUUAUAUAUAAAUUAAUAAAUUUUAAAAAUAUAUUUUAUAUUUUUAUAAUUUACCACGUAAAUUAUUAUCUAUAAUUUUAUAUAAAAUAUGAUAUAAAUUUAUAAAUUUAAACGUAUAUAUAUAUAUAUAACAAACACGAAUCGUCGUGUCUACAGUAAAGGACCAAAGUUCAUGUCUACAUUAAACCAGAAAUUCACUAGUUAGUGAGUUGGUCCGGGCCUGAGUUAGUAACGAGUACUGUUUUCCCACUAAACGGGUCAUCCAUUUCCCAAAAAAUAAACAAAAAAGCAAAUUUCAUUGCUUACCAAAAUCCAGUGUUUUAACAUUCUCCGCCCCGCCUAUCUUCUGUUAUUUCUUUACUUCCCCUCACUGUGUCAAAAGAAUCUAACGCAACCAAAGAAUCUAACGCAACCAAAGAAUCUACCACUAUUCAUUUCUCUGUAAGACUUCAUAUCUUCCCACAUGCUUUCGUUUUUAUUUACUUUCGCAGUUUUUCAUUUACAUUUUCGUAAGUUUUAUAUGAUAUUUUUGUUCUAAUUCUAGACUCUGACAACAUUAAGCAUUUCUAGUUUUCUUGGGUGUUUUAUGGUUACCCAUCUGAACCUUGAUCUGAAUGCACGUGUCCUACAGGUGUUUCUGUUUUUUAAUAAAGUAAAAGGGUCGUCGGACAGUCCAUGAAAAAUCACUCUUAGUUUUGUCUUUGAUCUCAAAGUUGGUAAAGGCGGUAAAUGUAGACCUGGCAAUUCGUGUAUCAUUGUCAUAUAUGUUUCAUUUCGUGUCAAACAUAUGUAAAAUGUGAAAAUUAUCGUAUCCAUGUCUGACAUGCCAAACUCAUAUAUGGUUUUUAUCGAAAUUUUAGACCGAGUUAUGUGUCAUAUCAUUAUAUCUUGUCAAAAUUACUAAGUUUAGGUAACUGUUAACGGUAAUUGCUUGUUCUCCAAGAAUUUUUUUAGAAUGUUCAGGACCCAUCAUAUGUAGGCUUGAACAGAUACUGAAGUCAUUAGGUUGAUAAACUAUAUUAAUAUUUGUAAUUAGUAGGGUAGGGGGUUUAUUUUGCUUUAAUGGGGAUAUUAAUGUUUAAACUGAUAGGUAUGUACUGUUUCUAAUUGUUCUAAUUAAAUGCUUUAUUUUGUUUGUACUCGAAGUUGAUGAUAUGGCUGGAGUGGAGCAGAGGCAGAACAAGUCUGGAGGUGGUAAGUAUUUUUUUUGCUCAGGUUGGUUAGAUUUCAUUAGUAAUGUGCCAUAAAGGUGUGGCGGUUUCUAAUUGUGUGGAUGUUUUGUUGUUGUUGUUGAUUUUUAGGAGGGAAAAAGAAGGAAGUGAAGAAGGAGACUGGUUUGGGUCUCUCCUUUACCAAGGAUGAGAAUUUCGGGGAGUGGUACUCUGAGGUGCAAUGACUUAGUGCCUGUUAUACUAUGUUAUUGAGAUCUUAGUAUCUUAUUGUUAUAUCAUCAUUUUGGCUUUUGUAGGUUGUUGUCAAUGGUGAAAUGAUUGAGUACUAUGACAUUUCUGGCUGUUAUAUUCUGAGGCCAUGGGCAAUUUCAAUUUGGGAGAUCAUGCAAGUGAGUCAUAUGAUGUUUAUACUCAUAUUGCUCUUUAAAUGUAAAUAAGAAGUGUUUAUUAAUUACAAGGAAAAAAAAAUUAUGGAUUUCAUUCCUCGAUCUUUGUUUUCUUUCUAUUUCCUUUCAUGGUUAACUUAUCCAUGGUGUUAAACUGUAGACAUUCUUUGAUGCUGAAAUCAAGAAAAUGAAAGUCAAGAACUGCUAUUUCCCUCUCUUUGUAUCUCCAGGCGUUUUGCAAAAGGAGAAGGAUCAUAUUGAGGGUUUUGCUCCAGAGGUGAGAAACAAUUUUUUUUUUUUUGGCAUAAUUGACCUUGUGGAAUGCUUCGCAGCUUGAAAGUGUUGGUUUCUUUUUUUAUCAAACUUUUUGAAGCCAUUUGAAACUCAUUUUGUUCCUAAACUUUUUUGCCCUGUUUUCAAUGAUUUACUUCAUUUUGUGGAAAUCCAUAGUUUAGUUUCUAUCUAGGGCUCAAAUUGGAGAAAGUUUUUAUCUAGGGCUAAAUUUGGCAAGUUCUUCCUCAUUUGAGCAAGAUACUUUCAUGAAUAUGCUGAAAAAAUGGCAAUAUUUCGAUGUUUUUAUACUUUUUAGCACUGGACUUAUGCAACACUUAAGUUUUAUGCAUUCUUUUACUAGAAAUUUUAUGUGAUCUAAUGAAAAAAUGACAUGUGAAUGGCUUUGGGAUCCUGGUUUAAUCAGGUUGCUUGGGUGACCAAAUCUGGGGAGUCUGAGUUAGAGGUGCCAAUUGCAAUCCGCCCACUAGUGAGACAGUUAUGUAUCCCUAUUAUUCUAAGUGGAUUAGAGGACACCGUGACUUGCCUUUGAAACUUAACCAGUGGUGCAAUGUCGUUCGAUGGGAAUUUAGCAAUCCCACACCAUUUAUCAGGUAAUUGUCUUAAAAUUGGUCAACUUUAGCUUUUCCGGUGUUAUCCUGCAUCCUUUUCCCCCCUCACCUUUUCCGGAUGGGAUAUGGUAUGCCAUACAUGUAAUGAGAUGUUAAUUUUCGUAAAAUUUUCUAAUCUCGGUUCAAUUUUCUUAUCCUUAGUUAUUAAUGUUUACAGAUGAGAACAUUAUUUUCUCAAUUCUUUUGAUGCCAAGUUAGAAAAUUAAUUUAAAAUGAUUUGAUGAUAGAUUGGUCACCACUAACUUGCUUCUUAAUUGUAGGAGUCGUGAAUUUCUAUGGCAGGAAGGGCAUACUGCCUUUGCAACAAAGGAAGAGGCAGACACAGAGGUAGCAUAGACUUAAAAUUUUUACCUUUGAUCAACAUUUCAACCUUAGAGAGCUGAAGUUUGCCCAUUGUUCUAUUGGUGUACAAUGGAAUAGGGAAGGUUAAAGUAAAUAGAAAUUUUGCAUGGCUGAUCCUUUUCUUUUUCAUAUUAUCUACAAUUAAAUUUUGGUUUAAAAUGGCAUUUUGCCUCGGAAUUGCCGAAUGAAGUAUUUAAGUAAGCAUUUCAGAAAUUUCCCAUGUGAUCUUAUUUUGAAUAAUUUCAAUAUUUUGUUGGUUUCUGUGCUGUGUCAAAAGUCAAAGUCAUAUUUCAUUGCUGUUACAGAUUUCACUUGUCUUGCCUUUUGAAGUAUCAUUGAAGGAUGUGCUAGAUCCUUAGAACCUUUUAUGUGUGUCUAAAUAUGGUUUUGUUGGUGAAUAUAUUAUGGAAGGGGGACUGAGGUGGCAAAAAUGACAUGCUGAGUUAUAUGUAUUUAUUGUUGAAAUACUUUGUGCUUGGUAGAUUUUAGACUUUAGUUCCUACUUCUAAUCACUCUUGCAAUAGUUGUACUGGCUUCUCAUUUUCACAUCCUUUGCGAUAUCUCAUGCUGUUAACUAAACAGGCAAAAAAGGGACUUAGUAGCCAAUAACAAUGGUAGGGAUGUCAGCCGGGUCUCUUUACGUAUGUCCUUAAAAUUUUGUUAUAUUUCAAGGUUCUUCACAAAAUUGGAACUGUACCUCGAUUGUAUACUUGAAGAAUUCUUGGCUAUGUCCUGUUCACAAAAAGGCACGCGAAGAGUGAACUAGACGACGUAUUGGCUGGUGCACUUUACAACAACUAGUUGGUCGAGGUAUGGUAUAAACUAUUAUGCAAUAUAUACAUGUAAUAACAAUCUCUACUUAUUGGCAUGAACAACUACCUUAAAUUGUCUGCUUGCUCAAUGUGCUUUAAUAUAAAUUGAGGAACUUUUAAUCUGUUCAUAAUAUGAUAGGCAUUUAUAUCCAAACACUGGCGUGGUAUUCAGGUGCAACCUCCCAUUGUCUGGGCCAAACUUUGCAAAAAUGUUUGAGAUAUAACUUUGAAAAUGAAAAGGGGAGAGAAGGGUAUGGUCUGGCAGAAUUCCUGGGCGUAUAGUACUCGAACGGUAAACUUUUUGUCUCUUUACUUAGAACAUUCUUAGCAUUUAUCAUUUCAAGUCCUUUGUCAUGCUAUCCCUACCAUUUAUGUUUUGUGGUUUUGGGUGAUUACAUGGGGUUGGAAUCCUUAACUACCAUAUAAUUCCCUUUCUAUUCUUUUCUCCUUAUUCCUGCUACUCUGCUUAUGUUUUCUACUGUUUUUCAAAUUUUCUCAGAUUGGGGUAAUGGUUAUGGUUCAUGGGGAUGACAAAGGUUUAGUGCUGCCUCCAAAAGUAGCAGCUUUGCAACUUAUUGUGAUUCCUGUGCCUUACAAAGAUGCAGAUACUCAAGGUAUUUUUGAUGCUUGUGUUGCCACUGUGGCAACCCUCUCAGAUGCUGGCAUUCGUGCUGAAGCUGAUCUUAGAGAUAACUACUCACCUGGUUGGAAGUAUUCAAACUGGGAAAUGAAAGGUGUUCCCCUAAGGAUUGAAAUAGGACCUAGAGACUUAGCAAAUAAUCAGGUGAACCCCCCCUUUUUUUUGGAUGCUGCUUUCCUUCUAUUCUUUUAUUUAUUAAUUUGCUAUUGUACUUAUACAGUUAAAACCAGAAAAGUGCUUUAUUUGACAGGUACGUGCAGUUCGCCGUGACAAUGGAACAAAAACUGAUAUCUCAAGAGUCUUUUUGGUUGAACAAGUAAAAGGAAUGUUGGAUAAGAUUCAACAGAACCUGUUUGACGUUGCAAAACAAAAACGAGAUGCCUGUGUUGAAGUUUUAAAAACUUGGGAAGAGUUUGUAACAGCUCUUGGGCAAAAGAAACUGAUCUUAGCUCCUUGGUGUGAUGAGGAGGUAUGACUUGAAUUUGCAGAAUCCUUAUUCUUUACAGGGACCAUGACUAUUUAGUAUUUAAUCAGUGUUCCUUUAGUGCUUAUCUGCUACACUUAGUCUUUGCAUUGAAUCAUUAGGCUGAAGUGUUUUGUUGGUUAUAAAAAUGAGUUGGAUCAUAUUUAGAACGUCAUUAAUUUCCAAGAUUACCUCUCCAGGCAUUUGUUGGAUAGAAUGGUCUUGCUCAGUUUCAUAAAAGACUUUUAAUGUUUUGUAUAAAUGUAGGAUGUGGAGAAAGACGUGAAAGCACGAACGAAGGGUGAUAUGGGAGCAGCUAAGUCUCUUUGUACCCCGUUUGAACAGCCUGAACUCCCAGAAGGUAAAGCAGGCAUUUAUUUUAAACAGUAGGAUACUUUCCCUCCCUCAUAAUACUAGUAGUAUUUUGUUUUUUAAUAAACUGUUACUACACCAGCAUGCACUAAUCAGCAACUGCCAAGAAUCUUAAUCUGUGACAAACUACAAAAAAUUAUUGGAAAUUUAGAGAAAUCAUACUACAUUAAGAGGAAUAAGAGAUAAUAAAUUAAUAUUAAUCAGUAGUUCAAUUAAUUUGAAGGAUUAAGUAAAAAUCCGGCACCCAGUGAGCUUGGUUCAGGUAAGAUGUGAUUGCAAAUGUGUCAUUGUGAUUGAACCUGAAGCUUAGCUCAGUUGGUUCAUGUAAUCACUCUUAAGAAGUGGUAUCUAAUAAAUCUAGGGUUCCAAUCUCAGCACCUGCAUCCCCCUCUCUUCUCCAGGCUGCAACCACUUUUGUAUCAAAAAAGAAAAGCUUACUUAAUCCUUUUGUAACACACAGUCUUUUCUCAUUUAGAAUUUUUUAAAUUUCUCCUUACAUUAGUAUUGAGGGAAUUCAUGUGUAAAUGCUGUUUGAUUAUUUGUAACCUUACAUCCACAAAAAGAAAAGAGGAGAUUAUACGUCUUCUAUAGAAUUCUCUUCUCAUAAAAAAUGACAUUAUGCAGGUACUAAAUGCUUUGCCUCUGGGAAGCCUGCAAAGAAAUGGACCUAUUGGGGUAGAAGUUACUAAGAUUAUUCUCUUUUUAUGACCAUCUCCUUCACAUUGUCCUCUGUCUGAUGUCAGCUGUGCUGGUGUGUGGACCAUUCUUAACAGGAUAAUUUUCAAUUUGAAAUUGUUAUAUGAAACUGAUGAGUACUUGGUUUUAUUAUCAUAUAGUUAAGAGUUCACUUCGAUGCAUGGUGGGAGAACUCCCACCACGCCGCGCAUGUCAUUUUAUUCAUUGGACCCUUGGAGGUUAAGUCAUAAAAAUGCAAUUACGGCGCGGUGAAAGUCUCUCUCACUAUGUUACCAAAGGGACAUUAAAACUUGUGGGAAUUUUUUAUUUUUAAUUUUCGCCAAGGGUGUAUUGUAGAACUUUUGCUUUGCUACAAUUGAUUUACUGCUCUAUUUGUGAUAUUACAAUAUUAGAAUAUGGUGAUGGUACUUGAAGGUUAUAAGUUUCUUGUUUGGAUUCAUUUGGUGAUGGCUUUGACUUUUAUUUCUCUGUCAUUGUUUCUUGAUACGGUUCAUUAGUGGAUUGUUCUUCAAUUGAAGCAGUUGAAGGAGAAUUUCACGAAUUACAAUGACACGUAAAUGAUAUCAAAAAAUAUUAAAAUAAUAUGAUUUAAAAUUUUAGUAAAAAUAAUAUGUUAAGUUUAAUAAGAAUAAAAAAUAUAUAUUUCGUAUUUUUUUUUUGUUAAUAUUAGUUGUAAUACAAAAUUUUUAUAUAAAAUAUGAUAUGAAUUUAUGAAUUAUUAAUAUUUUUAUAACAUAAAUACAUGAAUUAAUUUUUUUUACAUGAGUAAAUGUCACUCAUCUGUCAUUUCUUUUUGGUGAUUAAAACAUGCAGAAUGGCAAAAUAGUUAAACUGUAGUAUGGAUGUCCUCAUUUCCAACUGGUCAAAAUUUACCAUUAAGGCUCGUGCCUGGCCUCAAACAUUUAAACGUAAAACUUACUCUCAUUGGUUAUAGCCAAAAAUAACCAAAAAUUUUCAACUUCACAAUGUAAUAAAUUUUGAAUCCGAAAAUUAAUUCAGUUGAUUCAUACAAUCAUCUUUAAAAGAUAGCAUAUAACAUAUUUGAAGUUCAAAUCAUUUGUAACUCAUUCUUCUAUUCCUAGAUUACAACCUCUUUAUUUAUAUAUAUAUAUAUAUAUAUAUAUAUAUAUAUAUAUAUAUAUAUAUAUAUAUAAAGAACAAAUUCCUGGCUAAAUUCAUCGGUUCGUUUCUAUUCUGACCACAAAUAACUGGCAGGUCAUUGAACAUGGCGGCAAAAACAUAUCUCAUUGGACUUCAAGCAAUGCUCCUUGAUUCACUUCAUCACCAUCAAGAAGUUCCUGGAUUAUUUGAUUGAUAGCAUUUCCUCGAGCCUAUGUUUUGUAAGACAAAUAUUUCAGCACACAAUCAAAACCACAACAGGAUAAGACAAUCUGCAAAGCGGAAACCCCUAACCUUUACUCCAAUUGCAAUUGCUGUUUUUAGCUUUACAAGCUCACCCAAUCUUAGGGACCCCUUUUUAUCAUCUCUAACAAUCAUCAAUGGUACCUUCCUUGACAAAGCCAACGUUGGCAGGUGCUUUAUUAGCCACUUUGGACUGCAAUCAGCAGCUAACAAAAUAGCCUACAAGCUCAAAAAACAUAUAGCAAACCUUAAGCAGUGCUUGUGAAAACAUGACAGCUAAGGAUCCACAUGAAUGGAUGGCGAGAUUCAAAACAGCGGUGGUAAUGAGAUUACAUGAAGUUUAAUAUGCAAGCAGUAAGAUUAAAAUCAAUGAUGAAAAUAUGUAAUUGAAUAUAAUCGCAAAAUGAUGGGAAGAUUGAGUAUAACAAUCGGUUGCCUCACUAAAGCCAAUUGAUUGUCACAAUUGCAAAAUGUCUUCAUUUUCAUUUUUACGCUAAGGCAGUCGACUGCUCUAGGAUCUAGAUGUUCACUGAAUCCUUUCCCCCAGCCAACUGCACCGCCGGGUGCUUUUGCAUAGCAUCGUGCGGUGCAGUUGGCCCAAAAAAAGGUUGCGGUGGAAUCAAAACUAGCCCUUAGUAUAACAAACAUAUUGCAAUAAACAACUAAGUAUAGAUUGUUAUAAAGGCAUGACAGAUCACUCAAAAUUUAAAUCUAGAAACAGGGAAGCCAACCUGAAGCCUAACACAAGGAGAUUGAGCAGAGCUUCCAUUCUCAACACCGGGUGCCAUCCGUUCAAGUACACGAGUCACAUCAUUAACACCAAUGGCAAAUUGUUGCUAAUAACGAUGCACCAAAUACAAUAUAACAAUCAGAUAAUAAUAAAACCACAAGGAUCAUCAAAGAAAAUCAAUAAAGCAUUGAACAAGAGAUCAAACCUUAAGCCAUACUUUUUCAGGCAAGGAGUUUUCAGCCAAUGCUCUUGCUGACUCUACCCCUCUGUUCAUUGCAAUAACUUCAACUAUUACCUCUGAAAAAGAACAAGAAUUUGAAUACCAAAAAAGGGUAUUGUUUAAUUAUUGAUAAUGUGUUCGAAUCGUUUACCUUUGGAUUGAUUUAAGCACGUGAACAAGACGCUCCCCUUCAUAACAACUGCCAAGAUAAAAAAUAAAGAAAUUAAAUCAAAGACCCAAAAUUUGCAUAAAAUCCAAUGAAACAAAGGCAGACUUACUCUUGCUGCUGAGGAACGGAACCGUCAACAAUGUUGUUUUUGGCUGCCUUAUUUCUAGCCUUCAUGUUUCAUUUUAGAGUUCGCUACUUGUUUGAUGAAAAGCUUGAAAAAAAAUUGGUGUAAAUUGCCUAAUAUAACUUUGAUUUAAGCCCAUAGGAUUUGGGUAUUGGGCCAUUGAGCCUUUUGCGGCCAAUGCAUUUAAUUAUCAAGAUAAUUAGCCCACAGCUAUAUCCAGGCUUUGAGCUCUUAUAUUUUAAUUUUCAUUCCUUUUAUUAUCAUUAAAGAAAAAAAAAAGAAAUAAAAACUCAACCCAAUGUAAUAAAAAUCUUCUAUAAAUAUAUAAAAAUCAAAACUUUUGGUAAAAAAGAAAAUAAGUCUAAUGUAGAAUUUCUAUUAUUUUCAUAUGUGGAUAAUUUUAAACAAUUAUCACGUGUCUUGCAUCUAACAAAUAUACAUUCUUAAUUUAACAAAUAAUUUUAAAAAAUUAAUUGCAAUUAUUACUUCUAAAUAACUAAUAUUUACACCAUAUAUAUAUAUAUAUAUGGUAAUAUGUAAAUUUUAUGUGAAAGGAAUUUGAUAAUGAAGGCAAGUAUUUAUUUCCUUUUUUGCUUUGCAAAAUUAGUCAAAUUUUAAAAUCAUAGGGAUUUUUCCUUUGCCAUAAAUAAUUUAUGUUGGCUAUAAACACCAUCCUAUAAAGGUGAUUGUAGACAUGGAUUUUAAACUUAAUCGGCUAACUUUUUAUUUAUUGUAUUUUUUAUGCAAUAACCAAUGGGUGUUAAAACAUUUUUCUUUCAUUUUUUUAAUACAAUUUAAUUUUGUGCUACCUUAAUUUAUCCGUUUGUAGUAUAUUUUAUAGUAUAUUUCCUUGGUUUUAUAUAUUUUAUAUUGUUAUUUUUUACAUUAUUUUGAUUUAUCAAAUUGUUAGAUUAUUUAUAUUCCUUUGGAUACUAUACAAUUUUUUUUGAAUGUUUAUUAGCAUAUCUUACUUUUUCAUAAACUUAUUUUAGUACUUAGGAAGCUUGUUUUGUUAUUAACAUCUCUAUAUUAGUGGUAUUGUCAAUGAUUUUAUUUUUUAAACUUUAUUAUCUCCUUUUCUAAUUUUUUUUUUUAUGAAUAAAUGUUUAUAAAUAAUAUCUAUUAUAUCCCAUAUAUAAGAAAAGUUGUAUUUUGAAAAAGAAUAAUAUUUUUAUAAAGUGUGCAUUUUUUUUUAAAGUGGGUAGUUUUUUUUUUCAAAUAAAAAAUAUAUACAUAUGCAUAUUUAGUUGUAUAUUUUUAUAUUUUAUUUUAUUUUGUAAUUUUUGUAAUUAAGCUAUAGCAUUAUUAUAGAUGAAAUACUAUUUCGAUGCGAAAUACUUUUAUAUAAUGUCCUUUAAUUCCAUAAGACCACGUUUUAACUCAUAAAAAAAUUUGUACAAAUGUAUAUCUAAUUUUUUUUUUGUUUAUCAUUUUUAAGUAUGCAUUAUUUAUAUAUAAAUAUCUUCAUAACCAAAAAGAAAGCGAGAAAGAGAAGAUUUUAUAUUUAUCUUUUUUAUUAAUUAUUGUAUUUAUUAUUAUAUUUAAAAACAUUAUGAGAUAAAAUUUUUAUUAUCUAAAUUGGCAUUAUUCAUUAGUAUUUGAAAGAGAUUUUAAAAACCAGAACCAACUAUUCUUGACAUAAACUAUUUUUAACAUUAUUUUUGUAACAUACAAAUUUGCAUUUACAACGAAAAAUUUGCUAUUAUGAAAAAAAAAAAGAAUUUGCUGUUGAUGAUGAGAAUUAAAGUUUUAUUAUCUUUUAUAUGAAUUUUAACUUGGAGUAAUUUAAUAUAAAUAACAAAAAAUAAUUUUGUAUUUAAUUAGUUAAAAAUAAUAAAAAUUGACUAUUAACAAAAUUAGAACUAAUUAUAUUGAAAAUAUUCAAAUUAGUAGUAAUUACGCAUUUAAUAUUUUGUCAAACACUCCCAUAAUAAAAGCAAGUAAUGGAAAUGAAAUCAAUGAAAAUUUUAAUACUUAUAUAUAGUUUUCAAAUUAUUAUACUAUAUCUUUUUGACAAUUGAUUUUGUAGACAAAUAUUUAUAUUGGUUGCAAAAUCCUUUUGUGUAUUUGAAUUUUGGUAAUUGAAUUUUCAUUUAUAUAUUCAUUUGGGUUAAUAAUUACAUGAAAGUGAGUUAUUUUUAUAAAUCUAACAUAUAAGUUUAUUUUUUUAAAAGAAUAUUAACUUGUAAAUUGGAAUAAAUAUAAACAAUGCAAAAUUAAUAAAGUAAUCUUGAGUUAAUUCAGAAUUUUCUAUAAGAUAUAUUCACUUUAUUUUCUUUAACAAUAUUGCUCAUUGAAUAUUUUAAAAGUUUUAUUUUCUUAAAUGUCACAUAGAUAUAUGUAUAUGUAAAAUUUAUAUUUUUUUAUUAAAAAAACUAUUUGUGUGUAUAAUAAUAUAUAUAUAUAUAUAUAUAUAUAAACAUUAACCCGUACAUCUCAUGGGUUAUAAACUAAUUAUAAAUAAAGAGCAAAGCAAUAGGCAAUUUAUUUGUACGAACUUUUUUUUUUUUUUAAAUUUUAGGAGCCAUGAAUUGGGAACCCAGGACAAUUUUCGGUAUUGGUCCUAUAUCCUUGACAUGUUUUUAGCCCAAGUGAAAUUACUGGAAUAAGUUUCAAAAAUUAAAAUCAAAAGUAUCAAUAUAAUUAAACCUGAAGUUUAGCAAAAUUAGUUCGUACAAUUAUUUUAAAGUUUAGACAUCUAAUAAAUUUGAGGUUAAAUCGCUAUUCAUGUGACAACCUUUUUUCCUAUUAUUAAACUACAACCUCUUUUAUGAAAAAAUAUCAAUAUGAUUAAUAGGUAGUUAAGUUAAAAUAAUGAAAAUCAAGCAAAGAGUUAUUAUUGCUAGUCUUCAGUUAAAGAGCUUUAAUGGAAGUUUGUCAUAAUUUAUGUCGACAUAAAAACAUGAAAUACAUAUUUUUACAAUUUGUGGAUAGGCUUGUUUUAUUCAUUUAUUGAGAUUACAAGGUUCGUUAAUUAAAUGAACAUAUUGCGAACAUAAUAAAGCUCAUUCAUAUUUUGUUUGUUUACAUUUAAGUAUAUAAAUAGUUCAUGAACAUGCUUGAUUUUUGUUUUUUUAUUAAAUUUAACAAACAAUCACAAACAAUAUUUUAGCUUCGUUAAUUAAACGAAUAAAUCACGUAUAUAACAAAAUUCAUUCAUAUUCGAUUGGUUUACACCAUUACCUUCUUUCGAACUAUCAGUUAAAGUAUAUAACAAACUACUAGUAAAAACACAACAAAAAAAAAACAGUACACAAUUUUAUAAUUUUAUAAAUUCCUUAUUUUCAAUGAUGAUGUUUUCAAUGAUGAUGAUGAAUGAGAGGUUGAAUUUACAUGUGGCAUUUUUUUAACGUUUUCAACAUAUUUUAUGAACUAAAUUGAAAAAAAAAAUUAUGAUCUCAUGAAAUGAAAUAGGAAACUGGAUGGAUUAAAGAAUUUAGGAUUCCUUAUCUCUAUCUUAUACAAGACUUUUAAUUUUUAAAAAAGUCUCUCAAGAAAGAGCACACCCAGAAACCUUACCACACAUGAUAUACCAUUACCAACUACACCCGUUUUCAAUUUCAUCGAGUAUGUACUUGUUUUUAGCUUCAUUAAAGCUAUUAACUUUUUUGGGUAAUCCUUCAUUUCUUCUUAUUAGUGUAUUGUAUAGAAUAGAAGGAAUGAGAAAAAAAAUUAAUGGAUCAGGUGAAGAUAUCAGAGGGACUUAUUGGUUAAUUUUAGGUGAGCAACAAUGAUCACCUUUAAUAGUUUUUCUUUGGGUGGUUUUAGUGGUUUUCCUAUUAAACCAUCUAAUCACCCAUAUUUACACACACUCUUCCUCAUUUUCCCAGUAUAUUCCUUUGCCUUUUUUUUGUUUUGAUCAAAUAAAAAGAAGAAGGUUUUAGUUGGAAAAGUAUGAGUUUUAUCGCAUCUGCAGGCUGUCUUCUUAAGUGUUUAAGAUGAAAGAGAAAACACACAUCUCAUGUAGAAUGAAUUCUUAGGUCAUUGCUUUUCCUUUUCAUUUUUUGUUUUGUUGUUUUGAGUUUUCAUUUUCUUUAUUUAAAUGUGACUUACUUUGUUUCUAUUAUUUUUGCUACAAAACUAAGUUCUUAGAUUUUGAACAAGAUCUUAAUCAAAUACUUAAAUUGUGUUAUGAAAGAACAAUUUGAUUGAUCUAAAUUUUUUUAUACAUGUUGUUGGGAUCUAAAUGAGCAAAAUGGGAUUUAGUAAAUCAACAUUUAAAGACUAUAUCUCCUUGAUUUUGCACUAGUCAUGGGAUUCUUUAGAAUUUACAAAAACCAAUCUUGCAUUCCAUUUUAGCUUUGGCCAAAUAUCAUUUGGAUACUAUGGGUUUCUUGGUUUAUGCUAGGCUGGACAUGAUUACCACAUUUGCAUGGAUCACUUAUCUUUGCAUGCAUGGCCUCAUCUUGUCACAUUUGUAUGUUUUGCAUGGAUUUUAGCAUUUACAUUCAAAGUAAUUAAUUUUUUCAUGCAAACCUGAAAAUCACUAAUUUACACCGUUAUUAAACAAAAUUCAUGAAAAUUUUUAAAAUUUAAAGUCUCAAAUGUUAUGUAAAUAACAAUAAAUUAUAAGGUCAUAACACCCCACACUUAGUUUUUUGCUUGUUCUUAAACAAAUUCUCAAGUUAUUAUUGCCAACAAUCACAAAGAUGCGUUCAUAAUUAACAUGUCACAAGUUAUCAAUCAUGCACUAUAGUAUAAUGUCAAGAUAGUUGUGAACAUAGUUAAACAUAAAAUUUAAUCAUAAGUAAGAUUUCAUUUUCAUGCAUUUUUCAUAUAUGUGUAAUCAAUCUGUCUUUAAUCUAUGUAUGUAAUUUAAGUAAAAAGUAUAUAAAAUAUGCCAUCACAUAUUGAAUCAAAGAUAAAGCAUACUUCAUAAGUUUACUUUUCUCAUUCCUUUUCCACUAAUGUAGGCUUAUAUACUUGAUUUAAGAUCAAUAAGUUUUUAUUGACUUGUAAUGUAAAGUUAGGAUCAAGGUUAGAAAAAAAAAAUUUUAGGUUUAGAACCCUUUGCUUACUCAAAUUUGGAUUUGAGAACUUUUACAAAGCUUUUCAAGGUAAAGACAUCUUUGUUUUUUUUUUUUUUUUUCCAUAGCUAUUUUCGAAUUUUUCACUUUUUUUUUACUAAGCCAUUUUUGGCUUUUAUUUUUUUUUUUCAUAGCCAUUUUUAGCUUUUGUACUUUUUUUUCUUUUUUUUUCUUUAUGCCUCCCUUACUCUAUGUAACUUGUUCUCUUAUUUUAUUCUUAACAUGCAUAAGCAAUAUGGUGAGAUUAGAAAAAGAUAGAUAAUUCAUAGAAAGGCCUUGAGCUUAUCAAUCUGGUUAAAUAACAAAGAAAAAAAAUAUAAAGGCUAAAAAAUAAGGUACUAAGGAUGUUUAUUUAUAGGUGGGCUUGAAAAAGACUUAAAUGGUUCUAUGAUGGCCUAAAUCAUUUAUUAAGUCAAACAUAGUCUAAGAUUUUGUCUCAAGGUUUAAGUAGGCAAAUUCUAAAGUUAUACUAAUGUCUUAAAUUUUUAUGCAAUUUUAUAUUCACAUGACUUUUCACAAAAAUUAAUGCAUGUCAAAUAUCAAGAUUAAAUUCACAUGUAUAAAAAUAAGCAAUCUAAAAAAUAACAUACUUAAGAUUUCAUUUCAUGUUUUUCCUACAUUCAUAUUUGUCCUAAGAUUAUACAUAUGUCACUCAUGAUUAACUUGUUAGAACUUAACUAAAAUUGCAUUAUUAUGAUUGAAGGCAUGUUAACUUGAUUUGAAAAUAAAAACUUUUAGGGUAACUUUUGAAAAGAUUUUGAAAAAGCAUUUUGCACAAAAAUUUUCCCUCCCCCACACUUGAAUUGCAUGACAUCUUAAUUAAAACAAUUAAAAAAGUUAGGGCAAAGCAAAACUACUCUAUCUUUUCUUCUUUUAAGAUCGAAACUUGUAGACUUGCUUAGGAAUCAUUUAUUCAUCCUUACUCUAUACUUAUCCUAAAACAAAUAAAAUGAACAAACAAACCAGAUCAAUGCAUACCUAUUCUAAAAAAAAAAAAAAAAAAAACAAAUAAACAUAACUUAACAAUUAAUAUAAAAAUUAGGUUAUUUCUCAAGCAACGUUAGUUUUAGUCAAGCUAGAUCAUACCUAGAUAUCUAAAAGGUUAUGUGACUACCCUACACUACAUACCAGCAUCCACCCACUUAAUAGUCUUACUUCUUAGUCUUUAUCAACAUUAGGCUCUAAAAGGUAAUAAUGCUCAAUUGUUGUGACUAGAUCUCCUACCUCUAACAAUGCAUUCAUUAUAAAUAUACUACAGUAAGUGGGUACUGGCUUCAGUACCAGUGAAAGAGAUAUAACAAUGAAAAAUAUAUGGUUAGUCUCUUAGGUUAAAGGUUCCUCCAUGGUUGGCAUAAUUAGAGUGGGUGAUGUGUUCUUUUUUUUUUAAGCUUGACAAUGGGUUUUUUGAAAGUUUAAGCACAUUUUAAAUAGAACAACCCUCAACAACAUGUUUUUCCACCUUAUUUAAUUUCAAAUCAUAAUCUUCAUAAGGUUGAAGAAUUGGCAAGGGUGGAUUGUAAGGCUCAGAGUCAACUUCACUGUGAUUAAUGUUAGAUUCAUCAAUAAUGUUUGGUAGAGUCGAUUUUACUUCCAUGACAUAAAAAUGAUCUCCCACCUCCAACACCUCUUUGUCCACACCACCUUAACAAAUGCUGGUAAAUGAAUCACAAUGAGCAUUUUAUCAUUUUGCUUUUGUUUAGUCAUUCCUUCUUCAAAGCACUCCUCUUCAGGUUUUUUUACAAAACCCAACAAGUUAACUACCAUUGGUUCAUCCAUUAGGUCUUUAUCGUUGUCAUUAGCAACAUACACCACUUUUCAUUUCCUUUGAUCAUCCUUUAAUGUACAUUCCAUUUCACCUAACCAACUUGGAUCUACAUGGUCGUUAAGGUUUUCAAAUUGGCAAUCUAAGCUUUAAGGACGAUGGCUUUAUUUUGAAUUAAUCCUAUGAAAGUUUCAUCAAGGGCAGGUUCUGUUUGAGGAAGAGAUGAUGGGUCAUAUGAUGGCAAGUGUUAUGGUAGUGAAAAGUAUUGAAAAGAUAAAAGGUACAUAUUAUAGUUAAAGGUAUAUAUGGAUGACUAUUUUUUAUUUCUCCCUUAUGCAUAACUAGGAUAAUCCUCCCUAUCUAGACUAUAAAUGUUUAGGUAAAAGUUGGAUUGAUUAUCUUGACAACUAUUAUUAUAGUAUUACACUCUAUAACUAUGACAUUUAUUAAAUAUGCUUUGAACUGACUGAACAUGUCUAAGUUUAUGUUUUCUUUCAAGAGCAUCUACUUUUUAGUUAAAGAGGCUAAUUGUUAUGCUAUGACUAUAGAGGGUUUUCAUUAUACAUUUCAAUAGUGCUUCAUGAUCUAAGGUCUUAAAAUGACAGUUAAAUGCAGGAAUACUCAUAAGAUGGCUUAGCAUAGUCCUCAAAGGUUCUGAUCUCACUACAAUAAAAAUUAGACAUAUAGAAAGAAAAAUAAAGAACACACUAGAUCAAAAAUAAAAGUCUAAAUUACAAAAUAAAAAGAAAUGUUAUUAAUAUUGGUCUUCUAGCAUCGAUAUAAUCCUAAGCAACAUGCCAAAAACUUGAUUGUUACUUUUUAGGUUGCAAGUGCAUAAAUUGCAUCAAGUAAUAAAGUGAGUAAGUAGAGUAUCAUUCUCACAAAAAUUAUGUGUUGGGUGCAGAGCCAAGUACCAAAGGAUAUUUUUUCUAGCUUUAUAUUUAAACAAAUUGAAAAGUUGAUUGGCUGUAAUUGAAAGAAAAGUAUUGAAAAUGUGAUAACUGAAUGUCAAGCUAACUAACUAUCACUUAGUAGCUUCAAAAGGCAAAACAAUUAUGCAAAAAAUAAAAAAAAAAUAAAAAACUUAUAAAAGAGUUAAAUAUUUCUAAUUGUAAAGAAAGCAUAAAAUAGAGAUUUGAAAGCUUAUAAAGAAAAUAAAUAGUCUAUGUGAAGAUAGAGAAAGAGAUUUUAGAAUAAAAAUAGAAAAAGAACUUGUAUUAAGAAAAAGCUGUAGAAAACAAAACUAUGGUUAGUUUGUCACCCUAACCAAGAAUUACAAAGGAAUUAGAAAAGAUUUAGGCUAAUUUAUCACCCUAGUUUAAUGUAAGUGACAAGAAAAAGACUUAGAAAACUAAGAGAUUUUAAACUAAAGAGAGAAGAAUGAAGAAGGGAUUCAGAGUGAAGGUCAUGGCUUUUUUAUAGCACAAGGUUCGACUAAGGAGGGAUGAACCUAACAUUCUUAACUUUAGAAGGUGAUCUUAAAAUCAAUUAAGGUCCCAUUGAUUAAAGAAUCUUUAAAAAUGUGGUUGAUCUUGAUUAGUCGAAUUUUGCUCUUACCUUUAAUAUUUCUAUUGCCCUUUCUUUAAGCCAACAUAAUUUACAAUUCAAGAAGAAGAUUCAGCCAAAUAUUAAAGACCAUAUCUAGGAGAUUCAGCAAAUCAAAAUUUAUAGACUAUAUCUAUUUGAUUUUGCACUAAUCAUGUGAUUCUUUAGAAUUUACAAAAAUCACUCUUGUAUUCCAUUUUAGUUUUGGCCGAAUAUCAUUUAGAUCCUAUGGGUUUCUUGGUUCAUGUUGGAUUGGACAUGAUUACCAUCUUUGCAUGGAUCACUUUUUCUUACAUGCAUGGCCUCAUCUUGUCACAUUUGCAUGGUUUGCAUGGAUUUUAGCAUUUAUUUUCAAAAUAAUUAAUUUUUUCAUGCAAACUUGAAAAUCAUCAAUUUACACCAUUAUUAAGUAAAAUUCAUGAAAAUUUUUAAAAUUUUAACUCUAACAUGAUUUGUAAAUACCUAUAAAUUAUAAGGUCAUCAAUGUGUAAUUGCUUUAGUUGCUUUUUAUUAUCAUUAUGCCAUGUGGUUUGUCUGACCUAUGUAAUUGCUUGACUUGCCUUUUAUUGUGAUUGUGCCAUAUGGUCUAUCCAACUUGUUUUGUGAAAAUUUUCAUCCUUUUUUAUGAAAAGAAAAGGCAAUUUUCAUGCUUUUAGAAGGAUAUAUAUGUUAGAAUUAUUUUCAAAAUAGGUGAAAGAAUAACUUAAACAAGCAAUGAAGUAACAUAAGUCAAAUUUCAUGAUGUAAAACACCUAAGAAAGAAAACUUGUCUUAAUAGUGGUUGAUUACUAUAAUUAAUGGAACCAACUGUUAUAGGCUAGGCAUAAGGAGCAGUCAAUUGCCAUGCACUUUAAAUAUGUACCAAAAUUUUUAUGAAUUUUGGAUUUAAUAUAACAGAAAACUAAUUGAUUCCUAACCCUUUUGCAAUCAACUGCUAUGGUUGGAAAUCAAACUAGUCUAUUGCUUAACUUAGAGGCAAUCGACUUCUUGAAAUUUGAAAGUCUUCUAUUUCAAGAAAACACAAAAGUAGUCGACUGCUAUAAACUAGAAUCGAUUGUUCUCAUGUGUGAAACCUUAUAUAUUUGCAUCAAAGUUGACUGUCUUAAAAGAAGCCAAUGCAUUUUGGAACUCAAGGAGAUUGUUUUUGUAUUUUUGUUUUGAUGAUGGCAUAACAUGAGAGAACAUAGUAGGAAAGCUACAAAAUUGACACCUUGGGCUUGAAAACCUUUUUAAUGAACCUGGAAACCAGUCUUUGAAAGUGAAAGGAUAAUAAAAUUAAAGGAAAAAUUUUUUUGAACAUCCCAUAAAUUUUUUAAUAAAAUUAAUCUAAUGGUUAUAAACUUUAUAACCCUUUGCAUUCAAAUUCCCAAUGGCCAAAUUUAUUUGUAUCUUCUUUUCUUUUCUCUUUUUUGGCCAAAUUUGUUUUUCUUUUUAGUAAUUAAAAGUAAAUACUUGAAUGACUUUUAAUGAUAUGAAUUUAUUAGCCUUCAAACAAAAGCCUAGCAACGACAACAAAUAUACUUAUGUACAAGUCUAAAUGCAAGAUGUAAAUAAGAAAUGGAUAAAUUAUAUUUUAUUGAUUACAAGGUUUUUUUUUCUAUCUUUUAUCAUUUCAUUUUUUCUUUAAUGUUAUUUUGGUUAAUUUUUUAAAAAAAAUAAAAAAAACUCAAAAUUUUUUAUCACAAUUAAUAAUGAAGUUUAUAGAGUUCACAAGUUGAAUUAAUAAAGUAAUACAUACAAUAAAAAAUUUAAUAAUUAGAAAUAAUUAAAAAAUUAAUGCAUGUGACAAGCUGAUUGUGAGAACUAUGCAAUGAACUACAAAAUAACAUAUAGUUGUGAAUAUGUCCUUUAUAUAUUGGCAUAUAUGAAAAAGUAGAUGUGAAGCCAAUAUUAAUAAAAAUGAAUAAAGAUUGUGAAAACUGUGCAAUGAGCUUGAAAUGCAACUACAAAGUAUGGGGAAAUGUUGAAGAUUGAGAAAAUGGUUGAAGUAAUUAAAGAAAGUAAAGAGAAAAUUGUUAAAUGGAAAAGCCCUGAAUAAAGAUGGAUAAAGAUAAAUUGUGAUUGGGCUAUCAAAGAAGGAAACCAUUUGUGGGAGUGUACUUUAUGGAAACCUUUUACCUAGCUUCAUUUCAAACAAAUUUUUUUCUAUUUACCAUUGGAAACAUCCUCAAGACUCAACCUUUAAUUACUUUAUAUUACAUCCUUUGAUGAAUUAGCUUCAAUCUUAAUCUAGGUUUUUGAAUUUUUGAUUGAAACAAAAAGAAAUCCCAAAAAAUGAAAAAAAAAUUGGGUUUUUUUUUUCUAUGAGGUGCUGACUCGAAUAAAUAAAGUGAAUCAGCUAAGGCUACAUUGGUUAAAGUAAUGAAUAGUAAAACAUGGUAGACUUGGAUUUGUAUUAUAACUACCCCACGAGCAGUUAAGCAAGGUAAAGAAAGUGGGGCCAAUAAAAAGUUGUUUUGGCAAUAUGGCAGCAAAAGAAAGUUUUUGAUUUGAAAAGAUUGGCAACUCAUCAAGAUCAAAACGCUUGCAAAUAUGAACAUUUUUAUUACAUAACAUCAUGUUUGUACUUUUAAAUUUUUUUAUUUUUACUUAAAAUACAAUGUUUUUCAAAUCAAAUACUGCGUUUCUGUUUAGAAAAAUGUUGUUUUGUUUAUUUCUAUUUUUUCUAAGACAAUCACGAUGUUUUUAUUACAUUAAUGUACUCUUUUAUUGUAUAUUUUUUAUUUUUUAAUAAAAAAUCUAUAUUUGAAUUCACAUUUUGUUGGUCAAACACUCAUUAGAUUUAAUAAAAAUGACAUAUUUGACAUGUAAUGAAGGAUAUUAUUGUAAAAAAACUUUAUUAAGUAAUCUAACUUUCUCUCGAACCAAACAUAGGAUUCUAACAUUCUUAUACCACAUAGAAUCACCCUUUGUAAGAAAUUCACACUUUUUUUGGAAAUCAUUUUAUCUCCCGAAAUGUAAGAUUCGGUGAACCAAAUGCCCACUUAAAGGUUUUUGUUUCUUCCACCAGCUGUAUUCCCUACUUUAUCUUUUUUAUUCUCUUUCUCAAGUUUUAACCCCGAAGAUUGGCCAAUAAAACUUAGAACUCUCCCUGUCAAAAGAAAAUGGACCCAUGUCAUUUUUUUAGCUAUAUUUCAAGUUAGCUUAAGCAUUUUACCAUGUUAUCCACUUUUAGGGUGUAGGGUUUAUUGCUUUUUCUUACAAGUUUUUUAUUUGGUUUUUUUGGUUUUUAUGUUGUUUGCAAUAAUGGGUACCCCUCUCACUCAUGAAUGGUUCAGGCUUCAACAAUUCUUCACUAUACAAACAAAAUUGUUAAGUUGUCGUGAAAAUUAAAGUAAGAGGUUUUGAUAAACACUUUAAUCCCUUUCAUAUCUAGAAAAAAAGAUUAUAAGAAACGAUUACUCUAUAUUAGUAUAUGUACUUUCGUUUCAAAUUAUGCAAUGUAAUCACAUUAAUGAAAAAUCAACCAUUUAUUACGCAUCAUAUGUGACAAUUAAACAAUGAAUAUUUAUUUCAAUAGACUCAUACAUCAAUAUGUAAUAAAUAGUUGAUCUUUUUCAAUAAUAUGAUUAUGUGAUAUGAAUUGAAUGGAAGAGAUAAAUGUUGCCAUUGAGUAACCGAUUCAUACAAUAUUUUCUCUUACUCUAGAUGGUUUUAAUUGUUUCAAAAAAUUGUAAAAUGUCAACAUUUUGACUAUCCUUGUUAUGGGCAAAGGCAGUGUAGGAAAGUCUUCCACUAUCAAUUCUCUUCUUAGGAAGCAAUUUGUUCGAGUCAUUGCUUUUCAAGUGAAUAUUGCUUUUGUCUGUUCUUUAACAUUCUUGGGUUAAUUCUUUUGUGCUAUUUUCAAUUUCAUAAGCUUGAAUUGUCAUUGCAUUUGUUUGUUUGCAAUCAUAAGGGUUGAGAUCUGUGAUGGUGUCAUGCUCUUGGGCAGGGUUUACAUAUAAUGUAAUUGAUACACCAGGACUUGUGGAGGCUGGAUAUGUCAAUCUCUAAGCUUUCAAGUUGAUCAAAGGUUCAGUACUUGAAUUAAGCAAUGUAAGUUAGAAUUUUAUUUGUUGUAUGAUAAAUUUAAUUUAAUUAUAUACUUCUCACUAAAUGAUAGUAAGAUUUUCUUUUUUGAAUUAGUUUUACUACAUGAUGCAAUUCAUUUUAGUUAAAAACAAAAUCUUGUAAUCAUCAUGCAUGUUUCUUUUGAAUAAGACUAUAGAUAUUUCACUUUAUGUUGACCGCCUGGAUGCAUAUAGAGUGAAUGACUUGGAUAAGCAUAUCAUUAGGGCUAUCACUGUUUUGGCAAAAAAAUAUAGCAUGACUUUAGAUAAAACUCAAAUCUGACUCAAUUAUUAUCGAAUUGAGUUCAAGCUCGAAUAGCUCAAUUUAUUGAGUGAGCCGAGUUCUAGUAUCUUAAUGCCUGACUCGAAUAGUUCACGAGCCUAAUCAAGUUUUUAAAUUUUAAUAUAUUUUAUUACUUUAAUUAAAAAUUAUUAUUUUAUCUUUAUAUAUAUCAAUUCGAGUUUGAGCUCAAGUUCGAACAUAUAAUCUAGAUUAAAAUUGAGCAUGAGAAUAGAGUUCAUUUUUUAUUAAACAAGCCUAAUCAAACGAGCUUAAAUAACUUGAUUUUUAUUUCGAGUUAAGUUCAAGUUUAAAAAUUAAAAUUUGAUCAAGUUCAAGCUAAGUUUUGAGCAACAAAAUUUAAAUCGAGUUUGAGCUCGAGCCUCUUAUUAUAUUGACUCCGCUAUGUUUGAUUACAUCCCUAAUUUAGAUAUUUUGGUACUUUAAAUUUUUAAAAUUUGAUCUAAAUUCAAGUUUUAUUAAAAUUGAAGAAUCCAAACUUUAUUGAAAUCGAAUUGAUUCCAAUUGAAUUUUACAAUUUAUUGAUUUAUUUUUAUAUUAUAUAAAUAAAUUUAAUUAUAAAAUAAUUAUUUUUACUUGAUAAAAAUUUAAAAUUUAGAUAAAAAUUAAUUAAAAAAUAUAAUUCGAUUUGAUACAAACAUUUUUUUUAUUUUUUCAUGUCAUGAUUUGAAAAUUAAUUCAAACCGAAUUAAAAUAUUUCAUAUUUUAUUUGAAUCAAAUAGACAAUAUCCUGUUCGAAUUGAAUUAAAAAAAAACCAUCUGAUUCAAAUUGAAAUAUUGUGUAAACACCAAAUUUUGUCAAGAUCAAUUCAAACAUGAUUGAUUUUUAUGCUUAAGUUACAUGUUCAUAUUUGAGCCAGUUUAAACAUUAAAUCAAAUUAAAUUUAUUUGAGUUUAUUUGGUAUUAAUCAUUUUAAUUUUGAUUUUAUUAUUAUUAUUUUUUAUCAUUUAGGAUUUAUUUAAUUAAUAAAAAAAGUAUAAAAUAAAAGUUAAUUAAUUACAAAAAAUUAAUUAUCAAAUAAAAAUAAAUUACAAAAAAGAAAUAAAUUUCAAAAGGGUAGAAAAACAGAACUAAAAAAACAAAUUGAAGUGGUCGGCAGUCACUGUAUCAAGGCAAGAAACUGCCUAAUUUUGGCCUUAACAAGCCAGGGUCCUGUGUCACGGGUCGAGACUUAAUCUUCUAACCCGCGCGGCUUCAAGACCCGGGCAUUCACCCUUCCGGCGUCUCGAAUCAACCUGACCUUCACGGUUCACACCCUUGUAAAGUAUUGUUCGCUCUGGCCCCCUUAGCCUCACGGUUUUGUCCUACAAAAAAUGCCUCACAAGGCAGAGGUGGUGUGAACCAUUUUAUACUCCAGUGACCCUCCUAUUAUGUUUGAUGUGGGAUUCAGGACUCUUCCUUAAGUCCGUGACAUUCUCCCGCAUCCAACCUCGUGACGCCCUCGUCACGGAGGCUGACCACCCUGCCUGCCUCCCUUGAGGUGCUUGGCAUGGAUCGAACGGUUUAGGACUGACUCUGAUAUCACUUUUCACGGGUCGAGACUUAAGCUCCGAAUCGACGUAGCUCCGAGACCCGGGCAUUCACCUUUUCGGCGUCCCGAAUCAGCCUUCCUUCCACGGUUCACACCCUUGUGAGGUAUUGUCCGCUCUGGCCCCCUGGCCUCAUGGUUUUAUCCUACAAAAGGUGCCUCACAAGACGGAGAUGGUGUGAACCCUUAUAUACCCCAGUGACCUUCAUAUUAUGUUCGAUGUGGGAUUCAGGACUCUUUCUUAGGUCCGUGACAUUCUCCCCCACCCAACCUCAUGACGCCCUCGUCACGGAGGCUGGCCAUCCUGCUUACCUCCCUCUAGACGCUCGACGUGAAUCGAACGAUUUAGGGCUGACUCUGAUACCACUUGUCACGGGUCGAGACUUAAUCUCCUAACUCGCGUGGCUUCGGGACCCGGGCAUUCACCCUUUCAACGUCCCGAAUCAACCUGACCGUCACAGUUCACAUCUUUGUGAGGUAUUGUCCGCUCUGGCCCCUUUGGCCUCACGAUUUUGUCUUACAAAAAAUACCUCACAAGGCAGAGGUGGUGUGAACCCUUUUAUACCUUAGUGACCCUCCUAUUAUAUUUGAUGUAAGAUUCAGGACUCUUUCUUAAUUCUGUGACACUUGCACUUCACCAACCAACACCUUGUACACUACUAGCAGCCACCAAACUUUGCAAAUUUUCUUCAUAAUAAGAAUUCAUAAAUUAAAAAGACUAAAAAAAAAAGAAAAGAAAAAGAAAGAGGUUUAAACAGCCAUUUUUUUUCCGCAAGCACCAAGUCCCCUCACCAGCCUAGCUUUAGUCCCUAUAUCCUUUUUCAUCAGCCCUUUCUCAACACCAAAACCCUUCCCCAGUGCCUAUCCAGAACCAAAGUCACGCCCUUCCCUGGUCACUCCCUUAACCGACACCAUCACUAAACCUUUAAACACAUUGACAAACCCUAAGCUAAACACCAACCAAGCUGUAUACACUAACAGACCCGACCAACCUUUUGCACACAACCUACUCUAGCCUUUCCUUCGAGCACCAUUCACACCACACCAACACCCGAUUGACCCUAUAGUUUUGCCUGCUUCACAGCCCCGGCACCUAAAACCCACCUCCAUCACCAGCCUCAAGCCACCAUUAAUCACUAAACCCUCGCCAUCGGAACCCAGUAAUUGGCCCUCCAAAAAUCUCCUCACAGAAACCCUAGGUCCUUAUAGCCAUCCAAUCCACACCCAUGGAACCACUAAGCCCCUGACCAAAACCCAACACCUUAAACAAACCCAGAACUAGUGCACCAACACUAGCCAUCCGCACCACCUCAGCCUCCUACUCAUCAACCCCUAAGCACCAAACCAAAUAACCCCACAUUUGCCCUCCUACAACUGGCCAUAACCAAAAACAAAAAAUAUAUAACAAUCUUCCUCGAAGGGAGGAACCUUAGUGCCCAAAGCCAUUUUAUAAAAAAAAUAGUUAGAUUCAACUGAUAAAAAAAAAGAGAUUUUCAGGCAAGGUCUCUAGAGGAAAGGAAGGUUUCAGGGUGGAGGUGUACAUAUUAAAAGGAAAGGGCAUUUGAAGCAGUGGAAAGGAAACUUUUGAAGUAUGAAAUCACCGACUUUGAACCUAGAUUUAGGAGUAGACUCAUUUUUUGGAAAAAUCAUCUAGAAAACAAGAAGAGGGGCUUAAGGAGAUCACGUAGGUUAAUUUUGGGAGACGACUAGACGGCGACUGAAGAUUGGUUUAUAUUUUUGAAGAGUUGAGAGAGUUUUUUUUUUCUUAAAUAAAGGUUUGAAAUGAAUUAAGAAAAAAAUUUAGUAUAUAAUUAAAAAAAAAAGAAAAAGUUGACCGAGAAAACGCAACUCGAUAAUUCAGCCCGUGACUUGUUCAACUUGGACUUGCAGCCCACAAAUCAUUCUACUAGCCCAGCUACCUUGGAUCCUUUUGGUUUGCUGGACUCCAUUGCUUGGGCUAGGUGAGUAGAACUGACCUUGGGCUUCAACAUAAAGUUUAUUUGGGUAAUUUUAUAUAUACUUUUGGGCCCCUGCAAUGAAUGGUUUCACCAUUGUUCAUGUUAAUAAAAUAUUCAUGAAAUAUGCAUGUUUUAAAAUAAUUAAUAAUGCUCAUGAAAUAAUAUUAUUAAUUAUUAUUAUUAAAUACUUGAAUAAAAAAUUAAAUAUAAAUUUCGAUGAUGGGAUUUCGAAAAAUUUGAAAUAGUGAUUUUCGAGAAUUUGUAAGUGAGAAAAAUUUCUAAAAAUAUCAAAUUAUUAGAAUAUUUAGAAAUUCUUUUCAAAACAAAAUUUUUUAUUUUUUUCUAAUUUGAUUUUUUAGAGAUAAAAUAUAAAAUAUUUAUAAAAGUAUGCAUUUUUUAAGGAAAUAAAUUCAUUUAUAUAAUUGUAUUAUUGGUAAUUUUUUAAAUAUUAAUAUUAUUAAAAAAAUAAAAUCUUCGAGAAUGAUAUUUUAAAUAAGUUUGAGUAGUGAUUUUUUAAGAAUUUUUAGACAAAAAAAUUUAUCUAAAAUGCUAUCAAUAUAUUGAAGUAUUGAGAAUAAUUUUCGAUAAAAUUUUUUUAUCUAUUUUUAAUAAAUUGAAUAAGAAAUGAAAUUUUUUUAAUAUUAUCAUGAUUAAAUUAUAGUUAUCAUAUCUUAUUACAUGCAUAAAUCUUGAUGAUAAAUAUGAAACACUAAGGUUGAGAUAUUUAAGAAGUUCGAGUAAUGAUUAUUAAAGAUUCCCUAGAUGAGAAAAAUUCUUUCAAUAUUACCACCAUAUUAAAAUAUUUUAAAAUUUCUUUCAAUAACAGGGUUUUAAUAUUUUUCUCAAAUAAGAAUAAUUAAACAAAAUUAUUAAAAUUAUUACAAUAAAAAAACAAAAAAAAGAAAAUUAAUUUAAAAUACCAAAAUUGAGAUCUUUUAGUUAAAAUUAAAAGAUAACGUAUAAUUAAUUGAUAUCAUUUUAAACGGAUACUGUAGAGGUACUAAUUUUUUUUCGCGUGUAAUUGACUCUUGAAUCUAAUUUAUUUUUAUAAAUAUAAAAAAUUAUAUUUUUAAUAAAUUUUGAUUAAUUUUAAAAUUUUAUUAAAAUAAUAAAUUUUAAUGAAUCAUCAAUCACAUCUAAUUAAAAAAUUUUAAUUAUAACUUUUGUUUGUUUUUACAUUUAUCUAACAGUCCAAAAAACCGGUACAAUAAUUUGAAUGAAAAAAAUUGAAUCAAAUCAAUUUUUUUUUCAUUUUUUCCUUAGCCUUAUAUGUGAGGAUGGAGGUUACGUUGCAAUAAAAACGCAUGAUUGCUUCAAGCAUAAGCGUGCUUAAUAGAAUUAUCCUCCGCCAACCUAUGAAUCCCAAAAGGCACCUAUUUCACCCACCUAUGCAACCCAUCUCUUUCUGUUUUGUUCUUUAAGCUCAUAAAAGUGUUCGGAGCAGCUAUGGAUUACCAUAACGGCCCCACACCUCAGGCGUGGUAGCAAUACAAUACAGUUGUUUCACCUUUUCGCUGCGUGGAUUGCGGGGAUCUGCAUGGGUAAAAGUGUUUAUAAUUGGAUUAAAAUUAAAUUAAUCAAUUGAAUUAAAUUAAUUUGAUUAAUUAAUUUAUUAUUAAAUUAAUUUUGAUUGAUUAUUUAUUAUAAUUUUUUAAAAAAUUUAAUUUUUAAUUAAUUUGAUUUGAUAAUUAAUGUAUCAAAAUAUAACAAAACCUUAUAUAAAACUAAACAUAUAUAAGAUAAUUUAACUUAAUAUUUUGAUUUUGAAUAUUUUAUUGGAUGAUUUUAUUUAAUUUAUUUUAAAUAUAAAAAAUUAAAAAUAUAAUUUAAUUUGAAUAUAUUUUAUUAUUUAAUUAGUAAAAAAUUAAUUAAAUCAAUUAAAUUAAAUUUGAUCAAUUAAUUUUUAAAAUUAAUAAAUUUAAUUUAAUUUAAUUUUAUAAAAAUAAAAGUAAACUAUUUUGAUUUGAAAUUAAUCGAGAUGAGAAGAAUGUUUGCGCACGCAUGUUAAAUUUGUGCCGGAGAACCUGUGUUGGGAGCAGAGCUUCGAAGAUUUUAUAAGCUACGGAUUCCAUUUGUGUUGAUUCUAAGAUAUAAUGAUUAAGUUCACCAUCAUAGGCUGUUGAUUCUAACAUAUAAUGAUUAAGUUCGCCAUCAUAGGCUGUUGAUUCUAACAUAUAAUGAUUAAGUUCGCCAUCAUAGGAUGCACCCAUCAUUACACGCACUUUAAGCACUGCAAACCAACCAGGUUUCAUUAAUCAUUGGCACUCCAAAUGUGGUCAAAUUUAACUGCUACUAUCAUUGGUUUUUGAACAUUUUUUUCGAUGAAGAUUUGGAAAUUUUGAGCCACCAAUGUCACGGAAGAUACAAAUAAGCUUAAAAAUUAAAUUGUACGAAAUUGAGGUGUAAUAAAAUUUUUGAGAUUUUCAAAUAUUUUUUAUGUAAAAAGAUGUAAUUUGAUGAUAGAAAAAAAUUAUAAAUUAUAUAUUAUAAAUUUUAAAAUUAUUAAAUAUAAUUUUUAAAAAUAAUUACAUAAAAUUAUUUCAGGUAUGAUAAUAUUUUUUAUUUAAAACUAAAAUGAUCAAACGAUUAAGAUUUACGGUAGUUAAAAUUAAUAAUGUUACAUCAUACCAAAUUAGUCCUUUGACAAGGAGUAUGACUAAAAUCACAACUUCAUAUAAAAUUUUUUUAAAAAUAAUUAUAUAAAUUAAUUAAAUCAAAAUUUGGAUUUGGAUAAUAAUUUUUUUGUAUAUAUCAUAAGCAUAGCCCAUUGAAAAUGAAGGAAUGCUUUGAUUUGAAAUCAAAACUUUUAAUUCUUUCUAAGAGUUUCUUAAUCACUAUAUCAAAUUUUCAAAGAAAUAAUUUUUUUUUUUAUAUAAAGGAAUCAAUAAUAAUCAUAGAGGGUAGUAGUUUUUUUUUUUUUUAACAAAAUAAGCUAUAACUUAGAAAUAAAAGAAAAAAAGUAAACAAAUUAAAAUUAAAAUUUAUUAACAAAAUAAUCAUAAAGGGUGAUAUUCUUUUUAACAAAAGAAGUUAUAAUUAAAAAAUUUAAAUUUAUUAACGAAUGAAAUCAACAAUUUUAAACAUGGACCAUGAUGAUACGAUACAAAGAUACGAACAAAGAGCUUGAUACGGUAUAAAAUUUUACAAAAAAAAAAAAAUUAUUUUAUAUUUGACGUGUGAAAUUAAUUGUGAUGUAAUAAUUUUCGUAUUUUAUACGUGUCUGAUAUAAGAUAGAUAGACAAAGAUAUAUGAAUUGUCAUAAGGAAAGAGUAGUUUUGUGAAAGCUAUAAUUUGUUGCUAUUGUUGCAGUAAGCAAGAAGCAAAUGUCAUACUUGAGUAUCUGUCAAAUGGUAUCCAAAUUAAUAAAGGUGCUGAUGACAGAACAUGAACUAACAUGUAACUAAACUCUGCAGAUAUUUUUGUUUGGGUUAUGUCUUCCACUGUAUGUCGUGCACUUCAUUGAUAACCCCUUGAAUAUCUGUGAUUUUGUUGCUGCUGGAGUUUGUUUGUGUGGCAUUGUCAUAGCGUACUUUGCAGAUACACAACUGCAUAACUUUGUCACUA